GUUCGUGUUAACUCGUGACCUUCCCCUCGGUUGCGACACUAGACAAACAAGUUGGGAAGUCUACCACCAUCACUUUGCUGCCCGACAACUUGGCUACCUCCAAGGUUGCCCGAUGCUUCUACUUACUUCCCGCUCCCUUCUAAGCUGAGGACACCUAUCUGGUUUCUCAGAAAGGGAGUGCAGAAACAUCGAGAAAAAGUUUCAGGAACGGUGUAAGAAAUUCUGCCUUCGACCAAUCGUUCCUAAAUCUCUCGGCACUGAUACCUUCGAUGACUGGUGGGAAGCAUAUACCCACAACUUCUUUGGUGCUUCGGUCGAGGACGUAGUCAACAAAAUUUUUGGUGAUCGGCCCAGAAAAACUUUUGCCCCUCAAUCUAAGGAAACGCCCAAGGUAUAAGACUAUCAUACCUUUAUUUUCUGAAACACUUAAACAAUUUUACUAAUUAGAUUUCGCUUUCUCAGGCGGUCGGGUAUUGAAACAUGCAGAUGUGAUCGCCCCGGCUGCAGUAAAAAAAUUGGCUCAUUCUUAUAAGAAAUCCAAAAUCACCGCACAAAACACGUCGAGCAAAAGGCCUCGCCCUAACACUGAGGCGGCGGGUGAAGCCCCUCGUCCCACAAAGCGCGUCAAGAAAUUUACGAAGAAAGGAGCACGGGAGAUUCAUGUUAUCUCCAGCCACACCACUGGAACAACUGCUUCGAGUGUCUUUCCUGCUGCUCCUGCUGUCCAGGCCUUACCGGAGAAAUUGCCAACUCCCAUUAGCCCGACACCUCAAGUUCACCCGGCCCCUGAGGUUCCCGAGGUCACGGUCGAACCAGUUGUUAUACCACUGGUCGAGACGCCUGCCACCUCGGGACUAACCGUAGCGUCCGUCAUGAGGGAGGCAACCCCUUCCGUCGGGAUAAAUCUCCCCAAGAAUCCAAAAUCAUCUGCAAUCAUCUUGGAAGAGGUAUAAUUAUGUUGUUGAUAACUUCAUUUUCUUAUUAAAUUCAAAAGUAUUAAUCAACUCUUUUGUUCCAGGACGACGAGAGUGAUGAGAUUCCGCCACCGAGUCGUCCUCAACCAAAUGAACCUUCUUCCAUCGACCCUCCCCCUAUGGUUGAGGUGGUUGAUCAAUCCAAUCGUGGAAAACGACCUCUUGUCAAGCCUGAAGUGACGCCAGAAACCCCAGUUCACCCGCAGGAUCAAGAUCUCGGCAUUCUCUUCCAAGAAGCGACUUCAGUUUUUGUAAGGCUCGAUUACCUUGUCUUGUUAAUUUUGCUAUAAUGAGUCUAAAAUGAAAAAAUAUUAAAUGUCAGGUACCCAGUCCUUCAUUUCACCGAAAAUUCUACGCACCGAGGGGUGUUAUCUAUAUUUCUUGGCCACCUCAGUGGCCGUCGAACAUAGAUAGCCGCUAUUAGCCGCGUGAAUUAAGAAGCAGUCUAAAACAUUGGGCUUGGCCAUUAAGUUCUCUUGGUUCGAGCAAUGAAACAGGAGACAUGGCCGAAAUCUCUUCUCGGCAGGUCUAACAUAAAUUCUCUUUGUUAUGUUCUAUUGUGAUUUUCCUUUUGCCUAAAGUUUUUUUUUGUGUGCAGUCUUCAUGGGAAGUUGAGUUUGAUGCUAUCCUAUCGAAUACUUCGGGAGUGGUUGGCCCUUCGGCAGCUACAAUCGAGUCGGCCGAAUCAACUGUUAUUGUUAGGUUGCAGGAGCUCUUGUCACUCUCAGCUUCUCAAAUUCUCAAAUGCUAUGGCCUUGAUUUAGUGGGUGCGUGUCUGAACGAUCUCGCGGUUGAUGGUUUCUUGAGCACCGAGGCUAUCACUCAAGCAUCUUCUACCUUGGAACGGACCCGAGAAUAUUUCGGUAUUUUCGAGAAAACUCUUCAUGUAAACUGCAAUAGUCGUUUGAGACACUCUUCAUGUAAACGUCAAAGUCCUAAAGGAGAAAAAGGAUGCCCUAGCCGACCUUAACCGUCAAAUUUCCGAACUCCAACAUUGAAGGUCGGUAAUUACUUCCGAGCAUGCAAAGGAUUUUAAAUCGAGCGGUAAAUCUUGUUUAACCAAAUACAUGGCUUGCGUGAGGCGGGUCAAGCAGCUAAAGAUGGACAAGAGGAUUUGGCAAGCUGAGGUCACGAUGGGCGAGGUGCAGUGGUUAGAGUUAAAGGCCGUUUUUAAAUCUCUCAUACCUUCAUCACCCUAGAAUUAUCUGAUUGUAACCGAUCGAUCCACUCCAUUUGUACACCUUUUACAAUUUUAAUGAAAUGAACUUUUAUUCCCGUAUUUCCCUUGUGACUGGAUAGUAUUUCUUUAAAAACCUAUCGUUGAUUGGCAACUUGUAAACUACACCAGUUUGAUCCCUAAGACGGUAUACUCCCAUGCCAAGAACUUUAUGAAUAACGAAUGACCCUUCCUGAUUCGGCGACCACUUGCUGAACCUGGGGUCUUUGAUUCAUACGGGUAGUACAGUUUACCAAACCAACUUUCCUUCGCUGAAUGUUUUCGGUUCGACUCAUUGAUUAUAAGCUUGCUCGGUGAUCUUCUUUUGUUCCACUAAUAGAUUAUAAGCAUCGAGCCGAGCUUCUUCUAAAUCUUCUAACUCUUACCUCAUGGCCCAACCAUACUCGGCGUUGAACAAACUACUUUGUUCGAUUAUAUGCAACGAGUUUAUACUUAGCUCGACUGACAACAUUGCGUCGUGUCCGUAAGUCAACGCGUAAGGAGUUGUUCUAGUAGCUGUCCGUAAAGAAGUUUGAUAAGCCCAUAACGCUUCGCUUAUCUUUAAAUACCACAUACUCGGCUUUUCUUUUACAAUCUUUUCAAGAAUACCGAUUGGAACCUUAUUACUUACUUCGGUCUGUCCAUUCGGCUACGGGUAAUACGACGUAGAUUGCUCGAGUCAAAUCUUUAGAUUUUUUGUAUAUUCCUUAAAUCUGUCGGAUGUAAAGAUCGUAUCGUUGUCUUUUAUGAUUGUUUCUGGCACGCCGAAGUAGCCAACGUAUUUUUCGUCUAGACUGGUGGGUUACGCAAAUUCCUUCAUGUACUUCUGCUAUUGCUUGAGCAGCUUCAUGCAGGCCUAGGCACAUCAACAGUAACCCAUCCUCGCCUCUUCGAUAAAGCUGAUUCUAGUAUAAUACGUAGUUUGUGGCAUGAACCAUUGUCCGUCGGUCGUGUUUUUCGUUGGGGUUAUCAGUAUAUCGCAUAAUUGUCAUUCUCCAAUCGUCUGGUAAUGCCUUGACGGCACAAACCUUAAUAGUGUUCUUUCGUUCUAACAACGAAGGCAAAGACAUGACCCAUGUACGGAUCACGCUAUCACGUUGGAGAACUUGCUGAUUAAUCAAAGUCGAAUGUGCUUGUCGUGACACAGGUAUUUCUCGGCCUAAUUUGCCCCCCAUGAGUUGGGCUCCGGAGGCUAUUUGAGAUAAUUCGUCGACAUCAGUGUUAUGAACUCGUGAAAUGUGUUUGAAAGUAACACCGUCGAAAGAUUCGACCAAAUAGUUAGCAACCAUGUAGUAAGGAGCCAGAGUAUAACUCAUGUAAUGAAAAGUCCCGUUGAGUUGAUUAAUGACAAGUUCGAAGUCACCAAGAACAAGAACACAAGUUGCCCGCAAAUUAUGUAGCAUGCCGAGGCCGAUAACAAGGGCUUCGUAUUCGGCCUGAUUAUUCAUACAAUUGAAAUCGAGCUUGAGGGAAAAAUACCAACGAUUACGAGUGGGGGAUUGAAUAACGAUCCCAACGCCAGCCGAGAUUGAAGUAUUUGAUCCAUCAAAGUACGUCAUCCAGUAAUUAUCACGUGUUUGUACCAGGCCAAUGUCAACGUCGUUGCCCCCGAACUCAUACGGGAAAUGGUGUUGGGCCAAAAAAUCGGCCAAAGCUUGGCCUUUGACGACUUUCUAGGGCAAGUAUUGCAAGCUAAACUUAGAAAUGGCAAUCGUUCACUUGCCAAUUUGGCCCUUUACGAUCGGUCGAGUAAGCAUGUAAUGAAUAACAUCGGUCUGGGGGAUAACCUGAGUGACUGAUGAGAGCAUGUAAUAUCUAAGUUUUGACGCGGUGAAAAAUAGGGCGAGACAAAGCUUCUCAACAGCAGAGUAAUUAAUCUUUAGCGGGUUGAGGUUUCGGCUAAGGUAAAAAAUGGCUUGCUGGUGCCCAGCGUCACUGUCUUGUGCAAGAAGGCAUCUGAUGGAUUCUUCGGCCGCCGAGAUGUAUAGCAUAAGAGAUCGGCCCCGUCAUGGUGGGACGAAGAUUGGUGGAGUCGUUAAAAAGACAUUGAUCUGCGUAAAUGCCUCUUGGUGCCCGGCACGUCAUUCGAAGACGUCAGAAUCCUUAAUUUUCAAAAGCAUGGAGAAGGCUUUCAUUUUCCUGACCGAAUUAGUAAUAAAUCGUCGAAGAAAGUUGAUCUUGCCGAGCAACGAUUGCAACUGUUUCUUAGUCGUCGGGGUGGAUCAUUAAUGAUUGCGCGAGCCUUGUUGUUGUCUAUCUCAUUACCACGGUGAUGUACAAUGAAGCCUAAAAAAAUUUCGGUUGAUACGCCUGUUGAUGCACAAAAUCAGUGAGGACUUUUGUACAACAGAAAGUGUUAAUUUUGUGACCUUCGCUAGAUUGCUUUGGUCACUAGUGUGAAUAAGUAUGUAAAUGGAUAAAGAUAGGGAAGCAAACACAAGAUGUACAUGGUUCACCCAGAUUGGCUACGUCCACGGAGUAGAGGAGUUCUCAGUAAUUGUGAAGGGUUUACACAAGUACAUAGGUUCAAGUUUCCAGCAAAUAAUUUAGUACAAAUGACAUUAGGAAAUAUUGUGAGAGAAUGAUCUCUAUUUAUAGAAGAGAGUUUCUAGUUUCAUUCUGACAUUGACAUGUGUCGUGUUGUGAUUGGCUUCUGAUGUUGACACGUGUCGCGCUAUGAUUGGCUUCUGAUGUCGACACGUGUCACGCUGUGAUUGGCCUCUUGGUUGGAAGGAAACUCUUCUGGGUCCUUGACGGUAUAACGUUGACCGGUGCUCAGUAGUUUCGGGAUUGGUCAAGUAUGGUACAAACAGUGCUCCCCUAAGUUCUCGAGUGAUGGAAGCUUCUCGGUUGGGGACUUGCAAGAUCCAAGCCAUUGAGUAAUCACGAAACUUCUAAGUACCAAAAUGUGGUAUCAUUUUCACUUGCCUUAUCUGUCUCAUACGUAGAUGUAGCAUCUUCUCUGGAAGUACUUUUCCUCCAUCCAGGGGUGGUAUCUUUAACCGAUGAAGAUGCACAAGGUAAUGUAUCAAUUUCACUUGAAGCUUACUUGUAGUUUCGGGCUUGGUCAAGUGUGAUACAAAACCCUAUAGUAGGAGUCCCCUAAGUCGCCGAGCUAGGAGAUUUGCCGAAAGAGGUAACAGACAAGGUAAGCAAUCAGACUUCCAAGCAAGCAACCUGGAUCGGAGGUUCGACUUUGGCUUCCGAUUGAUUGUUCUCCUUCUCCUUGUGUCGUAAGCAGCAAUAAGGAUAAUGAGAAGCAAAUGGAGAAGAGAUGAUAUGAGAUACUUUUGCUUUUGAAGAAGUAACUUUCCACAUGCUUAAUCUUGAACUGGGAUGGAAGGUUUUCUGGUUUCUUCCAGAGUAUAAGGCCGACUCAAGAAUUUGAGGGUCAAAACAAGUCCAUCAAAUCAAGAGUGCGUUCGACCUUAAUGAUAUGGGAUACUUUUGCUGUUGAUGGAGUAAUAGAUGAAUCGGCAUGUGUUCAGUUGUGCUUGUCUCCACAUGCCUCCUUGUAUCCUUCUCAUUUGCCCUAUUUGUUCCUCAAGCAGAUGUGGUAUCUUUUCUAGAAGCAUAAGAUGUUGAAGAUGAGUACUCGAGAGCAAUGCCAGGUAAGUAAUCAGGCAAGGGGUUCCAGGCAGUCAAUUCCUAACUGGAAACUUGAUUCCAAGUGCUGAUUGAUUGCUCUCUUUCUCCUUGUCUUGCAGGUAAGAACAAGGGCAAAGGAAAAGACAGGAAAAAAGCAUGAUAUGGGAUACUCUUGCUUUUGACCCUUAUGAUAUGAGGUACUCUUGCUCUGGUGUGGCUGGUUUGCAUAGGUAUUAUUGGGGGGAAGAAAGCUGAGUAUUUCGAGAGACUUCGUUGGGAGUGCCCUCUCAGAUAUGAGGAAGGGUUGAGCAUUUUUGCAGGUCUGCCUAUCCGUAGAGGAUGGAGGUCGACAUAUAUAGGAGUCUCCCUAACAACAAGUAGUAAUGCUAUUCUUUUACCCUUCUUGGUCGUAGCAAUGUAAUGGGAGCUGCAAGCUUCACGUGUUUUAACUUUGUCAGAGCACUUUGAAAAAGUGGUAUGUGGUAUCUGGAAAGCUGAUGUUGCGUGUGAAGAUUGCAGACAAGCUUUAUCCCAGGAAAUCUGGCUCACGAAGUUCGGAGAUCAAUGCCUCUUCGGUUUUCGAACAAUUAAUCCUGUCGGAGAUCUAGCUCUCGAGAUUCGGAGAACGGUGCCUCUUCGAUUUUUGAGAAAGUAAUCCUGUUGGGAGUCUGGCUCUUGAGAUUUGGAGAGCGGUGCCUUUUCAAUUUUUGAGAAAGUAAUUUUGUUGGGAGUCUGGCUCUCGAUAUUCGGAGGGCGGUGCCUCUUCGAUUUUUGAGCAAGUAAUAAUGCUAUUUCUUUACCCUUUUUGGUCAUAGCAAUGUAGUGGGAGCUACAAGCUUCACAUGUUUUAACUUUGUCAGAGCGCUUUGAAAAAGUGGUUUGUGGUAUCUGGAAAGCUAAUAUUAUAUGUGAAGAUUGCAGACAAGCUUUAUCCAAGGAAAUCUGGCUCUCGAAGUUCGAAGUUCGGUUUUCGAACAAGCAAUCAUGUCGAUGAUCUGGCUCUCGAGAUUCAGAGAAUGGUGCCUCUUCGAUUUUGUGAAAGCAAUCCUAUUAGGAGUCUGACUCUUGAGAUUCGGAGAGCAGUGUCUCUUCGAUUUUUGAGAAAGUAAUCCUAUUAGAAGUCUGGCUCUCGAGAUUCGAAGAGUGGUUCCUCUUCGAUUUUUGAGCAAGCAAUCUUGUUGGGAGUGUUUUCUUGAAUGUGAGUAAUGGUUGGGCAUUUUUGCCAGUCUGCCUUGCCACGGAGCACGGAGGUUGACACACAUUGGGACUUUCUAGUUAUCAAGUAGUGGUGCUGUUCCUUUACCCUUGUGGGUAAUAGUAGGGUAGCUGGACCUUCAAAAGUUAUGUGUCUAAAUUUUUUCAGAGAUCUUUGGCAAAGUUAUCUGUGGUACUCGAGGAGCUGAUGUUACGUGUGGAAAAUGGUGCCUCUUCGGAAUCUGGAGAGUGGUGCCUCUUCGAUUUUUGAAUCAACGACCCUAUUGCCAUUUCUUUUAUAAGGGCACCAAUUGUGUGCAAGGAGUACAUUCAGAGAGUUAUUGCUUGUAGGAAUUUUCCCCUUACUUCAGAGAUUUAUUGCACCUCAUUUCUCCUUCAUCAUUUCUAAUAAUGUCUGGCCCAUCGGACCGUCAUUUUGACUUAAACUUUGGUGAAGAGGCAACCAUGCCUUCUUAAGACAACAUAUAAUGUUCAUCCUUCUUAUCCCCUACUAGUCCUCUUACGAUUGGGGACUCUGUGAUGAAGAAUGAUAUGACCGCUGCGAUGGUGGCCAGGAACAUUCUCAUUCCCAAAGAUAACAAACUACUUGCCAAACGGUCUGAUGAGUUGGCUGUUAAGGAUAAGAUCUCGUUAUAACCGGCAUACCCAUCCAUAAAGGAUAAGAUCUCGUUAUAAUAGGCGAUGAAAAUCUGGUUAUAACCGGCAUGCCCAUCCAUAAAGGAUAAGAUCUCGUGAUGUGCUGCGGCGUCAAUUAACAAGUCGAAGAUCGACAUUGGGUAUUCAUCUUUGGCUGUUGCCAAGUUCAGAUUACCAAAAUCGAUACAGAUGCAGAGGGCGCUAUUUUUCUUUAGCACCGUGACAAUAUUGGCCAGCCACUUGACGUAUCGAGCGUUCCGAAUAAACCCGACUUUUAAAAGUCGAACUAGUUCAUCUUUUAUGCCAAGCUGCACUUCGAUCAAGAAUCUGUGAAAGGGCUAGCGGAAAAGCUUACGUCUAGCUUUGAUGCGUAAUUCGUGUUCAACAAAGGUCCGAUCAAAGCCUGGCAUCUCAUAAUAACUCCAAGCAAAAUAAUCUUUAAACUCGUUGAGUAAUUUACAGAGUUCGAUUUUCAAGGGAUUGAGUAACAAUGCACUGAUAAAUAACGACUGAGGGUCAUCGGUUGUUCCAACAUUUAUUUCUUCUAAGGGGUCCUUAACUUGAGGUCGACUGUCUUCGAGUUCGGCCGGUGUGGCCUGAACUUUAUCCAACGAUAGUAAUGGGCCGUUAUAGUCAUCGGCCAAAAAUUCGAUUAAGUUAAUGCCUGAUCGUGGAUGCUGGGAAAUAGUAUACCAAUGAGCCAGUAGACGUUCCAUCGUGGAUGAAACAGCGGCCCAACGAUUUUCUCUUGUGGCGUCAGUCAUCAGUGUUGGUAAUUAAAUCGGCCAAGCUGAUUCUUGCCGAAUCCUGGUAGACAGUCUCAGCGCCUACCUCGAUGGCCUUCUAGACUAAGAUUCGAGUCGGUUGUCCAUCUUCAUUAAAACCUUGUAGGGUAAUGUGGUCAACGUGAUCGUUAUAACAGCGGGCCUGAAUCAUGUUGGUUUCGAAUGGCUGAUUAUCGGAUGGGUGGACCACAACCGAUUUACCAUCCCAAAAAAUAAGAACUUGGUAUAAGGAAAAGGGAAUGCAAUUUGUUUGAUGAAUCCAAUCUCGACCGAGCAAAACAUUAUACUCGGUCUUGGAGUUGACGAUAAAAAAUGUGGUCAUGUGAUUGCGACCUGCAAUGUUUACCUCUAAAGGGAGCACUCCUUGUGUUUGAGACUUAUCACCGACGAAGCUGCUCAUGGUUAUCCCUGAUGGGAUAAGUUCAUCGUUGGAUCGUCGUAAUGUUUUCAUGACGGAUACGGGCAUGAUAUUGACCGUCGCCCCGCAAUCGAUGAAAAUUUUAUAGAUUAGGUAACCUUCAAUGUGGACCAUAACAUAAAACAGCUUUAAAUGCUGAAGAUUAGUCGAGGAUAAGUGAGGAAACAAUAUGGCCAGUGCUGUUUUAAAUUUGUCGUCGUUAUUUGCUUGCUCAUCUUCAAUGUUGAUGAUGAAAUCAACUUGCGUUGCUUCCUCAGCCACCACAUCUCCAUCCAAGAAAUUUGGCUAAUGUGCAGUUGGUUGAAAUUCAACAGGUAGAAUAUGGACCAUGUUGAUUUCCAUGUUCUCAAGGAUUGAAGGGCCCAUUGGAUCUUGGUCUUCGUCUUCCGGGUUAUAGAGGACUGCAACAUCGUUCGUUAGAACAUUCUCGGCCUGAUUAUCGUGUGUCUCAACACGUUCUUGCUCUUGUGUCAUGUAACCCGACCUUGUUUCCUUCUGACUGUUGUCGUUGGGCCCACUCGCGUUUGGUGUCUGAUUUUGCCCCUGCAGUGCCUUACGAGUUCAUUCUUCAUAGGUGAUCCGCGCGUCCCUUAUGUCUAGGUAGGUGUCCAAACGUGCCACCCGAUCUUUCUCAUCAGCCGUUGGACCGAAUAAGGUCGGGUGGUUUUUUGCUGAUCAGUGGUUUUUUGGAUGAUGUGUUCAGCAUCUGGGCAAGUUAGUGCCAGGUCGAGAGCUUCUUGACACGCCUUGGGUAAUCCAUACAAAUCGUUGGCAGAAUAUUUCUUGUGAAACUCUUUCAUGUAUUCCAAGGAUUCAUUGAUGAAUUAGGGGUGUAGAUUCCACCGAACUCUUAUUAACGGCUCUUUCAGGGGUAACGAGGGAAGUUGGCUUUCGGCCUCUUUCUUAAACUGCUCGAAGCGAGCUUUCAUCUCCCUGGGGCCGAAUGAGGAGUUUGAUGCGCUUCUCAGACUCUUCAAUGGUAGUUUCGAAGUCGCGAUUGGUUUCCUUCUGCCCUUGUAAUUUAGCCAUGAUUGUUAAGGUUGGCUGGUCAUCUCCGCUCCCUACCGCCUCUUUCGGCUGCCAUUUAGUGGCCGAAACAGUCUAGGCCGCCUGCCAUCAAGCCAUGCAGUCUAUACGCUGACGUCGACGUUUCUGAGAUUUGGAUAACACAGUAUACAUGCCGGUGGGAGAAUUGUAACUGUACCAACGUUGGUCGUGUGGUUUAGGCAGCCUGGAGGUUUUUGGAUUCACUGAUAAGCUUGAACCGCUGGAAUUACGCGCAUAAUAAUCCUCGUUAUAAAAUGAUGCAUCGAAAUCAAGACGUCGUCUGACCGAGGUAGGGUCGUCCGUCCAUUUCUAGGGGCCGAGCCUAUCGAACACUUUUUGGCGCUGGCUUUCACUAAGUUCCUUUGGAGGUGUCGCCACGGCCGUAGAUGAUUGCCGUGAUGUCAGAGUCUGAGUCUGAGGCGGUUUCUCUUUGGGUUCAGUUAAUACGACGCGUGCCCUAUAAUUGUUGCACAAAACUAUCGGCCCGUCACUUUCUCUUGUACUGGAAUCUAUCAUGGAUUCGACUACAGCCGGUCUGGAAAACUCAGUGGGUGGUUCAUUGGAAAAUAAGUUGAUCUUGAGUCGUGGUUGGGAAUUUUUCUUUAGGACGUGUUGUACUAGGACAAACUCGGCCUUCCCUUUCCCUUUGUUCUUGGGCAAACGGGCGUCUACCAUGCCAACUGUUGCUGAAAGGAAUGGGUCAGCGUCGACCGUCAUUGUUUUUUCGGGAAACUUUAGCUUGCCUUUGUCAAUCCAGCUCUGGAUAUCAUCACGGAAUACGACACAGUUGUUCAUGGCAUGCUUAAUCGAGUUAUGAUACUUGUGAUACGUCUUCCCUUUAAGCUCUUCGGCCUUGGGAAUGUUAUGUCCUGGCCGAAGUUUGAUAAUUUUUGCUAGCAACAAUUGGUCAAAAAUUGCCUCGGCCUUUGUGAUAUCAAAAGUGUAAACUUUCGAUGUUUUCGCCGUCUCUUCAGUGGUUGAGCGGGUUUUGGUAUCCUUGGAAUUAAUUUGAGUCAAUACCUUGCAAACAUAUGGUUUAUCUAUUACUAUCUUGGUCGUGGGAUUUUUGUAGAUCGUUCCUUGGGAUAAGGAUUUCGAGAUCUUUUCUUCUCGGAGCAAAUAAUCAUAUUGCUCAACAUGUUGGGCUAAUUCAUACAUAUCCUGAAAGUUUGCCCCCAAGAAUUUCUUUUUAUACUCCACGUCGAGCCCAUUCAGAGCAAGCCUAACAAAUUCGACUUCGGGGAGAGGUACUCGGCACCAAUUCUUGGCUAAUUUAAACCUUGUAAGAUAGUCCAUCGGUGACUCAUCAGAUGCUUGAGCCAUCCUAGCCAAUGAAGAAACAGACAUUUCCAUCCCCGGGCGAUAGAACUGCUCGUGAAACUUCUCGACCAACUCCUCCCAACUUUGGAUAGAAUUAGGUAGGAGGUUGAUAUACAAUGCGAAUGCUGAGCCUGUCAACGAAAAGUUGAAUAGCCGUAAUUUAUGGAAAUCACUAUUGACAUCUCUGCAUUGCGCAGUGAAAUGGGCUACAUGUUCUAACGAGGAUAAAGACGAUUCUCCAACAAAAAGGCUAAAAUCUGGAAUCUUGAAACCUUUAUGAUAUUCAAACUUUUCCACAUAAGUUGGAUAUGGGUGGAUGAAUUUCGAGAAUUUCGGCCCGUUUUUCAUGGCCGAAUCGAUCAUUCGUUGGACCUCGAUCAUAUCGACGGAUGUUGCUUCCAUUUUAUGGUCAGAUCCAUCUAACCUACUACUUGAUCCUCCAUUUUUUCCUAAGUCAAUCGUUUUGGGCCGAGUAGACACUACUUCGGCCUGUAGCGGAUGACUUUUAAGUGGAAGCUGCCGAGCCUGAUCAACAGGUCAUUCUUCGAAGACUUACUUACUAAUAGUUUGAGCAAUUUGGUGUGGGUUUCACCAUUGCUUCAUAUCACCUCGAGCAAAUUGUUCAUUUUUUAAACGACUGUUUGUUCAACUUGUCGAGAUUGCUCAUUAAGUCGUCUUCGAAGAAACGACCUAGUUUGAGGGUCAGAGCCUUCACCACAGUCUUCGUCGCAGUCCUCCAUUAUUCCUUUAAUGAAAACACAUGCGGUUCGGUUGGGUACUUCUGUGUUUCGAGGCUGGGUACCGAGGCACACUUCAUUUUCUCGAUGUGUCACACUUGCAGCCUCAGGGGUCACAGCAACGAUAGGAUUUCGCGCAUGUGACACUUCUUGUCCAGGACUCUGAACCGGCAAAUCGGUUGCUGAUUUUCCCAUGGUUGUUUUCUUUUUUACUGAUCGUGUCUCGAUGGUCAUGAGCUUCGUAGCAAUGGGUCCCACUGGGCGUGCCAAAAUGUUGACCCUAAAAACUACCAAGCCUACGUGGAGCGCAGGCCGAGUAACUAAUGAACUAACUACGUCAUUCGAUUGUAUGCGGGGCGUGCCAACUCGUCGGUCGAGCUCGGCUGAGGAGUAAAAUUUCUUGAUGUUGCGUUGGGUGCGUUGUUGACUUCUGAAUCCUGCGACUGCGGCCGAGGAAAGAACACAUCUCGGCCUUCGGGUUCUAUAGCCUGAAGACAAGGCUACUAGUUCUACGAAGUUCACAAAUUGUCGGUCCCAGAUUCGGUCACAAUGAUUAUAUUCAUAAGAGUAUAAGCACGCCGAAUCGACACCAGAGUAUAUGGACACAAAUACUUAAAACAAAUGUACGGCUUGAUUGUGAAGGUAGUUCGACCGUCAGAAUGCCGAACUCUAAAACCUAUUUGUGAAUAACCAAUCAUAAACAACUCGACGUUCAAUGUGCCGAGCCCAGUGACUCGCGAUACCUCACUUCCCCGAGAAGGCUAAUGAGAUGACCUCUGUCAAUAAGGAUUCAAAAAUCCUUCUCGACCGAGACUUGGAUAGAUAACUAGUCGGCCUCGACGCAGUGCUGUUUAUCCAAACUGAAGGUGCUCUACGGUCGCCUGAUUCUACGACUUCAGUGUUGUUUAUCCAAACUAAAGAUGUCGCCGGUUGCCUUCACAAUGCUAUUUAUCCAAACUAAAGAUGUGUCCGCGGAAAAGGAAAAUAAAAACUCAAGGUUGUUGGAGGUUUCGCGAAAGCGAGGGUUUGCGCAGGAUAGUUUAUGUGUUGAAUUGGAGAGGUCUUAAUGAUGUUCUCCUCCCUCUAUUUAUAAUAGUCAACCUACUUCCACUCGAAUCACAACCACCAGCGACUCCUAAGCACGGCCUCUGGGCUGAGAACAAAUCUAAACUCGGCCCAAACAAAGAGCAAAUGACUUCUUAAUAUAUUAUGACAUAUUACUAAUUUGUAAUCAAAAUUGGAUGGAUUUAGAAUUGAGAAUUGGGAAGGAACUAAAUUGACGAGGAGUUAGAAUACAGAUGUUUAUAAAAAUUGUUACUGAACAAUCUAAAAUCAGAGUAGAAAUGAUAUCGAUUUUAUAUAAACUAUUUAUUAAUUCACAUAAAUCAAGAAGGAAAUGAAUUUGAUUUUUAAAAUUUUGUACAAGUUGUUGGGUUAAUAGAAUGAAUGGACAAACUUGAAAUUUUAGAAAUAAUGUGGGGACAUAAUAUGUAAAAAAGAUGAAUUCCUGAUUAUAUAUACUUGUUUUCUAGGAAUCAGAAUUUUUUUUUUGUUUGAGAGAAAUACUAGGAAUCAGAAUAUUACUCCUUAAAGAGUCGAUUUCUCUAUAAUUAAGAGUUGAUUUCGUUAUUUUGUGCGGCUCCGUAAUUACUCAUUAGUUAGUAAAUACACAAUAAUCCAUGAUCAGAAUCUGUUUUCUUAUUUUGAUUUGAAUUAUGGAUCAGCUGUAAACGUGUCAUAUAAAGCUAAGUAAUGCUCAUUUUUAACAGUAUAAUUUCAUGAGUGGGAGCUUUGCAUUGGAGUUUGCACUAGCAUCAACGAAAUGGAUGUUACCCUUUUGCCUAGAAAUCAUAGGUGGUCCUGCCGACGAGCACCAAAUUCAAAUAAUUCGCACACAUGCACUGAUGCGCAAACACUCACUCUCUCCGUGUCUCUGCAGAAUCUUUGCAGGUCUGUUUUGUUCCCUUCCUUCUUCUUCCCCAAACAAAAACCAAACGGAAAGAAAGAAAGAAAAAACAGAAAAAUAAAGCAAGUAUAUAUACCCAAACAGCUCCUCUACGCUGGACAUGUCCUGAAGCUCUCUCCCUUUAUCCCAAAAUUCAACAUGAUUGGUUUUGGUACUGCAUAUAUAUCGAUCAAGUUACCUCACGGCAACAAAAGCCUACUCAUGCACCUUUAAUGCUAGCUAGGGUUUCCACUUCAUAUAUGUGCAUGUAUGUCUGUUUCCUAGUAUUUACUGUGAUUCCUUUGUCUGCAUGUAUAGUACGUCGUACAUGAAAAACCCUAUCCAUCCAUGCAUAGGUCACGUCAACCUUCCCCAUUUGUACAAGGCAAACCAAGCUGUUGGUGCCUCAUCCUUCAGUUCUCGACUGAAAAUUAUAUAUUACGUUUUGCAGCUGCUCCAUUGAUUGUUUUCAGUCAUUUUUUACGUACUGUAUGUUAAGUUAUAAAAACCUACUGCGGUGAAAAAAAAUGAAGGAUGCCAAUCUAAAUAAGGAGAUGUUCAUGGUCCUCAGUUCAGUAAUAUGUUACGCCACAUGCAUGUUAGGUACAUCCACUGAUGUACUAAUUAAUUCAAUGUGCCCAAUUUAGCGUAGGGCAUGUUUGGGACUUAUUUUAGAACUGUGAAAAGUGCUUCCAUGAAAUUUAAAAUAGCGUUGUGCUUCUUAGAUUGUUUGGUAUUAAUGUUGUUUCUAGAUUGUAAUUGAGUAUUUCGGUGUUUUUUGGAGAUCGUGUGCCUUUUUGUUCUUCAAAAACUUGAAUUUUUUUUAUAAAAGUUUUAGUACUGUGCUUCAAACAAAAUUCUUUUAAACAAAAAUGUUUACAAACAUGAGUGUUUUCUACAUAAACAACGAGCAUUUUCAAACAUGUGCUUCUUCCUAGGUCGUAUGGCACUAAAGGUGUUUCUGAAUUAUAAUUGUUUUUUCUUCAGAAUUUAAAUCUUUUUUAUCAAAGUUUCUAUAUGCUUCAAAUAAAAGUGCUUUUAACAAAAGCGCUUAUGAACAUUUUCUACAUAAGCGAGAAUUUAAACGUGCAUGUAAUCUCAUUCAACGCUAAUGCUUAAAUUAAAAUAUGCAGACUGAGUUACUGAGGAUAUUGACUGACUAUAUAAGAUUAAUUAAAACAUCCAAUUAGAGUAAAUGGCAUCACAUAUGAGAUUGAGAUGAAGUAAAGCCAAGCAGAAAAAUAUUGAGCUCAGAAUUUUAUGGCACAGGCAGGUAUGCACGUAACUUGUGACCUCAAAUUUUGAUAUGUGGCACUUGUGAGCAAAUCAAAUCAAAGAUUUGAGACUUUAAAUAAGUUGUAAACUUUCUUUUUUGUUCUACACGGAUGAACCAAUUCAGAUUCAGUGCCUGCUAUGCUUUUUACAGUGGAGCAAUCUCCUAAUUUGGCACAUAUACUCAUAGUUGCCGCCAGCUCUAGAAGCAAACAAGCCGGUUAAAAGAAAGAGAUUUCUCAAGGCUCUGAGGAAUAUUAAUUAACUAAUAUUAACAAAAUAAAAUAUUGAAGAACGCAGGCUCUGACGAGUCAAACCUUGUGAUCAAAUGUUAAUUAAUUAAUAUUAAUUAACUAAUAUUAACAAAAUAAAAUAAGGAGUUUUAACGAAACACUUCCGGUAUUGUUCACUUUUAAGGAUCGAAAAACUACAUUUUUAUAUUUCCCUAGUACUAUUCACUACAUAUUUAUUUAUUAUUUUUCAUUAAAACUUAAAUUUUUUUAAAUUUUUCGUUAAUUUUUCUAAUAAAAUAUUGAAGAACGCAGGCCAGGGAAUACUAGGGAAGGUGAUCACUUCCCUUUACUUUGACCAUAUCUUGGGAGACUGUGAUUGUAAUGCUCCCCCUUCCCCGCACGCCCUUGAGGUUCCAUUACCGACAAAUCUCAAAUUUAUAUAAUGUUAGAACAAAUACAUAUUUUUGCAGUCCAAUAGAAAACUGUCGAUUUAAAGUUUCUUGCAGUUACCCAGAUUCCCUGUUCCCCAUCUCUUGUGCUGUUUUUAUGCAAGAAGCUAAACUUAUGUGUAUGUAACUAUGCUGCAUAUAGAAUAUACCCUACGUCCUAAUAUUAGCCAAGCAUUUUCUACUCUGUUUACUAGCGUGAAGAUUAAUUUGAACCUAAAUACUAUCAUCAACUAAUGCAUCUCAUGCCACACAGCAAGGUUCUAAAAUGCUAGGCGCUAGUCAGUCGGCAGGAUGGAACUUAGCGCCUAGCGGGGGUCUAGAUGGAUUUAAAUAAAUUUAUUAUAUAUCAUAUAAAUAAGGGAGUUUUAACAAAACACUCCCGGUACUGUUCACUUUAACGAAAAAUCACAUUUAUACAUUUCCCUAGUACUAUUCACUAUACCUUUAAAAAUGGCUUUUCAUUAAAAGGGAAGUUUUUUUUUUUACUUUUAGUUAGUUUUCCUUAUAAAUAGGUGUCUGCUUAUACUUAAAAAAUACAUAAUUGUAUUGUGAUACAAAAAAUUGCAUAAUAGAAUGACAUAUAAAUUAGGUUUUUUAGCCAAAAUGGUAUCUGAGAUUUGCAUAACACAUCACUUUGGUCCCUGAGAUUGAAAAUCAAUAAAAAUGGUCCAUGCGAUUGUCCACCAUCCAUUGUUUUGGUCAUUCUACUAAAAACUUCGUUAAGUAUCCCGGAGCUCUUGGCCGAAAGUUUGGGCAAUUUUCAAAGCUUCGUAAUUCAAUCGUUUCUUAACCAAAUUCGACCCAUAAUAUAUCAAGAUAAGAAAGUGUAGAAUAAGAUUAUACCAAUUUGGAAGCCCAAUGGUUGCCGGAGAUGGCCGGAAAAUAGCCUGAAAGUUGAUUGGUCUGCCCGAAAACUGGAAAACUCGUCGGAAACUGAGUAAACUUUAAACGUUCAUAACUUCUUCAAUGCUCAACGAAAUCGAGUGAUUCAAAAAUGUAAAUCAUACUUCUCGACGAGAAAAAGAGAAUGGUACAUUUCUCGAUUGUCAUGGUUUGGCUGGAAAAUGGCUUGAAAGUGGCUGUCUUGGUCUCGAGUUAGCCAAUUUCGAGCCGUUUUCUGACCAAAACAUGGUGAAUUACCCAUUGAGAAAGGUACCAUUCUCUUCGUCUCGUUGAGAAGUAUGAUUUUUGUUUUUGAAUCACUCGAUUUCGUUGAGUAUUAAAGAAGUUAUGAACGUUUAAAGUUUACCCAGUUUUCGACGAGUUUUCCAGUUUUCCAGCGGACGAGUCACCUUUCAGGAUAUUUUCCGGCCAUCUCUGGCAACCAUUGGGCUUCCAAAUAUGUAUAAUCUUGUUCUACACUUUCAUAUCUUCAUUUUGAUAUAUUAUGGGUCGAAUUUGGUUAAGAAACGAUUGAGUUAUGAAGCUUUGAAAAUUGCUCAAACUUCCGUCCAAGAGCUCCGGUACACUUAACAGGGUUUUUGAUGGAAGGACCAAAAUAAUAGAUGGUGGACAAUCUCAGUGACCAUUUCUAUUGAUUUUCAAUCUCAGGAACCAAAGUGAUGUGUUAUGCAAAUCUCAAUGACCAUUUUGGCUAAAAAGCCUAUAAAUUAUAAAGUAUUAGAACAUAAUGAAUACAUGGAAACAAGCAUAUAAUGUGUGUCCAUCUAAGUAUUCAACAAGUCUCUUUCAAUUAUCUUUCAAUUUAUUGGGAAAAAUCAAAUGCAAAAUAAAAGUUAUAUAUUUUUUGUUGAAGUGAGAGUCACAACCUAGGUAGGUGCUAGGCGAGUAUGGGCGGGUUAGGUGGGUGCCAAGGUGGUCUAGGCGGUUUGGGCUACUUAGACGCCCUUUCUUAAUUUUCAAACACUUAGGGAUUAACUGAAGUCGUAGCCAACCGCCUAGCGCUUAGGCGGGAAUUUUCAAAACAGUGAUGCCACUUAAGUUAAGCCUAUUAGUUCACCACUAAGACUAAUGGAUGUGAAACAACAUUCCAUGUCCUCAAUCACCCUCUUGCAUGCGAUAAUACUCAAACUAAACAAAUAGACAACACACAAUUGGGUGGCAUAGAGCACAUUUAGCCAAUAAGUAUCAACCGUGAACAACUUGCUCGGAUAUCAUAAAAAGUUUUGAAAUUUCACAACAAACUCAAUUGUCAAUAAAGAAAGUAGAUUAAUUAUUUACAAGAACAUACAAGGUCCCAUAACUUUUCCAUGUGCGACUUUUUAAUAAUGUAUAUUAGUGAAAACCCUAAAAAGAAUUUCUUCAAUAUCAACCCAUUGACUAUAUGAUCACCUCAAAAGAAUGAGCACAUAUAUCAGGUCCAGAGCAUCGAAAUAUAUUAGUCUCUUGGAGAUGAGGUAAUGUCAUUGCCCUAAAAACUGCAAUUAUUUCAUAAUCUAUAUAUAUAAAGGGAGAAGACAAAAUUUGUUAAGCUUUGAUACUUCCGUAUGUCUUAGAUACGCUAAUGUAGAUGAAUGGGUUCUAAUCAAAUUUUGUAUUGGUUGACUAGGCCUAAAUUCAAAGACCCAAUUUAUAAACAGGAUUUUGAAAAUCUUUUUACUAGAUUUUGUAUAAAAUUUUCAAUCUUGGUCAUUAAAUUUUCUAUUAAGAAGAAAGUGAGGAAAUAAGAUUGGUGGGAGGCAUAACAUCUUUUACUAUUAACUAGAGAAGUUUUAGUAGACCUAUAGCUGGUUAGUAUAUAUAUAAUUUGAUGAUUUGAUGUACAUGGCUUAUUUGGAAGUGUUCAAAAUAAUUGAAAGUGUUUUUUGUGAAAAUGUUAUUUAUAUUAAUCUUUUAGUAAAAAUUUUAAUUGAUCAUGAAAAAGCUUUUGAAAUGUUUUAUGCAAAAAACACAUAUUUGAUGCUCCAUUAAAAAAACAUUUAAAGUGUUUUCGGAAUCCAAAAUUAAUUUCAUUAAAAUCGCUUUCAAUCAUUUGAAAUGCACUUCCAAACGAGUGCACAGUUUAGACAUUGUAAACUGCACAACAAACUGCACAAGGAUCAUUGUAAAUUGUAAAUUAAAAUUAGUUUUGGUGAUUUCAUAGCCAACCAAGCUGGCUUUUGCUAAUUAAUACUCAAUUUUCAGGCUGUUCUUCUUUAAAUAAAACAAGGGGAGCUAUUAUUUUAUUUUUUAUUUUUUAUUUGGUAAAAAAAAGUUUUGUGGGAGAUUGGUUAUUCUCACCACUAGCAUCAGGAUAUACCUAUAAUCUCGAGCCGAAAUGACUUACACUUGGCACCUAAUUACCAGCUGUGAUUAGUAAGAAUUUACGUAGAAAUUUAUAGAUCGCGAAGUAACGAGAACUACUGGCAAUGGGAACUAUUGUUUUUUUUGACUAAGUUACAAUGGAGUCUGCCGUACGUGGUGUAAAAUUCCGGAGAACCACACGACCACUCGGUCCACUCCCUCCACCUGUGGACCAAACGGACCAACUCCUGCCACGCGGAGAGCUCUUGGUCCCUCUGGGUACGGGACACGACCCCAUGCAAACAUUGGAACAGUGGGAGGUCAGUAAGAGAUUUUUUAAGUGAAUGAUAUUUAAACGGCAAACGGUAUUUUAAAUGUUAUAAUAUAAGUGAAAGAAAUAUUAUAUUGUCAACUAUGGUUGUUCGAUCUCUCGUUGUUGGUAAUUUCUGGCAAUUUGUAAAAACUUAAAAAAAAGGCUACACCCCUCCUAAACUUUUAUAAAUUUUCAAAGAGGUUUUUGAUAUAUUAUGACCUUGAGAUAGAUAAACUUCCGCUCCUCCUAAAUUUUUUGUUACAAAAAAUAUAUAUAUUUCUUCAUGUCUUUUCACUUAAUUUUAUAACAUUUGAAUGACCUACCGGAAUAAGUAGGGGGGGCACAUUGACCGAACGUUAUUUACUUGCCCUUUUAUCAUUACCUUUUCAACGGGGGGCGGCACGGGCAGCCGUACAGCCACUGCAAGGAGAAAUUAUUCAUUAUAAUCGGAACACAGAUAAUACAUUAUAUGUUUUUAUAUAAAUGAUGGAAAAUUGUAUUUUUUAAGUUAUUAAUUUUUUAACACACAUAUCCUACAAUUUGUAUAGUAAUACGUGAUGUAUCAUUUCGUAUUUCAGUCACAUUGAAAAAUCUCGCCACCGCGAGAGCAAACUCUGUGCUGACGUCAGUCACCAGUCCGUUUACAUUCUUUCUGGGCCUUGCACCUGUCGCUGUCAGGUCCAUCAGGGCAGCCCACUGCUAGUCUUCCCUCCUCCCAUUAUAAACCUCGCCACUGCCCCUUCACUUUUUUCCACAUAAAAAUUUCCGUUGUUUCUCUCUUCUUUCAUUCUGUCGAUGGGGAAUUCUCAAAAGCUCUCUUCAAACAUGAAAUCUAGACACAAAUUUCCACUCCGAGGUAUGCAAAAUCUAAACCAUUUUCAUGUAUGUAUACCUUGUGCUAAUAUACAACACGUCACGCAUUAACUUUAAAAUUCUGAUGAGAUCCGUUGCAUAUGUGUUUUCGCAGACUUUCACAAAAGCGAAGACCAAAACGGAAGCUUUGAAUUUGGGACGAGUUUUGUGGUGGUGUUGAAGGGAGGUGGUGGUUGAUGGGAAUUUGGUGCUAUCCUACCUGAGCUUUUUCUUCGUAUUUCUAUAUUCGUUCCUACCGUAUUCUUUCAUCUUCUACUACUUAUCGAUCCCUUCCCUUCUUCUUGACCUUGUAAGACCUUUUCUUGACCUUGUAAGACGUCACGCCGGGUCUGUUGUCUUUGUUUUGUGUUUUGGUUCAAGCUUUGUGUCGGAAUUCACUGAUAUAGAGUUUGGCCUCCGUUCCUCAUCGUUACCGACCAACUCUUCUUCUCCUUCCUUGUCUAUCCCUCCUGAGCUGUUCCACAAUUACCUCAAACUAGAAGCCCACCAUAGCAAAUCCUCAAUCAAAGCAAGGACUCUUUUGCCGGUGGUCCUCCAAGUAGGGUUGUAAAAAAUGUAGAAAUUCAGAAAUAUUAAUGAGUAGUGACAUACAUAUAUGUUGUUUUUAUUCAGUGGGAAAUAAAUAAAAAUAAAAUUUUAUUUAUUUAGUUUUGUUAUUAUUGCCUGCAGCUGUUACUUAUUCUGUGAAGGCAAUCAAUUGGAAAUGUAUUAUUGUUGUGAGUGCAGAAAUACUGAAAUAUGCUGUUGGCAGUCAUCAGUUUCGUUGUUUUAUAUGUUGUUGGCUGAGAAAGUAAGAGAAUAAAUAUUCUCUCAGAUCUGUGCAAGACUUCCCACUCGUGACUGCUGCUCUCCUUUCCGACCCUAAGUCAACAAGGUUCACUACUUUACGAAGGUCGGGAGGGAUCAUAUCAUAGUAGGCCUUAUUCUUACUUAUAAAGAAGUUGUUUCCACGACUCGAAUCCGCAACUUUAACUUUUCUGAUGCUCCUAUCUUUAUGUACAAAUUAAAAUAAAAUCAACUGUAUUAUUGGAGGAGACCCUCUUUUUCCUUUUUUCUACAAGUUCUUCAUCCAAAAGCUGAUGUCCCUUUUUUCUUUUUUGUUGAUUUUUUGGUUCAUUUUAUCCCUCAUAAAUGUGCUGACCUGAGAGUCUGAGAAGCUCAAAAAUGGGGUGAUAUUUAUUUAUAUUUUGCUAAUUUUUAAUCAGUGAAUUCAUCCACUCAUAAAUGUCUCAGUCUUGGUCAUAAAUGGACAACUUGGCCGCAUUUGACUCAAAUCUAGGGUUUGCAUGCACUAGUUGAUAACUCAAAUCUAGGGUUGAAUGUACUAAUUGCAGCUGAAUUUACGGCUAAAUAAGCGUUGAAGAAUAUCAAAAAAAUUUAACGAGUAAUGACAUAUUACAACACAAAUACGAACAUGUCUUGUGAGUAAAAGAGUUUGUAACUCAAAUUAUUCAUUUUAUUUAUCUAUGCACCCGUAAUAUAGCGUUCAAAUCUCCUCUAUUGGUUCAUAAUGUUCGUAGCACGGUAAGAAAUGUCAGUUUCACCUCGACAAUGGCCAAACCUCCACCACGUGGUAAGAAAAGUCUUUACCUAACAUUAUACCUGGGUAGAAAAUGAUGAACCGUAUAUAGUUUUAGACAAAUUGUUUUUCAUCUGAACCAAACAUUGGAUAUUAUUGAUCGAGAUUCCCCUACCAGAUCGGGAAUAUAUAUUAAUAUAUGUCAGCAUCGUAUUGAGAAAAACUUUGUAUGCCUUGUCCACCACAUCAUGGCUUAGGUUUUGCCAGACCUCAUAAGCAAUAAUUCAUGGGCAAAGUGCUAUGCUCUUUGUGCGUAUAUAUGUCAAUUUUUGAUGUGUCACGAAAAUGAUGUUUCUGUAGUUUCUGUCGAAUUUUAGUUGUUAGUUUUCCAAAUUGUAUUUUCUCAAACAAAUUAGGUUAUGCAAUUAUCUAUUAGGAGAAAAUGGCCAACUAAACUAUGAUGACAUUGACUCCAAUGCAUAAAAAUUUGAAUUAUCUGUGAAUCCAGAUGAGUUCAAAUCAGGUGAUAUGACCAAGGAACUAGUUAAGGUGGGUAGGAUUUUCUCUUUCUAAUAUUAAAAUAAUUUCUCAAAUUCGAAUCUCUUUCUACUCCUCUCGCCAAUUACGUCAUGAUGAAUUUAAUUGUAUUUCUAAUAUUGAAAUAAUUUACAAGUUUGAAUUCUCAAUGUGCAGCACUUCUUAAUUCUCGCAAUUCAUUUUGUGGAUAAUGGAGGGGGAUUGUCUACCCUUCCAUUUCCAUACUUUUUUUAUGUCUUCUUGUCAUGUGUGGUCACGGUUAAGCCACGUUAAUAUUUUAUAUUUAUUUUUUAUAGAAAUAAUAAAAUAAAAAGUAAUAGGAAUAUAAAAUAUUAACGUAGCUUAACUGUGACCACACAAAUAAGAGGGGAUGUAAAGAGUAUGGAAAUGGGAGGGCAGACAAUCCACCUCCGUGGUUAAUUUGCAAUCUUGCACAAGCAAGAAUCAUUAAUUGGAAAGUGUGAGGGACGUUCUAAUCAUGAUUCUUUCUCAAUUCCAACUUCUACUCGAUCGCUCUAGCUCUUUUUCACUCCAACUCUAAACACGUCAACACACUCUUGAGUUUACGCUUCUUUAAAUGAAAUUCAAGCAAAUAAAAGAACGAAAAAAUCUUAAAAAUAAAUGAAAAGUAGUUGGAUACAUAAAUAAAAAGAAAAACUAACAAAAAUUCUAAAAAAACUUUGAUUUUAAUAAAAAUGACAAAAAAAAGUGUAAGUGAAUAAUACCAAGAAAUGUAAAAAUGUGGUUUUUCGUUAAAAAUGAAUAGUACCGAAAAUGUUUCGUUAAAACUCCUAAAUAAAACGAUAAUGAAAUUGAAUUUCGCCAAAUUAGUGUUGCAUUUAACAGUCAAAAGUAAUUCUAAGAUCGAAGCAAAAUUUGGUAGUAAUUGUUGGUUGGCAUAGUUUUUUACAUGCUAAGAGGAGGGUCAGAGGGGUGGUGGUGACUUCUUGUACAAAAUGAUGAUGUCCACAAGUGGGAAUUGAAAAGCUAAAUUCCUUUUAACCUUCUCCAUGACUUAUUAGGGCUGAGUGUGACUGAGUCGAAAGAAAACUCGACAGAGGCAAAAUCUCAUUAUUUCCUUCAUAUCCCACUUGAGACUCUUUCCGUUGGGUUUUACCAGCAUGGGGUCCAUUUCUUUCAAGCUUUUUCCCUCCUUUUGGUGACAUGCUAACAUGCAUGGCUCUUCCUCCGUGGUUUAAUUUUUUUCCUACUUCCUCUCAAAUCAUAUCUUCGAAGACUGGUGAAAAGUAUUACAUGUCAACUUGGCAAAUAAGUUGGACUACUUUUCUUAUUGUUAAUCGGUUUUAUGAUAAAAUCUUAACAUUCUUCAUGGUACUAGAGUAGGUUGACCCACGUGUGUUGCUCAAAGGUCAUAUGUGCACUGCUUCACCCAAUUUGUGUUGUCUACGUGCUUAGCUUGAAAAUUUGUCACACUGCGUGUGAGGAUGUGAAGGUUAAAAGAGUCACACAUCACCUUGCAAGGGUUUAUAUGUAAGUUAGACUACUUUUUUUUUUUUUUGUCAAACAAUCGAUUUGUUAGAUUAAAUGUUAGAUUACGGAGCCGACCAGAUUCGAACCCACGUCAUAGUGAAAGGGCAACACUCAUUUCCACCACUACGGUAGAGGGUCACUUGCAGUUAGUUAGACUAUUCUCAAUAUUACCAAUUGAUUUUAUAGUAUAAUCCAAAUAUUUUUUAGUAAAAGUACUUUUGUGUAAAAUAGAAAAAAUAAAUAAAAACCACUUGCAAAAAGUAGGGAAAUGACAUUUCAAUAAUGCAUAGAAGCAAAUUUCAGGUCUGCUUUACAAUUUCAUAAAAAGCGUGUGGUCAAUUAAGGCCCUGACUUUCUAAGGGGGAAGUAUUUUAUUGUUAUUUAAUUUUGGAUAAUGUUAUCCAUACACUUAUUUUUUUCUACACACUUUUUUUUUAAAAAUUUUUAAUCAUUGGAUUGAAUAAUAUGAGAAAAUUAAUGAUAAAUAAUUAAUAAGAAUGUAUAGAAAAUAAAAAUAAAUGUGUGAAUAGCACUGUUUAUUAUUUUUACCGAAAAAAAAGUUAUUGGAUUUUUUUUUUUUUUAACCAUGGUUAUUGAGAACUGUCAAAGGCUUGUGGUAUUUGGUUGGUUGUCUUAAGACUUGGGGCCUUUUUAAAUUUUAGGCUUAGAGAAAAAGCCCCAAGUCAUUCCAGCUAAACCUAAAUAAGAGACUUGGGCUUCCAAUGCAGCCGGAGGAUUUUCAUUUCCUUUUAUACCGACUUCGUUAAUUUCAAGUCGUAGAAUAAGCUUAUUCCAGUCCUUGUAAAUAACAAACUUUUAUUGUAGAAAUUUUAUAAUUGAAGUCAUUCGGUUUCUUAAUCUUUCUUUGAAGUUCGUCCACACAGAAAAUCAUUCGAAUAAUUGUUCGUUUAGUCACUUUAGUUUAAUGUGUUAGAUAAGUCAACAAUGUAGGUACAAAGUAACAUAUGUACGAUGUACUGUCUAUUUAUUUAAUACAUUUGGAUUACUAAAUGAACAUCAUUUCUAAUGUUUAUUUCGUGGGGAUGAUCUUCAAAUUAGGAUUAAGAAAUUGAACAGUUUCGAUUAUGAAUUUUCUAUCGUAAAAAAACGUUUUUUUGCAAGUGGUGGAAUGAGUUCAUCCUCCCAAGGGAGGAACACAAAGUAUUAUAUCCUUCGUAAUAUAUAAGUGCCCUCUUCCACAGACAAUGAAAGUUUCGAUGCAAAGACAGUAUACCCGCCUCUUUACAUUCGUGUGAGUCGAAUCUUUCUCUUCGUAAAUUAAGACAUUCAUAAUGGUAUAUAGUAUUGUAGGGAAAAAAAACCUAGGUCAGAAAUAUUAAUUUCCUCAUUUGAAAUGGAAAACAUAUCCCUUGUUAGUUUCAAAUUCAAUAUGAAUUCUAAUUUGGCUUUUUAGCCAAAAUGGUUCAUAAGAUUUGCAUAACACAUCACCUUGGUCUCUGAGAUUGAAAAUCAAUAGAAAUGGUCCCUGAGAUUGUCCACCAUCCAUUAUUUUGGUCAUUCCGUUAAAAACUCCGUUAAGUAUUCCGAAGCUCUUGGCCAGAAGUUUUGGCAAUUUUCAAAGCUACGUAACUCAAUCGUUUCUUAACCAAAUUCGACCCAUAAUAUAUCAAAAUGAAGAUGGGAAAAUUUAGAAUAAGAUUAUACAUAUUUGGAAGCCCAAUGAUUUCCGAAGAUGACCUGAAAAUAGCCUGAAAGAUGACUGGUCCGUGGGAAAACUGGAUAACUUGCCGGAAACUGGGUAAACUUUAAAUGUUCAUAACUUCUUUAAUAAUUAAUGAAAUUGAGUGAUUCAAAAACAAAAAUAUAGUUUUGAAUGGUAUCUUUUUCGACGGCUAACUCGUCAUGGUUUGGCCGGAAAACGGCUUGAAAGUUGCUAACUCAAGACCAAGACAACCACUUUUGAGCCGUUUUCCGACAAAAGCACGAUGUGUUAGCCAUCGAGAAAGAUACCAUUCUCUUUUUCUCAUCGAGAAGUAUGAUUUUUGUUUUUAAAUCACUCGAUUUCGUUGAGUAUUGAAGAAGUUAUGAAUGGUUAAAGUUUACUCAAUUUCCAGCGAGUUUUCCAGUUUUCCCUCGGACCAGUCACCUUUCAGGCUAUUUUUCGGUCAUCUCUAGCAACCAUUGGGCUUCCAAAUAGAUAUAAUCUUGUUCUACACUUUUCUAUCUUCAUUUUGAUAUAUUAUGGGUCGAAUUUGGUUAAGAAACGAUUGAGUUACGUAGCUUUGAAAAUUGCCAAAACUUCUGGCCAAGAGCUUCAAAAUACUUAACUGAGUUUUUAACGGAAUGACCAAAAUAAUGGAUGGUGGAUAAUCUCAGGGACCAUUGCUGUUGAUUUUCAAUCUCAAGGAACAAAGUGAUGUGUUAUGCUAAUCUCAAGGAUUACUUUGGCUAAAAAGCCUUCUAAUUUUAGUCUUCAAAAGCUAUUUUCUAGUCUCAAGUAGUUUUGAAAUCUCCAUCAGAUUCCUAUAAGAACUCACUCCUUAUAAAUAUCAUUCAUGUCACACCCUCUUAUUCCUCAAAAGCUUAAGAAAACCUAUAGAGAUUAACAAGAUCGACUGCUUUACUAAUCUUGAGUUAUUCAUGGCUAAUCCACAUGCGCUGGUGGGUUUCGGCUUCCGCCCUCGACCAAGAACUCAACCAUUUCUUUCUCUACACAAUGGUGGUCAAGAGAGAGCCUCUAAUACUGCUAUACAACAACUUUGUGCAUGUGGAAAACCUCUAGCAACAAAGAACCACGGGAAAUAUGGGAAGACCACGAAGGCUUAUAUUCCUUUUGCGAGCUCAAGAGGUUAAACUCGAAGGGCUCGUAUAUCCAUCGGAAGAUUGGCGUUGGAGGUUCUUGGAGCCAAGGCGAGCCUCAAAACUUGUUUACUAUAAGGAUGGAAAUGGUAACGAUUACCCUAUUGGCCGAAAGAGAAAAUUUCGGUACGAGAAUCAACAGUCGGAGGAACGUGGAGGGUGGCAUUUAGAUUAAUAUAGUCUUGUUGGUGGUGGUGAUGGUCAUGAACAAAAUGCCUCCGAGAAUUACUAUAAUGCUAGUAGUUCUAAUUAUGAUACUUAUUUUGUGAUUUGUCAGUUAAGGAAGAAUGAGAGGUCUUAUGUGAACAAGAAAAAUGGUCAAUAAUUAAGAUAUUGUACAUCGUUAAAAAAAAAAAAAGAUAUUGUACAGUAGGUUAUAGCGUUUGUAAUUAAAUUUUAUUCCUAGUUAAUUUUUUGUAAACAGAUUCAUCAACAGAAUGACUAUUUUUGUUUCCAACCAAAUAUUGAUAUGCUCGUUCAAGAAUUUAUGUUUAGAGUUUAGUUUUCUACAUACAUCUCAACUGGACCGAGAUGUACGUAGAAAGCUAAACUUUAAACUAUGAGCUCUAAACAAUAAUUACACACAGGUAAAGUAAUCGACCAUAUGAAAAUCACAAUAAAACUUUCCAAUUAACCAGCCCACGGAUAGUUGACAAGAAAGUUUCUAAUUAACAUUCCUUACCAACAUAAUGAUUUUCACACUUCUAUUUUGUUUUCUUCUGCAUUAUAUAUGUUUUUUCGAUACAAGUAAUAACAUAGAGUCGGAAUUAAACUCAGGAUCUCAAGUUCAAAUUAUGGACAAUACUCUUAACCAACAGAACUACAAGCCCAUUGCUAGUUUCUUUCUUCUGUGUUUUUCUUCUACAAAUCCCUUUAAUUUAUAAUAAAUAGAAGUGCACAGAGGUCAUUAGCUCAGGUGGUGCUGCUUGUACGUUUGUAGUUGGGGACUCUAAUGGAGUGAUCCAUUGGUUGCUAGUGUCUUAUAUAUUGGCUGCGGAGGGUCAAGCUCUUGUGGAUGGACCUCAAUCGGCAUUAUCCCAGGGAUUUUGGCAUGUGGAGAUGGAAGGGGACUCUAACAUUCUGGUGGAUGCUAUUAACAGUGGAUCUUCGUCCCCUUGACACCUUCUUACUGUUAUCCAUAAUGUGCAAAAGUUGGCAUAUAACCUUCAGUUUAUCUCAGUUCACUAGCAAACUUUGUAGUUGAUGUUUUGGCUUAUGUGGGUCACUUUUAUGAUAUUUUUGCCCGUUUGAGAUCGCUCUUGCCUUGGCUAGUGAGGCAAGAGUGAUGUAAAUUUGGAAUUUUGUUAGUUUUAGCCGUUCUAGGGCUUCUCCAUCAUUUAAAAAAAAAAUUGUUUAGUGAGCAGUGGAGGCAUUGGUACACUACUAAAUUAAACAGUUUGUGCAACGAGGAAGAUUUUGUCGUGCAAAUCAUUAUUAGUUCGCACAAAAACUAUGGCGACAAGAAGAUCGUCGCGCAUAUUUUGUUGCGCAAAGGUUGUGAAAAAUACAUUGCGCGACGAACAAUUUCAAACUCGUCACGCAAAAAAAAAUUGUGCAACCCUUUACUACUCGUUGCGCUAAAGUUAAACGGAUGAAGGUUUUCGUCGUACGAUAUAAAAGGGUACAAGUGCGCUUUGUGACUAGUUCGGCUCGAAAAGUUUGUGUGACGAAAAAUGUAAGAGGCGCGUGGUAAUGCGCAACGAAGUUAUAAGACGCGCUUAAUUUUGCGCAACGACUGGUCGGCGUCGUGCUAGUGUAAUUUUUAUUAAAAAAAACAAAUAGAAUAAAAGGAAAAUUAAAAAAAAAAGAUUUCAUACUAAUGACAAAAAAAAAAAGCAAAUUAAUGAAUAAAAAAACAAUUUUUAUUUAUAAUAUAAAUAAAAAUGUACGUACAAAUAUAAAGUUUUAAAAGAAAGUAAGAACACAACUAUGAAAAAAAAGCUGAAAAAUCUAUAGGAAUGUCGUUCAAAGGAUCUUGCUGUUGGUUGGGGACGGGUUCGGAGGUUGACGGGCCUGAUUACUGUGCUUGCUCAGUGUGGAAAGGCUGUGAGAGCGAUGGUGCAGAAAAACUGGGGAGAUGUAUUCCGGAGGAACUAAGGGCUUGUACAAGCAUCAACAUUUGAGACUUGUACAAUGCCAGCUCACUCCUUAGGCUAGCGACUUCUUGCGUCAAAGUCGUAACAUGGCCCUUUGACUGCGAGGAUAACGAUGCUCUACUCUCCCAUCGCCUGGCAUUUCCCAUCCCCUGACAAUAAGUCUCUGGCCUCCGACCGAAAGUCUGGUCCAACGUCUCUGUCACGAUGUGAAACCUUGCAUCCUCAGGGGAUCCACAUACUCAAUUGGCGUGUCCGAGGGAAGCUGGGAGGCAGACUCUUGAAGCACCGACUGACUCUUCUCCACCAUAGUCGCCUAUGAAAAAAAACAUGGAUUAUUAAUAGAAAACAAUUUGAAAUAAUUAGUAUAAAUGUUGAAUGCAUAAGAAAUUACUUACAUGAAAGGACUCGGUCAACUCAUCCUCAGGCCGAACAUAAACAUCAGCAAAGACGUUGAUCUCCGAAAAUUUUGAACCCUCCUGAAAUUGAAAAAGAUAAGGAAAAUGUUAGUAAGAAAAAAAAAUUUAAAAGUGGAAAUGAAAGAUGUAAUAUAUAUCUUCCGUCGCGCCUCCAUCCUAUAGGAGAAAGGUCUCGCGCAAAUGGUGUAGCAGAGUCUUCUUCUCCUGAUCGAUCUUGUUCGCCUUUGCCUUCUUCUUCUUCUAUUAUACAAAAAAAUAAACAUAUUAGUUGUAAUACUUAAAGAAAAUUAAAAAAAUAAUAAUAAACAUUAGUAAAAAUUAAAAAAAGUGAAAUGAAAGAAUUCGUAAUUAAAAACACAUCACAUAGCUCGGCUCCUGAAAAUAACCGCAAAGCCAAACCCAACUAUCUUGUCGGUCCUCCAACUCAUUCGGACAACCCUCCUCAAGAAAGACAUGCGGAUCAUCAAAAUUGUAGUUUGUCUGCAAUGUAACAAAUAUUUUGAAAGUAUUAGUAAUAAAAGACAGUAAUAAAUAUAAAUAUAUAAAUUUUACAUGAAAAAAAUUAAAAAGGCGACGCUACUUACGGACAAUUGGUUGCACACCGUGUUUUUCGUCUCCUUCGGCAUCGCCUUCCAAGACUUCCACCGCAUAUGGCAAAACGUCCGCACGAAAUGCCCAAUGUCAUGGGCCAAUGCACUAUGCUACUUUGCCGUUGGUGUUGCCCGAUGUCGCUCAUUGUAUCCGAUUGGGAUACGACUGUUGGUCACCCAGAUGACCUUGGCCGUCUUCAAUUGCCGACAAGGUCUCCUGGUGUUUUUCUUCGCUGCAAAGAGAUGAAAAAAAAAUCAUUAACCCAAAACUAAUAACAAAUCCUACAAAAAAUUUAGUAUAACCUCCCCUAUAAUUAAAACAUUUCCCAAAACCCUGAAAAUAACAAAAACAAUAUACGGUUUUUAGGGUUUCACUCAAUUCUACUAGUUAAUUUAGUUUGCCUUUUUACUGGAACUUUUUUUCAAUUGAAUUUAUAUGUAGUAACCGGAAGUUAGCUUUAUAUGGUUUCUGAUCGUUCGAUCUAGAUGGCUUGAAUAUUUGGCUUUAUAUAAAUAUGAUAACGAGCUGAAGAUUGAAGUGUCGAUUUAGGUUCUUUUUUAAUUGCUUUUAGUUUUGGUUGAAUCAAUGGUCUAAUUUGAUCGAACUUGUGUUAUCUUACUCUUUUUUCUUUGUAUUAUUUGAAACAAUUAUGGAAAGGUAUUUUAAGAGAAAAUCAACGUAAGAUACUUUUUCACCUUCUAUGACAAAUAUUCAAAGUUUAACUGAAGGUAAAAUAGAAAGUAUACUAGCAAAUCUUCCUCGAGAUCCUAGACUUCGACUUUGAAUAUCAGAAUAUGAUCCAAAUAUUAGAGAUCAAGUUCGAAGAGUUUAUUUACAUAUAUAAUUGUUUCAACCUCAAAGCCAUCAAAUUUCAUAUACAUCAUUUGCAAAAGCACAAUGAAUGAUAUUUCUAACUUGCGUCUGAAAAAUGAUUUUUUUUUAAUUGAAAUAAAUUAGUAUUGCACAAAAGUUGGUGGAGACAAAAUGGGAUGGACACUAUUCCUUGGUGUACUUGCUCCUCAAAUUAGUACUGAUUUUACAUGUUGCGACUGCUUCAGUUGAAAUAGUUUUUUUAGUGAUUAAUAUUGUGAAGAAUCCACUUCGUAAUAAAAUAAAAGACAUAAUUGAAAGAUAGUUUAGUUAUAUGCAUUGAAAAAGAUGUUUUGAUAGGCGUUUCUAAAAUAUUAGAACAUAUCAUGGACAAUUAUAAAUAAAAUUACUAUCAAUUUCUUAGAGCUAUUUUAUGAUCGUCGUUGUAAAUUUUAGCUUCGUCACAGUUAGUAAGAUAAAUGAGUGAAAAUCACUUCUAUUUGGAAAAUAACGAAGAAAUGCUGUCACUAUUACGAAACGACAACGUUUUGGCGACCGAUAACAAUCCACCUUCCCUCGAAUUCGACGAUCCUAUUGGUUCAACUCUGCACCGCAUUUACCACCACCAGCACCCUCCCGCCAUGUAUUUAUGAUCGCCACUCCGCCGCUCCACCACUCCACCGCUCCACUCCCUUCUUCUGGCUGCUAGGGUUUCCGAUUCCCACAUGUCGCAGACCCAUUUCAGCAAGGGCGACGAGGUCGAGGUCGUCACGAAGCCCUCCCGCAGUUCCACCGGGCCGUACUACCCCGCGACGGUGCGCCGCCCCGUGGUCAAGGACAAGGCCCACAUUUUAGUCCAGUACCAAACCCUGACGACCCCCAACGCCGUCAGCCCCAGACUCCUCCAGGAGAUAGUCGAAUUAGGCAAUGUGAGGCCCGCACCGCCGAGGGAGCUCUACCAGUUCUUCAAGGUGGGCGACGACGUCGACGCCUACAGAGAAAAUGGGUGGUCUCGCGGGACUGUGACGGACAUUCUGGAGAACUCCAAGUACUUAGUUGCGCUGCGGGGUGAGGAAUUUGAGUGCGAGCAGUGUGAUAUGAGGAUUCACAGAGACUGGGAUGAUGGCUCUUGGGUCCCUCCUAUUCAAGAAGAGGUAUUUUCUUUGAUUUUUUUUGUUUUUUGUUUUUAUAAUUUGUUUUAUUAAUGGGUAUUAUUUUUUGAUUAAUUUCCGUAUGAAUUUAUUUGCAAUGGGUUUAAUUUUGUUUGAUAUGAUUGUGACAUUUUUUGGGUAUAGUAGGUAGAAAUGUUAUGACAAUCACCAAACAUAUGUGCUAUGGUAAGAUUAUUAUUUCUCCAUGGUUUCAAUAGGAAAAAGGAUCACCUGUGAAAUUUAUGACAAGAGUGGUGUUUCGUUCAAGGUCAAAACAUGUUUUCAAUACUCCGAUUAAGUCAAAUCAACAUUUUGUGCUUUUAGUGAGAGGUCGAUGCAUCAGCCAAGUGGUUUUAAUCUUAGUUGAAGAGGAUGUAUCCAUUGACUUAUGCCAAAAUACGAAAUUAUUUAUUGACUUAAACCAAAUUCCGUACUAUAUUAUAAUAUAUAAUUGUUCAAGGUAGAUUCUUGGUGCAAGUGGUUGACAUCAAAUUAGAAUAUUAAUUUUCAAUCAUAAGUCAUUAUUUUAUGGUUUGCUUUGUAAAAAGUGAUUAUGUGUAUAUAAUUAUAUAUUAAUCUUUGGUUUGGUGCAGCUUUGUGUAAGUGAUUUAUGGUGUUUGCUGUAUGGUAUUGAUGUUCUGUUGAUUCAGUGGUUGCUAAUGUCUUCCAUGUAUACAUUUUCUAGUUAUGCGUUUCUGGGUAAUUGUUCUUGUACAAUGUACAGCUUUCUGGGUUUUGAAUGUGUGCUCAGGUUUUGAAAACUGGAAUUGCAGAAUAGUUCAUCUGGGAUGGUGGUGAAAUCUAGAAAAUUAAUAUUGAAAUUUAAGUGCGGCAAGAAACCACUGGGAGCAAGCUUUGAAAAUGGGACUGUGGUGGAGGUCAGCAGCGACGAGGAAGGCUACAAGGAUGCUUGGUACACUGCUAAAAUAAUUGAUCAUGUAGGAAAUAACAAGUAUCUGGUGGAAUACCUGUACCUGGUAACGGAUGACGGAACAAAGGAUCCCUUGAGAGAAGAAACAUGUGCAAGUUAUAUUAGACCUUGUCCUCCUGCACUUCCAUCGGUUGCUCAUUUCAAAGUGCUCCAGAAAGUCGAUGCUUGGUACAAUGAGGGAUGGUGGGAGGGCACCGUUUCCAAAGUUCUUGGCGGCUUAAUGUAUGUUGUCUAUUUCAGCUCCACCAAUGAAGAAUUAAUGUUUGAACAUUCCAAUUUGAGGCCUCGACAGGACUGGAUUAACGGACAAUGGAUCCCUGCUUAAAUGGUAUGACUUCCAAAAGCUUUUAUUUACCGUACAUAUCAAAACCUUUUGCAAUGUCUUUGCACUUUUGCUUUCUCUGUUUGCUUGGAUGGCAAGAAAUGAGAAAGCAUUACUUAUUGGAAGCUUGUUCUCACCGAACAAUAGUUUUAAAUUUUGACAUCAGUUGCCCUUGCACCAUUAAAGAAACUCUACAAUUGAGGAUCUCUGAUUAGAUUCCAUAUUUUUGUUGUACAGGUGACCUAAAACGGACAUGAUCACGAUGAGUUCGCUGACAUAAGGAAAUAGGAAAAAGAAAGAAGCAAAGGAGGCAUAUCGACUAUGUACUUCGUAGCGCUUAAUGUAUAAAAAUAGAAUUAGUUCGUCUACUAACAACUGUUGUAUUAAAAUGUUCUGGAGAGUGCCUUAAUCCAUAAACAAUUUAUCAUAUUUAACGGUCCUCGAUCUUGCUCACGAAUGUCAUUGUUUGGUUGCCGGAACAUGCACUGAGUGUCUUGAAUGAUAAAAUGCAGGAUAAUUCAGGUGGCUUGGGAUGCAGAGCUGAAGAUGCAGAAAACCAUGCCAAUGUUCAGCAGGGUAACAAAGGUACAAGUAAAUAGUGAUGAAAUUUACCAUUUGAGGGUUCUUUGACACUUAAGACGUCUUUGGAUUGGAUUUAUAGCUAAUGACAAGAUUUUCGGAAACUCAGAUAAUAGAUAGAGUCUUCUUCGAUCAUAUGACCUUGUCAUUCCUCUGCAACACAUACAAGGAUUGUUAGGAAUGUCUGAUUGCUUGUAAUCCCACGAUAGUACCAAAGUUCUUUUCUGCUAGUACAAUGUCAGGGACGAUAUGCGCAAAUAGAACACGUUAUAAAACAAAAAUUGAACUAGAGGGUCACUAAACAGACAAUAAGGACGCACUAAACUGUGGUUGUGUACGGGUUAUUGUCCUUUUAAUGUCUCUAGACCUAUUUUUAGUUAAAAAAUUGGCACUUGUUCUGUUUGUGAAUGUUUUCCUAAUAUCUGUAUGAGAUCAACAUGUGGUUUAUUAAGGAUUGUUUGAUAACCAUUUUGUUUUCAACCUUUUGUUGUCAAACAAGAUUCCAAUUUUUCAUAUUUCAAAAAAGUGAAUACAAACUAAAAACUAAAAACGAAAUGGUUAUCAAGUGGUUAAGCAAUCUUGGCCAUUUCUUCGUUUCGCAAUAGGUACCAGCAAACAUGAGGAACAAUUCUCAUCAUGUCUCAUGAUUGAAGAAAAUAAGAUUUGGGUUUUGACGCUCACUAUCUCCAUCGUGAAUCUCUCUCAUCGUAUUUUAGAAUUUUAAAAAAUAAUAAUAAUGCAAUAAGGGUAGUAAUAUCUACACACUUCUUUUUAUCUCUCACACACCCAUUACUAAUUAUGUCCUUUGAUUCUUUUCAACUUAUCCAAUUCGUCGGUUGAAAUUUGAGAAAUGCUGGUGGAAGGUAAAAAAGGUAUAUGCGGACCACUUGGGUUCAGCCCAUUGGCGCGAAACAUUUUCUUGGAUAACCUCCUCACCAUCUGUGGCCCAUUGCGAUUGGCCAACUUGAUUAGAGCCCACAAAGCCCAUCAAUCUGAUCAAAUUCUACCAACCACCUUCAAUUUUCUUCGAAACUCUCCAUUUCUCGAUUCUCAAAAUCCCUAAUUUAAUUCCAAUCCCAUUUUUGUCCCACCAAAUUAUGGAUCAAAGAUCCAACCUUUUAUCAACGUUUACAUUUCGUUUGCUCAUAAUUCCUCUGUGAAAGUAAAAAAUGGCGAACUCUGAAACUCAGAAGUGAAAUCCCACUUCAUCUCCAUGCAUCAGACUGCGUUCGAUCAAACACCCAUCUCGAAUUUUUCACCUGGUAAGCGAUUUCCAUACCCUUUUCCUAAUUUAGUCAUCUGGGUAAUUUGAUUUCUGUUCAUAUUUAUUGGAAUUUGAUCAUGAAGCCCCAAAGAUGUGGUUUUUUCCCGGACGAAGUCGUCCUCCAAAUCCUCUCAAAACUACCCAUUAAGUCGCUGUUCAGGAGCAAAACUGUUUGUAAACUUUGGUACAGAUUGGUUUCCGAUAAGUAUUUCAUUCAAUUGUACAAUGAAACGUCUGCUAAGAACCCUACGUUAUUGGUUGAGGUUUCGGAUUCGUUGGGAUCGAAAUUAGAUUUGAUUGUUGUGGAUAAUCGGAGGGGUGUUUCCGAAUUUUCAUUGGAUUUCUUGAGGGAUAGGGUUAAGGUCAGAGCAUCCUGUAAUGGCUUGUUGUGUUGCUCUAGCAUUCCUGAUAAGGGUGUUUACUAUGUUUGUAAUCCCAUGACUCGGGAGUUCAGGUUGCUUCCGAAGAGUAGGGAGCGCCAUGUGACCCGAUUUUACCCUGAUGAUGAGGCAACCCUGGUGGGAUUGGCUUGCAAUUUGUCCACCCAGAAGUUUAAUGUUGUUUUAGCGGGCUACCAUCGGACUUUUGGUCAUAGGCCGAAUGGAACUUUUGUAUGUAUGAUAUUUGAUUCUGAGUCGAGCAAAUGGAGGAAGUUUGUUUCGUUUCAGGAUGAUCAGUUCACCCAUAUGAAUAAGAGCCAAGUCGUGUUUGUUAAUGGUGCACUUCAUUGGUUGACUGGUAGUUCCUGUAUUCUCGCGCUCGAUUUGGAGUUUGAUGUUUGGAGGAAGAUGUCAUUGCCGGAACAAGUGACUUGUGUGUCUGGAAAUAGGUUUUACUUGUUGGAGUCAGAUGGUUGCCUGUCGGUGAUCCAGAUUUCAGAUGCUUGGAUGAAAAUUUGGGUGUUGAAAUAUUACGGGAGAGAGGAGUGGCAUUUGGUGGAUACGGUGAGUCUUCGAUGUAUCAAAGGACUUGUUACGGGCAUCUUCCCCAUAUGUCAGACUGGUGAAUGCGUUUUCUUGGCAACCCACAAGCAGAUACUGGUGUUUUAUCGCAAGACUCGUGUGUGGAAAGAGAUGUACUCUGUGAAGAACAGCUCUACACUCCCGUUGUGGUACUCGGCGCAUGCAUUUCGGAGCACGAUUUUGUCUUGUCAGUAAGAUGUGAAACUGCAUGUCAUGAACUUGUUCUGUACAUAGAUUUCCUAUGUUAAUUAUCUGUAUAUGUUUGGCCGAUUGGGGGUUGUCAACAGUGAUCAACAUUUGACUUAUGCAGUUUAAAUUAUAAUCCUAUGCUUUUGGCUGUGGCAUAUUAUCUUCUACUUUGUUUUCAUCAAUUUGAGUAUGGGACCCUUUGCUCAUUCUGCACUCUUGUUCUUGUUUAUUUCUAUGCAUUGGUUCUUGUACGAUUUAUUUAAUUCGAAGGCUAGAAAUAAACAGCGGUGUGAAGGGGAGGAAAUGAGUAUCUCAAAAUCACUUACCUUUGCUUUUUCCACGUUACAGUUACCAAAAUGUGAUUGUGUGACACUUUCGUACAAGAGUGCGGCUAGAGGUGGCCAAUCAACCUAUUGAAUGUUAAUGGGUAGCUAUUAAGAACUAUUUAGUUUGGUAUCACCUUACACUAUUAUCAUAGCUAUCAGUCUCACAUCUAUAUUAUGGUGAUAUCAAAUUAAACAUGUUUUAACGUGUAUCCACUACUACAAUUGUUCCAGAACAAUCUAUCAGAUUUACAAAUUUAAGGAUACACAAUUGUAUGUCUCCUUUUUAUGGGAGAAACUUGCAUACAAUCGGAAAUAUUCUUGUGAAAGUGCCUAAGCAUAAUGCACAAAACAAAAAUGAUUUAUUUUCGAACUUGCUUGAAAUUGCUUUUUCAGAAAGAACUUUUACUCAUAAGAGAAUCUACUAGAAGGGCUUUCAUUAUAACCAUGUUGAAGUUUUCAAGAGGCAUAUCACAAGAAACACUUCCAUGACUCAAAACGCAUCUUAAAAAUUUUCUCCAUACAUAAUCAAAAAGCACUUGUAGAGCGAUCAUCAAGUGGAAGUUUGGUUUCAAGGCCCACACGGUCAUACGGUCACACCACACCGAAAGAAAACUUUAUGGGCUUUUUUCUUUUUAAUGGGCUUUAGACAAAAAAGGAAAUCGAAUAAAUAAGGGACACGUGGGACCCCGAGGUCUGCGUAGUCCUGCGGCACGACAACUGUUUCGGAACAAAGAAAUCCAGUCAGCCAAACAGACCCCAAUUCAACUUCUCGGAUGAGAGAGAGAGACGCACACAGAGAAAACCUCCUUCGGCCUUAGAGCUUCUUCAUGAGUGCUUCUCUGUCCUUUUUUCGCAGACCCAAAAAAACUGUGACAUUUGGAUUGCUUGCUGAUUGCUGAUUGCUCAUUGAUGAUUGAUUACUGGAUGCUCAGGUCUUCCAUGUCCAGAAGAACCCAAUUCGCCAAACAUCCCGCUUUGAUGCUUUAUGGUAUGAGUUUCUUCUCUCAGUGAUCCCUUUGUGUGCCUCAGAGCUCCAGGUAUGUCCGUAUCAAUCUCUCAACGUUGAAAUACUUAAUUUCCAGUGGUUUUAUGAUAUGGGUUCUGCUCAAUUUUAUUGCUUUCAUCGAAUUUUUGUUCGGUGUGUUGGGAUUACUGAAUUGUUGGAAAUGGGGUUUGAUCAUUUUUCUGACAUUUGGGGAUUUAAACCUCAGUUGGGGUUAUUCGAUUUUUACUUUUAAAUUGAAAUUUAUAUCGAUUCGUGGUUGAUAAUUUGAUACAAUACUGUGUAUUAUGUGUUUCUUCCUGAGAAUUUUGUUUCUUGCGAAAUGAACAAUGUAAGUUUGGUUAUUUGUUAGAUUGAAAUUCUUGGGUUUUUGUUUUAAUUCACACCUCACAAGUUAUGCAGAUUACCCAAUAUUGAUAUAUGGGGUCCACCAUCCACGACCCCCUUUCCAUUGCUAAAUGCUAAUUCUACUCUUUAAUAGUUUUCUAAGUAAAGGUACUGUUAUCAGUAAAGUUGGGAAGUUUAGAUUUUUACUGAUAUCUGCAUUGCCAUUUUUCAGUUUGGUAAUCAAUUUAUCAAAACAAAUUCUUGUCUGAUAUGUGAUGAUUUAUGAAGAGUCGUAUAUUCGCGGAAGUACUUUACAAAAAGUUUUGAUUUUAUGUAUACAUGCAUCCUUGUGACUCUGUUAGUUUUUUAUUUUCAGAUUGUAUUUCUGGAACGGUUGCUUUGAAUUGAUUGUAAGUCGUCUAGCUUUGACUUAGCUUACAGUACGUCAAGGUCUUUUACCCUAUGGCUCGGAAGGGUAACCAACAGAAGAAUGCUGUAGAUCACCAGACAUCAAAGCACAAAAAGAAGGGUCCAGAUUCAGGGUGUACACUAGGAGAAACGAAAGGGCAUGGGAAAGCAAGUGAGGUGAAAGUUUUCCCUGGAGAAGAACUGCCAAAUGGUGACCAGCCAAGCAGUCCUCUUUCAGCCAGUUCGAGUAAAACCAAUCAUCCUGUGGAGGAGAAUAAAAGCAAACAAAAAUCUGGAAAGUCUUUGAGGAAAGAGAAGCAAGGUAUGGAUGCAAUGCAGGGUCCAGAGGAGUCAAGUUCUUUACGGAGUGAUUUAGGAGAUUGCAACGUAAACAAUGAAGCUCCAAGCAUGAGAGAAGAAAAUGGAACAUUACCUCCGAGCCACUUACGCCGAAAACAUACAAAAAGAAAAUCUGGUUCCUCUCUGAAUAGAUGGCAUAUGAGAACUUUGAUGGCUUGGUUAGAGUUUUCAGAUACCCGAUUGUUUAGAAACUUGAAGGCAUCAGCAUUGCCAUUCUUGAAGAUGGCUAGUGAAUGGUUGCAGAGGCACGAGCCAAUGUUUCUUACUGUAAAAAGUACGGCACUAUAUGCCCGUGAUUAUGUCAAAACAAAGUUUGAGCAGGCAUAUCCAAUUGUUUUGAAGUGGCUUAUGCAGUUUGGGGGUAUAUUGUUUCUUUUAUCAAUGGCCUGGUUGGAUUGUACCGUAAGGGGCAUUGAUAGCUUAGCUCGGAUGGGAACAACAUCCUUCUUUUCAGUUAUAUGGUGCAGCAUUCUCUCAGUAGUUGCUAUGGCCGGGAUGUUCAAGUUUCUGAUUGUAUUGGUAAGCCCUAGUAUUGCUACGUUGCUACGGACCACUCACCUCAUUAUAACUUACAGUCUCUUUGGCUGGGAUGUUUAUAAUUAUAGUUGGCUUUAUUUUUUCUACUUGUUUUUUCCCAACAAAAUGUACCUGUUUUGAGUCCCUUCGUCCUUUUAAACCUCCCUGGUUCCUAAUGUUUAUUUCUCACUUGUUGAACAUCCAAACUUUUAUGUAUGUGUCCUUAUUAAUAGUUAUCUGUUUUUUGCAAUGGGUGAGGCGGAUGGGUGAGUUUAAGAGUAUCUGUUAAAGUUUGCAUUAGUAUGCUCUCAUACAUAUUGAAUAAACUCCCAGGUCUUUGCUGCUUUAAUUGGACUUUUCGUUGGGUUAAUGCUCUCGAUUUUGGUGGUUGCUUUUUGUGGAGCUCUUUUGUUGUGGUUCUAUGGAAGCUUUUGGACAACAGGAUUUGCAAUCUUCUUAGGAGGUGAUUCUUUUACCUCCUUUCAAGUGCAGAUCAUCUAUUUCAAUUUUCAAGUAUGCAUAUUUCUUCAUCACAGCUUGCUGAGCUUUGACAUUCUUCAACAUUCAGGUUUGGCAUUCACACUGAGCCAUGAGCGUAUUGCCCUGUCCAUUGCCACUGUGUAUUCAGUUUAUUGUGCUUGGACAUAUGUUGGAUGGCUGGGUUUGCUUUUGGGGUUGAAUUUGUCUUUUAUCUCAAGUGAUUGUCUGAUAUAUUUCCUAAAGAACAACGUAAAUCAGCAGAGAAGACCCAACGGAUCCCCUGAACAAACAUCUGGAAUUCCAGGUCAACCAGACUUCUUUAACAGUGAGCAGGCACAUGCUUCAUCCUCCGAAAAUGUUCCAUUGUUUUCUGCCGAUCGUAGCCAAGGAGUACCCUCAACCAGUAGCACUGAUUCUGAGAUAACCUCUGAAGAUGAAGUUGUUCGGCUGUUAAACUGUACUGAUCACUAUUCCGCAUUAGGAUUUUCUCGAUACGAAAAUGUAGAUGUUUCUUUACUGAAGCGGGAGUACAAGAAAAAGGUAAGUGCCAUUCUUUCUUUGCUCUAAUAAGCAUGAAAAGGGAUCUUUUCCUGACUUCUUUGUUGUUUCUUGUUAUGUUAUUCUCUUGGAAGCUUCAAGAUUUGUAUGGCCAAGCAUUGAGUCUGAGAUCUAACUUUGUUUGGUGAAUGAUGACCUUUAUCUUUCCAAAGAGUCGUUUACAUAUAUAGAAGUACUGCUUCUGGAUAACAUGCUGUACUGUUCUGUUAAUAUAUUUCUUUUGCUUUAACAAGUUUGUUAUAUUUCUUAUCAGGCAAUGUUGGUCCAUCCUGAUAAAAAUAUGGGAAAUGAAAAAGCUGCUGAAGCUUUCAAGAAACUUCAGAAUGCAUAUGAGGUGAUCAUUCGAUGUCCAUGGAGAUUUUUUCUAUGAUUGAUUUGAUUAUGAUUCUGAUUGUACCACUGGCCCUUUUUGCUCCCAUAUUUUCUAGAUUUUGCUUGAUUCCUUGAAGCGAAAAACAUAUGACGACGAAUUAAGGAGAGAGGAACUGCUGAACAUUUUCUGUAGAUUUCAAAGUACUUCACAAAAGGUAAUAUAUAUCUAAUUUUUAUGCUUUCUUGUAAUUGGUUUUAGAAUUCAAUUUUUUUUUACCAAUCUCUUCCAUAUCCAUGAGGAAUGUAAGAAGGGGUUGAUAAUUGACAGUGAAGCCUGUCAGUCGGUUCCCGGGAUCCUUUCAUUCAACUUUGUGAUUAACUUUUGAAUUGUUAGCAGAAGCUUAUGUUGUUUUGGAUACAUCCCUUUGCUAUGGCUUCUGCUAGGAAUUAGUUGUUCAUUUACUGAAUAUAGUUCUGAGGGAUGUCAAGUAUUACGUGUUCUAAAUUUUUCCGCCUUACCUAAUAUUGCAAUGUGUUUCCUAGAAUGGAGGGCAUGGUGUCUUUCCCCUGGAUUUGCACACCCGGAAGCCGAUGGUGAAGACCCAUUUGGGGAUUCAAGGAGAAUCUCCUGCAAUAAGUGCGGCAAUUUUCAUGUCUGGGUGCUCACCAGGAAAUCAAAAUCUCAAGCACGGUGGUGCCAGGUUUUCGUUUACCUUUAAAGCGUUUAAUGAUGUUCUAUUAGUUUGCAUCUAUCAAAGAGGGUUUAGCAUCUUUAAAGAUGAUGCUGUUAGAGAUUUUUUUCGCCUGGUGCUGAUGUCCUCCUCUUUGUGGAAUUUCUCUUUUGACAGGAUUGCAAAGAUUUUCAUCAAGCAAAAGAUGGUGAUGGGUGGGUUGAACAAUAUUCCCAACCCUUCUUCUUUGGAAUGUUGCAGAAGGUAUGUGCAUUUAUAUAUGCUGGAGAAAGGUUGCUUUAGAAUUCUGCGUUAAAAGAGAAUAAAAAAGAAUUAUCACCAGUACAAUUAUAGUUGCUGAAAUUUACAUAAUGCAAGAUCAUCCUUUUUUAAACAAUGUUGUAUGUGCAGAUAGAUGCUCCAUCCGCAUUUGUUUGUGCUGAUAGCAAGAUAUACAAUGCUACUGAGUGGUAUAUUUGCCAGGUAAUUAAUUCAAUUUGAACUAUUUUACCAAGUUUAUCAUGGAUAUUCUUUUUCCUUUAGAAUAACACUCAUGCCGCCUUCUGCACCCACACACAGUUUUUGUCACAUUGAAAGCAGAUGUGCAUGAAGCUCAAUUUUGUUGUAGGGUAUGAGAUGUCCAGCCAACACUCACAAGCCAAGUUUUCAUGUUAACACUAGUGUGACCUCUAAGCAUAAUACUGGAAAGGGAACAAGUUCGGGGCAAACAGGAGGUCGGAUGCCAACAUCGAACUUGGAAGAAAACAUGACAGAGGAAGAAUUCUUUGAGUGGUUACAGAAUGCAGUGCAAACUGGCACGUUUGAAAAUUUUGGUACCGGCACCUCCACUGAGAGCCCAUCUGCCAAAUCUGCACCUGGUACCAAGAGCGGUGGCAGCACCAGUGGCAGUGCUAACAAGAGAAAGAAAAAGGGAAAGAAAUGGUGAGUAUCCAAGUUGCUCCGUUUGUUUCGCACUAUCUAAGCAUUAGUGAUACUGAUUCCUGAUAAGAAAGUUCAUAUGUUCAAUGUUGGCCUGUUGUUUUUUUUUUUUUUUUUUUUUGUCAGAAGAGAUGCCUGAGGAAGUUUGACAUCAUUAAUCAUAAGUAUAGAAUCCAAUCACCAUUAGUCUGCAACACCGGAGAGCUUGUAUUACCGUCUCAUCAUUCUUAAUCGUCUUCAUUUCUUCCAUUAUUUCCCCAUUUUCACAAGAACGUGGACCGCUAUAAGAAAAUUCGAGCUGCCAAAAAUUAGGGUAGUUUACAUUUUCGUGGCGGGUCAAGGCAAUAAUGUUGUUGCACUGCCUACAUUUUGCACUUGGGUUUGUGUAGGGAGAGAAACUGGUUGGACGCAAGGAGUGAUGAAAAAGCAAGUGAUGUUGGGCAGUGCAUUACUAUGUAUAUGGAGUUUAUGAAACCAUGUAAUCUGAUGGUUAGCUAUUUACCUCAUGGGAUGAACCCUAACGAAUAUGAUAAACCGGGACGGAGUCGAUGUACUCCUUGUUAUGCUCCCGAUAUGAUCACUUUGGUGGUUCAGCUUUGAAAUUGUGGUGUCGGAAUUGGUUUUUCGAUCUCCGAUGUGAAUUUGAUUCUUGACAGGGCACCUAAUUAGGGUGGCAAUGGAGAUUGAAAUGUAUUGAUGCUAAUCCGCCCUUGUUGCUAGUUAAAUUUUGGACUUGAAAAACGACCCGUUUUGUACAUUGGGUUCGCAAGGGCGAAACCAUGCUUAGACUAGGUUGAGCUACCGUCUGGGACAAAUUUUUUGAACAAAUAAAGAGAAUUAUUAUUAACGCUUCAAAAUUUAACUAUGCUUUUAAAAAAAUUAGCCCAUCUCACCAAGCAAAAUUGGUUCAUUUCACCCUAAUUUUUUUUGUUUUCUCUAUCCCACUCGACCCCACCAGGCCUUGAACCUGGGGCCUAAUCUGCCCCAUGCCUUACCCACACCCUCACCACUAGGCUAUUCCUAGUGGUUCAUUUCACCCUAAUUGAUCGUAGAUGGAGAAAAAGAAAAGUUAUUUCAAGUUCUGUCCUGGAGUUAGUUAUGUCAUUAGGUGGCUAAUACGAUAUUGUUCUAUUCUUAUAGUCCUAUUUAUUUUUCGACUAAGGUCAGUCGAUUAAAAUAAUGAGUCAUCCAUUUUAUAAAGAAAAAAAAACCUAAAAAGUCAGAAGAAAAAGAAUUAAAACAAAAUCGAUAAAGAAGGAAAACCAAUUAACUAGACCGUUGGAUAUCUACCACGAAGAACUAGAUGAAUCAAACGGUGGACCAGGAUAACCUUACAGACGGACAGGAUUUAACCAUCAAGAUAUAACUCUAUCGAAAUUACGAAACCACCCCUUUUCCUUCACUUGUAUCGCAAAUCGCAUAUCCUCGCCGGGUCUCUCUCCGCUCCAAAGCAGCUUCAAUGGGGGCACUCAUACACUCCUUCUCUGUAGCUUCUCUCACUCCAACGGCUCUAGAACUGGUCUGCAAAAAUGGGCCCUCCUCCAAAAACCAAAAUUCAAGCUUUCAAUUCUCAAAUGGGUUCUCUUCGUUUUCUUCUCGUCGGCCAUUUCCAGCUCAGAAGGUCCCAGUCAGAGUCAGAAGGUCGGUGAUUGUUUUUGCAAAGAAGAACAGCAACAAGGAGAAGAAGAAGGAAGACAACCACAGCUUUGCAUCGAAACCGGAUGAGGCCACUGGGCCUUUCCCUGAAUCUGUGCUGCUUAAACAGGUUCCCUUUCGUUUAUAUUUAUACACAAACUCCAUAUUUCUUUUACUCCUUUUCACUUCUUUAUUUUGGGUUUAUGGAUUUUUUUAUUUUGUAACUUUGGCUUCUGAAAUUCAAAGACGUUUGAGUGCGACCCUUUAUUUUUUGGCUGCUGUAGAAUGCUCAAAAUUUGUUAUUUGGGAUUUAAAGUUAGUAAAAUUCUUGUUUCUGAUUACAUUUAAAGUGUGGGCUUCUGAGGGGUUUCUUUUGUUUUGUUUUGUUUUGUUUCUUGGGAUUAUUGUGUUUCACCAUUCGCGUAUGAGCCUUGCGUUCUGAAAGAAUUGAGCCUUGCGUUCUGAAAGAUUUUAUUUUUCUUGAAAUUUUAAAUGAAGGUGGAUAAGAUAAGAUUUUUUGGGUUGCUUAAGUUUAUUUGUGGUUGGUUUUGAGAUGAGACUUUGUUAUGAAUUGCAGAAGAAAGUUCAGGAAGAUGGUAACCUUCUCCCUGAGUUUGCAGAUGCCGAAGAAGGUAAGCUAUCAUGAUUCAAACGGACUGCUGCUUUUCGAAAGGAAUGGCGAUUGCCCUUUUUUCCGAAGAAUGAUUCGGGGCCUUGCAGUUAUUGAUUUUGUUUUCAUUUCUAUGCAGAGAAGGUGUAUGAAUUUUUGAAGCUUCAGCUGCAAAGCGAUUUGAAUGAGGAGCGAUGUAAGUGCGGUUCAUGCUCAUUUUUCUUGCUAAGCGGAUUGCCUCUUGGUUUGACUUGUGUGAUUGAAAUGGUGAAAGAAAUUGUCUUCUAAUAGUUCAUAGAACAAAUGGAAAAUAUUAUUUAGUGUUUAACCAUGGUUGGUUGGUUAUAACUUAUUGUUUCCCUUGUUACAGUGCGCCACUAUGAGCUGGUUUAUCUGAUUCAUGAGAAACAUGCCGAAGAGGUUGGGAGUGUCAAAGAGAAAAUUGAAGGUUAGUUUUUCACUUCUAACUCUCUUAGUAAUGUCUCCGUGAACUUCGAUAGAUUCACAAUGAACUUUGAUGCAGGCAAAAUUUUCUCUUCUAACUCUCUUUGUAAUGUAUCUGUUAUUACUGAAACAAAUAUGAUAGGUCCUGUUAGACCGAGUCGUUAGUUUGUUUGAAGUCUUGUAUUUGGUUUCAAAGACUGUUUGUUUGAAGUCUUGUAUUUGGUUUCCAAGACUUCUCUCUUCGGAGUUGGAUAGGCUUAGGACUUUAUGUAAAUAGGGUUUUCAAACCCUGAAUGUAAUCUGUAUAUUGGCUAUAAAUAUACGCAACCCAAGUCUUUCUGGGUAUGCAAAGUUGAUGUGAAACAACCCUCUUGUCAAAUAUACAAAACCUGCAGUUCUUAAGGUUGUAUACGGUACAUAGAGCGUUUUGAGUCCAAUGACAACGUGGGAUUCAAUGGCUAGUUGUAUCCGAAAAGAAGCAAAAGAGGUAUUAGGAGAGUCCAAGGGCUUUGCCCCACACCAAAAGGAAUCUUGGUGGUGGAAUGAGGAGGUACAAACAAAGGUGAAGGCUAAGAAGGAAUGUUGUAAAGCCUUAUACAAGGAUAAGACCGAUGAAAAUGGUGAAAGGUAUAGAAAAGCGAAGCAAGAGGCGAAGAAAGCUGUGAGAGAAGCUAAGUUAGCGGCUUAUGACGAUAUGUAUAAGCGACUAGAUACCAAAGAAAGAGAGUUGGAUAUCUAUAAACUAGCUAGAGCAAGGGAAAAGAAGACAAGGGACCUAAACCAAGUGAGGUGCAUCAAGGAUGAGGAUGGAAAGGUUCUUGCUACAGAGAACGCGGUUAAAGACAGAUGGAAAGGUUAUUUUCAUAAUCUUUUCAAUGAAGGACAUGAAAGGAGUGCUUCUUUAGGGGAGUUGAGUAACUCAGAAGAGUGUAGAAACUACUCUUUUUAUCGUAUAAUCCGGAAGGAAGAAGUGGUUGUAGCUUUGAAGAAGAUGAAGCAUAGAAAAAGCAGUAGGCCCAGACGAUAUACCAAUCGAAGUGUGGAAAGUUUUGGGAGAGACAGGUAUAACAUGGCUCACUGACCUUUUCAAUAGGAUUUUGAAAACGAAGAAGAUGCCAAAUGAGUGGCGAAUGAGCACUUUGGUGCCUAUCUACAAGAAUAAGGGCGAUGUACAAAAUUGCAUGAACUAUAGGGGUAUUAAGCUAAUGAGUCAUACAAUGAAGCUCUGGGAGAGAGUCAUUGAGCAUAGAUUGAGGCAAGAGACACGGGUUUCGGACAACCAAUUCGGGUUCAUGCCAGGGCGCUCAACCAUGGAGGCAAUCUAUCUCUUACGAAGAUUGAUGGAAAGAUAUAGAGAUGGGAAAAAGGAUUUACACAUGGUCUUUAUAGAUUUGGAAAAAGCGUAUGAUAGGGUCCCAAGAGACAUUCUUUGGAGGAUUUUAGAGAAGAAAGGAGUACGAGUAGCAUAUAUCCAAGCUAUACAGGAUAUGUAUGAAGGAGCAAAGACUGCCGUAAGAACUCAUGAAGGACAAACCGAAAGCUUUCCCAUAACUGUAGGAUUACAUCAAGGCUCAUCCUUAAGUCCUUACCUUUUUGCGUUGGUAAUGGAUGAGUUAACAGGACAUAUUCAAGAUGAUAUUCCUUGGUGUAUGCUUUUCGCAGACGAUAUAGUGUUGAUAGAUGAAACUCAGGAAAGGGUAAAUGCAAAAGCUUAACCUUUGGAGAGAAGUGUUGGAAUCUAAAGGUCUUCGCCUAAGCCGAUCAAAGACAGAAUAUAUGGAGUGCAAGUUCAGUGCAAAUGGAGGCCAAAACGAGUUAGGGGUGAGGAUCAGAGAUCAAGAAAUACCAAAGAGCGACCGUUUUCGUUACCUAGGAUCUAUCUUGCAAAAGAACGGAGAAUUAGAUGGAGAUCUCAACCAUAGAAUACAAGCUGGAUGGAUGAAGUGGAAGAGUGCAUUCGGCGUGUUGUGUGACCGCCGUAUGCCACUGAAGCUCAAGGGAAAAUUUUAUAGGACGACAAUAAGGCCAGCGAUGCUGUAUGGCACAAAAUGUUGGGCGGUGAAGCAUCAACACGUACACAAAAUGGGUGUAGCGGAGAUGAGGAUGCUUCGUUGGAUGUGUGGGCACACGAGAAAGGAUAAGAUUAGGAAUGAGGAUAUCCGGGGUAAAGUAGGAGUAGCCGAAAUUGAAGGAAAGAUGAGAGAGAAAAUCGGUUACGGUGGUUUGGACAUGUGCAAAGAAGGCCUACUGACGCUCCGAUUAGAAGAUGCGACUAUGGGACAGAGGUUCAGGGCCGAAGGGGUAGAGGAAGACCUAGGAAAACUUUGGAAGAGACCCUAAGAAAAGACUUAGAGUACUUGGAUCUAACGGAGGACAUGACACAGGACAGAACACAAUGGCGUUCUAAGAUUCAUAUAGCCGAUCCCACUCAGUGACUUGGAUUUUCCAAGUCUCCAACCGAGAAGUUUUCCUCACUCGGGAAAUUAAGGGAACACUACCUCAACCUACAUGCUCCACUCACAAAGCUUCAACAUACAAGCUUCAAAAAAAAGAAAAAUUCAAAGAACUUAGCGAAGAAGGCUUUGGUGUAUUUAACACAAUACGUUGAAAUGAAGGAAAGUUUAUUUAUUGAUAUCCCCGAUAAGUUACAAAUAUGUACAUAUACUUGAGUCAAAAUAAACAAACAAGAGGGAGCCUUCACAAAGGUUGCUUAGGAGAAGUCUCAGCAGUCGGUAGAGCCCCAGAAAGAGAAGGCACCGGAGGGGGAUCAUUCGGAGCCUCAGUACUGGACAAAACCCUAGAAGAAGGAGGCAUCAGAGGUUGAUCAUUUGGAGCUUCAUUACGCGGUACAGCCCCAGAAGACGAAGGCAAUAAAUGCCUUUGGAACAAACCCACAAAUCUCUGAUGAUCAAGUAAAACCUGACCAUCAGAUUCCUUCAUCUGGUCAAGCUUCCUCUUCAUGUUUGUAGCAUAGUCAUGUGCGAGCCGGUGCAACUGUUUAUUCUCAUGCUUGAGCCCUCUAAUCUCCUGUUUGAGACUCAUCACUUCAGCCGCCAAUGAUUCAACUUGGUGGGUUCGAGCAAAUAGGCGUUGGGCCAUAUUAGACACAGAACCUGCACACUGAGCACUGAGAGCCAGAGAAUCCUUAAUAGCCAACUCAUCAGACCGUUUGGAAAGUAGUCUGUUAUCUUUGGGAGUAAGAAGGUUCCUGGCCAUUACCGCAGUGGUCAUAUCAUUCUUCAUCACGGAAUCCCCAACGGUAAGAGGACCAGUAGGGGAAACGAAGGAUGGGCGCCAUAUGUUGUCUGGAGAAGGCGGGGCUGCCUCUUCAACAAGGUUCAAGUCAAAACGACGGUCGGAGGGGCCAGACAUUUUCAAAGGUGUUGAAGAGAGAAGAGGUCGGACAAAUCAAGAUCUUAGAAGUGCAAGAGAGCUUCUACUGGUGGAUAUUCAAGUGUGCUUUGGAACUUAAUGUCAGCCCCUAUAAAAAUCUGCACUCGACGAAGCUUCAGAAAUCGAAGAGGCACCUGCUCAGAAAUCGAAGAGGCGUUUGCUUUCUCAAAAGCUGGGCUGCUCAGAGACCACGAGGGUCGAUCUCAGAAAUCGAAGAGGCGUUUGCUUUCUCAAAAACUGGGCUGCUCAAAGACCACGAAGGCCGAUCUCAGAAAUCGAAGAUGCUUGCUUUCUCAAAAGCUGGGCUGCUCAGAGACCACGAGGGCCGAUCUCAGAAAUCGAAGAGGAACCUACUUUUCCAGCCUUGUCAGCACCUGUCACACGCACACUCAGCUUUGCGGAAAUUAUGGGCAUUAUGUCGAAGAUUUCUGGCGAAGUAGAAAGCACAUGAAUCGUACUGUUCAAUCACCCACUUCCCACACGCAACAGUAACUCAUGGGUACCACAGAUAACUUUGCCAAAGUUCUCUGACAAAGUUGAGACACGUGAAGCUUGCAGCUCCCGCUACAUCGCUCUGACCAAGAAGGGUAAAAGAAUUGCAAAGAAACAACACUAACAAAGUUUAGACACAUAAAUUUUGAAGGUCUAGCUACCAUAUUAUUACCCAUAAGGGUAAAGGAACAGUACCACUGCUGGAUAAUUGGAAAGUCCCGGUGUGUCAACCUCUGUGCUUCGUGGCAAGGUAGACUAGCAAACAUGCCCAACCUUUACUCACAUUCGAGAAAACACUCCCAACAUGAUUGCUUGCUCCAAAAUCGAAGAGGCACCGCCCUCCGAAUCUCGAGAGCCAGACUCCCAACAUGAUUACUUUCUCAAAAAUCGAAGAGAGGGUAAAGGAACAGUACCACUGCUGGAUAAUUGGAAAGUCCCUGUGUGUCAACCUUUGUGCUUCGUGGCAAGGUAGACUAGCAAACAUGCCCAACCUUUACUCACAUUCGAGAAAACACUCCCAACAAGAUUGCUUGCUCCAAAAUCGAAGAGGCACCGCCCUCCGAAUCUCGAGAGCCAGACUCCCAACAUGAUUACUUUCUCAAAAAUCGAAGAGAGGGUAAAGGAAUAGUACCACUACUGGAUAAUUGAAAAGUCCCUGUGUGUCAACCUCUGUGCUUCGUGGCAAGGUAGACUAGCAAACAUGCCCAACCUUUACUCACAUUCGAGAAAACACUCCCAACAAGAUUGCUUGCUCCAAAAUCGAAGAGGCACCGCCCUCCGAAUCUCGAGAGCCAGACUCCCAACAUGAUUACUUUCUCAAAAAUCGAAGAGACACCGCUCUCCGAAUCUCGAGAGCCAGACCCCCAGCAGGAUUGCUUUCUAAAAAAUCGAAGAGGCAUCGUUCUCCGAAUCUCGAGAGCCAGAUCCCCGACAGGAUUGCUUGUUCGAAAACCGAAGAGGCACCACUUUCCCAACUUCAAGAGCUGGAUCUCCUUGGAUAAAGCUUGUCUGUAAUCUUCACACGCAACAUCAGCUUUCGAGAUACCAUAGACCACUUUUUCAAAGUGCUCUGACAGAGUUAAAACAUGUUAAGCUGGCAGCUCCCACUACCGUGCUAUGACCAAGCAGGGUAAAGGAAUAGCAUUAUUACUUGAUGUUAGGGAGACUCCUAUAUAUGUCGACCUCCAUCCCUAACGGACAGGCAGACCUGCAAAAAUGCUCAACCCUUUCUCUUAUCUGAGAGGGCACUCCCAACGAAGCCUUUCGAAAUAUUCAGCUUUCUUUCCCCCCGAUAAUACCUCUGUAAACAAGCUAUACUAGAGCAAGAAUAUCUCAUAUCAUCAGGGUUAAAAGCAAGAGUAUCCCAUAUCAUGCUUUUUCCCUGUCUUUUCCUUUGGCCUUGUUCUUACCUGCAAGACAAGGAGAAAGAGAGCAAUCAGUCAGCACUUGGAAUCAAGCUUCCAGCCAGGAACUGACUGCCUGGAACCCCUUACCUGAUUACUUACCUGGCAUUACUCUCGAGUACUCAUCUUCAACAUCUUAUGCUUCCAGGGAAGAUACCGCAUCUGCCUGAGGGGAACAGAUAGGGCAAGUGAGAAGGAUACAAGGAAGCAUGUGGAGACAAGCGUAACAGCACACGUGCCGAUACAUCCACUACUCUGUCAAAAGCAAAAGUAUCCCAUAUCAGCAGGGUCGAACGUACUCUAGAUUUGAUGGACUUGUUUUGACCCUCAAAUUCUUCAGUCGACCUUAUACUCUGGAGGAAACCAGAAAACCCUCCAGCCCGGUUCAAGAAUAAGCCUGUGGAAAGUUACUUCUUCAAAAGCAAAAGUAUCCCAUAUCAUCUCUUCUCAUUUUUCUUCUCUUUAUCCUUCAUGCUGCCUACAAGAUAGGGAGAAUGUGAACAAUUAGCCGGAGCUCUGAUUGCUUACCUUGUCUGUCACCUCUUUCAGCAGAUCCCCUAGCCCGGCGACUUGGGGGACUCCUACUACAUGGUUUGUAUCGCGCUUGACCAAGCCUGAAACUACAAGUAAGCUUCAAGUGAAAUUGAUACAUUACCUUGUGCAUCUCCACCAAUUACAGAUACCACCCCUGGAUGGAGAAAGAGUACUUCCAGAGAAGAUGCCACAUCUACCUAUGAGACAGAUAAGGCAAGUCAAGACGAUACCACACUCCGGUACUUAGAAGUUUCGUGGUUACGAGAUCAUUCUCCCACAAUAUUUCCUAAUGUCAUUUGUACUAAAUCAUUCACUUGUACUCACUAAAGGAGAGCUUGAACCUAUGUACUUGUGUAAACCCUUCACAAUUAAUGAGAACUCUUCUAUUCCGUGGACGUAGCCAAUCUGGGUGAACCACGUACAUCUUGUGUUUGCUUUCCUAUUUUUAUCCAUUUAUAUACUUAUCCACACUAAUGACCGGAGCAAUAUAGCGAAGAUCACAAAAAGUGACCGUUUUCGCUACCUAGGAUCUAUCUUGCAAGAGAACGGAGAAUUAGAUGGAGAUCUCAACCAUAGAAUACAAGCUGGAUGGAUGAAGUGUAAGAGUGCAUCCGGCGUGUUGUGUGACCGUCGUAGGCCACUGAAGCUCAAGGGAAAAUUUUAUAGAACGGCAAUAAGGCCAGCAAUGUUGUAUGGCACAGAAUGUUGGGCGGUGAAGCAUCAACACGUACACAAAAUGGGUGUAGCGGAGAUGAGGAUGCUUCGUGGGAUGUAUGGGCACACGAGAAAGGAUAAGAUUGGGAAUGAGGAUAUCCGAGGUAAAGUAGGAGUAGCCAAAAUUGAAGGAAAUAUGAGAGAAAAUCGGUUCCAGUGGUUUGGACAUGUGCAAAGAAGGCCUACUGACGCUCCGGUUCGAAAAUGUGACUACGGGACAGAGGUUCAGGGCCGAAGGGGUAGAGGAAGACCUAGGAAAACUUUGGAAAAGACCCUAAGAAAAGAUUUGAGCACUUGGAUCUAACGGAGGACAUGACACAAAACCGAGCGCAAUGGCGUUCUAGGAUUCAUAUAGCCGACCCCACUUAGUGGGAAAAGGCUUUGUUGUUGUUGUUGUUGUUGUUCCAAUUGUCCACUACCUUCUACCAUGUCGUCAGAAGUUAACACCAAUGCCACCAACUCCAGCAACACCACCACCAAUCCCAACAACCUUAACCCUACCCCACCACCUACAAUCAAUCCCUUUUCCUCCGCAAUGACCACCAUCGUUAACAUUAAGCUGGAUCGAACCAACUAUCCUUUGUGGUUGGCACAGAUUCUUCCUAUCCUGAAGAGUCGAGAUUUGAUGGGAUACGUGGAUGGCUCCUGUGUUUGUCCUCCAAAGCAUCUCGCUGGAGAUACAGCAGUCAAUCCCGCGUACACUAGCUGGGUGCAACAGGACCAAAUGAUCCUUAGUUGGAUCAAUGGUUCGCUCACCGCCUCUGUACUGUCCACCGUGGCAAGCAAACGCACUUCGCGUGCAACCUGGGAGGCUCUGGAGCAACGCUAUGCGUCAUCUUCACAAAACAGAAUCUUGUUCUUACGAAAUGAGCUGCUACAAACCAAAAAAGGUGACCUCUCUGUUGCUGAUUUCCUUGACAAAAUGAAUUCUAUUUCUGAUAACCUUGCCCUAGCUGGCAAGCCUGUUGAUGAUGAUGAGUUAGUUCAGAUUAUUCUUAAUAAUCUGGGACCGGCUUUUGAAAUGACUGUGAAUGCUGCGCAAGCACGUGAUACUCCUAUCACGUACCCUACUUUGGAGGCUCUUCUUCUCACUACUGAGAGGAGAAUGGUGGAGCAGACUGUUCCCUUGGUUGAAACUGCUCCAGUGAAUGCAUAUGUCGCUGCAAGAAGACGUGGUGGUGGUCCGUCCAAUCGUGGUUCUUCUCUGUCUCAGCGAGGGGGUGCCCCUUGCAACGGAAACAACAGUAACAACAAUCAACGUGUGCAGUCUGCAGACAGGUUUCCCUGCUACAUGUUGAUCUGUGAGGGUGUCACAUUUGGGGAGUGGUGAAAUUUUUUCAUGAACGUGGUUGGAUAGCUUUUUUGUUUUUAUUUUUAACAUUAUAAUUUCUUUUUCCACCUAACAUGGCAAGUGAGCUUGUAAUUGAUAGAAUUUCAUCUAUCUAUAAGUAUUGCUUAGAUUGAACAUUUGAAUAGCAACUUGCUAACGUUCUAUUCUACUGAUGAAGCGUAUACUUAUCGGAAUUCUUGUAGCAGGAAGUUCCCUUUACCCUUUUGAGCUGCAUUUGAAAUAUAUCAACAAAGUUAUAUUGAAGUUUAUCUAUGAAUUACUUGCAGAGUUUCUAGCGGAGAAGAAGGCCAGGAUAUGGAGAGUGAGCAAUUGGGGAAUGCGAAGACUAGCAUACCAAAUAAAGAAAGUGAAGAACGCUUACUAGGUUUUGAUGAACGUUGAGAUGGAAGCCAAAUGGAUAAAUGACUGUAAGACCAUGCUAGACAAGGAUCAAAGAGUCAUUCGGCAUCUUGUGAUUAAGAGGGAUGGCAAUCACAGAAGACUGCCCUCCUCCUCCCGAGUUUCACACCCUCGGUGGAGGUACAGAUUCUGAUGAAGAAGAAGAGGAUGAUAUGGAGUAUGAUGACGAAGAGUAUGAAGAUGACGAUGAAGACGGGAUUAUUAUCGUCGACGCUGACAAUGAUAUAGAAGGAAAUAGGGAACAAAGAAGGGUAGAACAACUAGUGUAGGAAAACCAGGAUUGACAAGAAAACUGAGGGCAGGGAGGGAAAGUGAGAAAUGUUUUUGUAUAAAUUUGUGUAACGUUUCAAACAAUAGAUUAUAUUUAAGUUCCAGCAUAUAAAAGAUUGUUUGGAUUUAUGUAUCUUAUUUGAUUUAAAACGUUACACAAAUAUAAUCUAUUGUUUUGAUUUGUGUAUCUUAUUUGAUUUAAAUUUAAGUAGCAUAUAAAAGUUUUGUUUGGAUUUGUGUAUUUUAGGGCUGGUUCGGUAUGGAAUCCCAAACCGAAAAUGGAAUCCCAAAUUCCAAAUCAAUUUUUUUCAGGACAAGAUUUUCGAAACCAAAAUCAAACCGAAAUUUCGGUAUUCUCGAAUUUUUUUUGGGAUUUCGGUAUGGUUCGAGAUUCAUCGACCUCUCAACUUCCCUGCCAACCCACACGGCCACACCUCAUCCCAGAUUCGUCGACCUCCCCACCCCCAUCUCCAUCCUUUUCAUUCCUGGGCUUGUGUUUGUUGCCUUCGGAAGUCGGAGGGCUUUGUGAAGUGCAUCGAACAGAAUCAGGUACUGAUCAUCAUCGAUGUGUGAGCUUUUCCAUGUCUUGCCAAACGAAAUCACCAUUAGAGGGCUACUCUGCUUUGCAAGCUUGCAGCAAUGAAUCUGAUGUCAGGGAAGAACGAUUGGGUUCCUCAGACGAAGGCUGCAAUGGGUAUGGUGUUUUGGGAAGAGCAGGUUGCCGGUGUGUCUGCUUUUGAAGAUUGAGAAAGCAUACGAAGGCUUGCUUCUGCAUUUGAGGGAGUCAGUGGAACUGUGGAAGGAGAGAGAGAGGGUUAUUGGUUUCAAGAAAUAAAAGAAAUAAGAAACCAUGACUUAUUUGAUGGUUUCAUGAAAGAAGAUGGUUUCUUAUCUAAUGAUUUCAAGAAAUAUGAAUAAAGAAAGAAGAAACUGUUGAUUUGAUUCCCAUGUAAGAGACUGGUAUAUAAAAAUAUCAUAACGCUGGAUAUUAAAUUUGAUUUUAUUUUUUCGAAGGUAAGAAUUUUAUUAAAUUGGAGUGGAGAUGUUUACAUCAGAAGCCAAUGUAUUAAACAACCAUUCAGGUUUAAGAUCAUUCCAACGAUGAAAGCCCCCUUCCCUUACCACAAACGAAACCAUUAGAUGUGCUGCUUUGUUAUACAUCUGAGGAGUGAAGAUAAAUUCUACUAACUAUGAAAGCCCCAUUCCUUUACCACAAACAAAGCCACUAGAUGUGCUACCUUGUUACAAGCUCGAGGAGCGAAUAUAAAUUCUACUGAUCCCACUCUUUGUAUGAUGCCAUAUUAAAUUCGAUUCAUAAAAUCGUGUAUGCCGUGCAUCAUAAGAUACCACCUAAUAUUGAAAGUAAUAUAAAGUUAUUUUGACUUGUGGUUCCGAAGUAGUUUUGUUUAGUUUGGUUUAGCUUAGUUUAAUUUAGUUUAGUUUAGUUUAGUUUAGUUUUGUUGCCUUACCUAGCUAGUGUUGUGGUCGCGCUACAAUGAUAUGGCUGGAUAUGGUUUUUGCAUUGAGCGAUGUGGUAUUUGGUCUCAUCUACCCAAGAUGACUUUAUAUGGUCUCCCUUCAGCAAUGACUUUAUGUGACCUUGCUAUUCGGUGGUGACCUUUUGCAGUUGCUGAUAUAAAUCUGUUAUAUCUAUCGUUCUAUGAUAGUUGUAUGGUGGCAUGUGAAAUUUUCGUACAUGUGGUAGCCGUCUAGGGGUUUACUAUUAUUGUCUUGCUUAAGCAAAUUCACCUCUAGAUCAUUUUCUUGGUCAGUGAUGUCGAUGCAAAUUUCCACCGUCUUCAGUCUUGACGAAAAUGCACCUGCAAAACAAUUAACACCUUUGGUCAAUGACCUAAGCCUCACACGCCCACGAGGUGGGAUGAGGGGUUAGGCUAAUGGAUCGGAUGCCUAAGUCAGUUUCUCUGAGGAGAAUAAAGUGUUCAGGGCUUUUUUAGGGUCGUAAAAGCUUUUGAAAUUUGGUAGAAUAUGAGGUAUUUAUAGGGAUAUGGCCGGCCAUAGUGUUAGGGUUUUACCCUACACAUGGCGGCAUCCUAUUGGCUAAGUGUUUUAUGGAGAAAUAUUCUCAAGAUAUUAAAUAGGAAAUAAUAUCUUGAGAUAAUGGAGUAAAUAUCCAUAAUUGAUUUAAAUUGGGAUUAUUUACUUGAUUGAAGUUAAUCUUCAAUUGGGAAUGUAUUAAAGAUAGGAUUUGGGUAAUUAAUCCUUAUCUUCAGGGGUGCGAGCUGCGCGUGGGAGCACCUAAGAAGCCUACCCAUUUAUUGAGGUCAAUCUUAUCUUUCUUGAGAAAAAGUCCACGUGUCACUUCUAGAAUUUUUGGGAUUAUUUUAGGCUCCACAAAUGCCCCCACACCUAUUAGGCUGCACGCAAGAAAAUGAUAGUAGGUGUAGAAAUCCUAAGCUGCUUGGGCUUGUAGAGUUGUUUCCCAAUUUGAACUUGAUAUCCUUUCUUGUUUUGGAGAUAGACUUCUUCUAGGAUUGCCCCCAAUACCUAUUUAAUUCUGCCUUAAGCAGGGGAUUAAAUAAAUUUGGAGAACAAUCUUCAUUCCAACAAGGAUGAGAAGCCAAAGAAAAGUUUUCUUCCCCCUUCCCUAGCUUUUUUCUUAUCUUGCCUUUGCAAAAAGUCAUCUCUUGUUGUUGUUCUUCUUCUCCGUGCCGAACCAAGGUAAGAAAAAAAUUUGAAUUUUCUUCUUCUUGAAUUUUGGAGAGUUUUGGGAUUUGAAAAAUAGGCUUGGCAGGGGCCGAGGAUGUGGGUGACACAUGGUAGGGAAGCCACGGGGCUGUUGGUGGUGCGGCAAGGGGAUCGGCUGGCGUGGGCUAAGUGGACGGCUCGGCUCAGGCCGAGGUGGCUGGGCGCUGGGGUGCGGAGAGGGGGAGAGGAGGCGUGGGCCUCCCUCUGUGUUAGGCCGUGCUGGUUGCAAGAGAAGAAGAGUCGGGUCCUGGGUCGUGAGGCUUGGCCUGCAGUUGGGCUCCUGCGACUUGGGCUUGGACUGAGAGAGAAUGUGAGGUUCGUGGGGCCUGGAGCAAGGGCGUUGGGCUCACGGUCCUUUUAUUUUAUUUUUUUCGAUUCUCUUCUCGCGAGCUACCUUCUAAAUAUUUUUCUUUGUACUUUUUGCAGAGACUUUGAGAUGUCUUCCUCCGAUAGAAAAAGUGACGAAUAUCCUCCACCUUUGUAUCGUCAAGGUGGUUCUUCUAGCAAGAUGGGCUACUCUAAGGCUGCACGUGUCAAGUUCAAUUCCGAUUAGCUGUUUCAGGAUUUCUCGAGGCGUACAAGCAUGCGAUUCCUUCAGAAGUUCUCGUCAAGCGGGUGAAAGAUGAAAAAGGCCAUGAACCAUGCGGUGAGGGUGCCACUGCUAGGAAGAUAGCUAUCAAAUUCCAUCCGUAUUACUUCAUGUUGGGAUUUACUUUUCCCAUGUCGUGUCUUUUCCAAUAGGUAAUCUACUCCAUGAAAUGGUUGCAUGUUCAGUGCUCCCCAAAAGCAGUUCAUGUGAUGAGAUUCUCAAACUUGAGCAGGUUCUUUGAUCUUGGCUUGACCAUAAAUGAGUUUUGGUACUUCUUCGAGAUUGGCCACAAGAAGGGCGUGGGGCAACUGAGGUCUCGUCAUAGACUGUUUGAUGUUUCUUGCACAUGUGCUCAUGGUUGGGCGAGAGACACCUUGGAGAUUAGUGGAGAGUGGGAGUCUGACUUUUCUCCUAAGCUGCGUGUUCUGACUAUCUUUAUCAGUGGUAAGUAAACUGCUUCAUUCUUGGCCUACUUGAAUUUUUGUUGAGUUGUUCCAUGGCUUCAGUUUACUGAUCGUCAUUCUUACUUUGUGUAGAUUCAAAAUUUGGCUCAACUCCAAGAACUUCGGCGAAUAAGAAGAAAGUGCACAUUGCCUUGGGCAUUCCUAUUGAGUACCGUGAGUGGCGCUAGCUGCUCAAUCAUCUUCGUCAGGAAAAAGGUGGGCUGCCUCCGAAUGAAGAGAUAAAGUGGAUAAAGGAUGAGGCGCUUGCUCGUCCGAUUGCUGCUGUAGAGCCUAUUGCUAAUGAAGGUGGAAAGAAGAGAUCUUCCUCACUUGCUUGUGAGCCUUUGGCCUCGAAGAAGCCGAUGACUUCUUCUACUGCUCACGGGGGUUCAUCUGCUGCUGUUAACCCUAAAAACUACUAAACCUACGUGGCGCGUAGGCCGAACAAUUAAUAAGCUAACUACGUCUUUUGGUUGUAUGCGGGGCAUGCCAACUCAUCAGCCGAAGAGUAAAAUAUGAUGAUGUUGCGUUGAGCGCGUGGUUGACUUCUUGAUCUUGCGACUACGGCCGAGGAAGGAACACUCUCGGUAUUCAGGUUCUAGAGCCUAAAGCUGCUAGUUCUGCGAAGUUCACAAAUCGUCGACGUCGGAUUCAGUCACGGUGAUUAUAUUCGUUAAAGUAUAAGCACGCUGAAUCGACACCAGACUAUAUGGGCAUAAGUACUCAAAACAAAUGUAUGUCUUGAUUGUGAAAGUGGUUCGGCCGUCAGAAUGCCGAACUCUAAAACCUACUUGUGAAUACCCAAUCAUAAAUAACUCGCCGAGUAUAGUAACUUGUAACACAUCGCUUCACCGAGAAGGCUAACGAGAUGACUUCUGCCAAUAAGGAUUUGAAAAUCCUUCUCGACCGAGACUUGGAUAGAUAACCAGUCGGCCAUGUUGUAGUGCUGUUAUCCAAACUGAAGGUGCUUCACAGUUGGCUGAUUCUACGGCAAUAGUGUUAUUUAUCCAAACUGAAGAUGUUCGCCGGUUACCUUCAUAGUGCUGUUUAUCCAAACUGAAGAUGUGUCAGCGAAAAAGGAAAACAAAAAUCUCAAGGUUGUUAAGAGGUUUUAUGUAGAGCAAGGGUUUGCGUAGGGCAGUUUGUAUGUUAAAUUGGAUGGGGUUUGUUCGAUGUCCUCCCUCCCUAUUUAUAGUAGCCAACCUGUAUUGAAUCCCAAUCAUUCUCGGAUUAGAACUCAUUUCCUCGAUCUAACCUUAUCUCAGCCAGUCCUACUCCUACUAGGACUUUGAACUUAACUCGUUAUCAGGCCGUAAUUAAUUUCAAACUCUAACAUCUUUAUCCUGUUGAAACUCCUUCUCAUAAUAGGACUUACCCACAUCCCACAGGUUCCCGACGGGAUAUGGCCAACUUCGACUACGCGGCCCAUGAGCUGGAUAACCCCUAACGACAUCUAAACAUGGCCUCUGGCCCGAGAACAAUUCUAAACUCGGCCCAACCAAUACUAGGCCGAGAACAAUUCUAAACUCGGCCCAAACCAAUAUUUUUAGGCCCAAACAUUGCCCCCUCGCUUCUGAGGUCGUCAAUCUAUACUCCUUGGUUUGAGCCUCGACCUUGAAGAAGUGAAACUGACUCUUGGGAACUACCACUAUGCGCAUUUAUGAGACAUAACCCCACGACCUUGAUUUCCCAACUGUUAGCCACAUGUCAACCCCCUGGUUACCCUAGCAGCCUUUAAUCAUAAUCCUCGAAAACAUGCGACCGCCGAAACAUCUCUUUUACACUAAACCCGCCGCAACAUGCAAUCAUGUGUCUUCAAACCGCGAAAACCUCGGUCUUCUCGCUUCAAUUUGUUGAGCAUGUAUAAUGAUUGGUAACUCUCCCACUUGAUUCUACCCUUGAUUUUGAAAAUCAAAUGUUUAGCCUUCCGUCCCAAAUGCGUAUAAAUACCGAAUCUCUUCCAUUCGUGCCUUAUGUUUUCCAAAACCCUUAAAAUUUUCUCGUUACUUUGUUUUCAAAACCUUCAAAAUCUAGAAAAUCGUAAGCUUUCAUCUCAGAAAUUAUUUAGCCUUCAUCAAUGGCCUCAUUCGUCUCAGAGCUCUCCACCGAGCGCAACAAGUACAAGGACUUCAUAGAUCAGAACGCCAUCAAGAUUUUGCAUUUCGAGAGUGACCUAAACACCAUUCACCAAAUUCUGGGCCCACUCUUCAAAGACACGGUGCCAUCAUCCGUCACCAACCUGUUAAAAAAACACUGUUUGGCAUGCUUGCUGCAAGGAUUUGAUUGGUCAAAGUGGUGCCAAACAAAACCCCAAAGAUCCUGCCCUUCGACCAAUGCGAACUGGGUGGCCUGUGUCGGUGCAUGCGCAGGAAUGCCUGACGGAGGUUAUCUAAAUGCGUCUGCCGUCGUGUUGAUUUGAUGACCACAUCGUCGACGUAGACUUCGACGAUGGUACCAAUUAAAUCAUGGAAAAUAAUGUUCAUAGCUCGUUAGUAUGUUGUACUGGCAUUCUUAAGGUCGAAAGGGCAUGACGACCCAUUCGUAUAUGCUGAGUGCCCCGGGACACCGAAAGGCAGUCUUAUGGACAUCAGCUUCGGCGAUGAAAAUCUGGUUAUAACUAGCAUGCCCAUCCAUGAAGGAUGUAGUCUCGUGAUGUGCUACGGCGUCAAUUAGCAAGUCGAAGAUCAGCAUCGAGUACUCGUCUUUGGGCGUUGCCAGGUUCAGAUUACGAAAAUUGAUACAGAUGCGUAGGGUAUCAUUUUUCUUUAGCAUCGGGACAAUAUUGGCCAGCCACUUGACGUAUCGAGCGGUCCGAAUAAACCCAGCUUUUAGAAGUCAAACUAGUUCGUCUUUUAUGCCGAGAUGUACUUCGGUCGAAAACCGGCAAAGGGGCAUGCGGAAAAGCUUACAACCAGCUUUGAUGCGUAAUUCAUGUUCAACAAGGGUCCGAUCAAGGCUCAGCAUCUCAUGAUAACUCCAAGCAAAACAAUCUUUAAACUCAUUGAGUAAUUGACAGAGUUUGACUUUCAUGGCAUGGGGUAAUAGUGCACUAAUAAAUAACGACCGAGGGUCAUCGGCCGUUCAGACAUUUAUUUCCUCUAAGAGGUCCUUAACUUGGGGUCGACUGUCUUUGAGUUCGGCCGGUGCGGCCUGAACUUUGUCUAAUGACAGUACUGGGCCGUUAUCUUCCUCGGCCAAAAAUUCAAUUAAGUUGAUGCUCGAAUGUGGGUGCUUGGAAAUAGCAUACCAAUAGGCCAUCAGACGUUCCAUCGUGGAUGAAACCGUGGCCUUACGCCUCUCGCCUUUGACGAUAAUCAUCAGUGGUAUGGAUCAAGUUGGCCAAGCCGAGUCGUGUCGAAUCCUAGUGGACAGUCUUGGCGCCUACCUCGAUGGCUUUUUGGACUAAGAUCCGAGUCGGUCGUCCAUCUUCAUUAAAACCCUGUAGGGUAAUGUAGCCGACGUGAUCAUCAUAAUAGCGGGCUUGAAUCAUGUUGGUUUCAAACGCCUGAUUAUCGGCUAGAUGGACCACGACUGAUUUGUUGUCCCAAAAAAUGAGAACUUGGUAUAAAGAAGAAGAGAUGCAAUUCGUUUGAUGAAUCUAAUCCCUGCCAAGCAAAGCAUUAUAUUCGGUUUUGGAGUCGAUGAUAAAAAAUACGGUCAUGUGAUUACGACCUGCAAUGUUCACCUCCAAAAGGAGUACUCCUUUGGUUUGAGACUUGUCACCGACGAAGCUGCUCAUGGUUAUUCCUAAAGGAAUGAGUUCGUCGUCGGAUCGUCGUAGUGCGUUCAUGACGGAUACAGGCAUGAUAUUGACCGUUGCUUCGCAAUCAACGAAAAUUUUAGAGAUUGGGUAACCUUCAAUCUGGGCUGUGACAUACAACGACUUUAAAUGCUAAAGAUUAGCUGAGGAGAAGUGGGGAAACAAGAUGGCUAGGGCUGUUUUAAGUUUCUCGUCGUUGUUUGCUGGCUCAUUUUCAGUGGCGGUGACGAAAUCAACUUGUGUUGCUUCCUCAACGACCACAUCACCAUCUAAGGAAUUUGGUUGGUGUGCAGUUGGUUGGAAUUUAGCAGGUAGAACAUGGACCAUGCUGAUUUCCAUAUUCUCAAUGACUGAAAAGCCCAUUGGAUCCUGGUCGUCGUCUUCCGGGUUAUUGAGGACUAUAGCAUUGUGCAUUAGAGCAUCCUCAGCCUGAUGAUCAGGUGUCUCGACAGGUACUUGCUCUUGUGCCAAGGAUCCCAACCUUGUUUCAUUGGGACUGUAAUUGUCAAGCUCGUUUGUUUCCAAUGUCUGACUUUGCUCCUGCAGUGUUUUUCAAGCACGUUCUUCAUAGGCGAUCUGGGCGUCCCUUGUGUCCAAGUAGGCGUCCAAACGUGCCACCUGAUAUUUCUUAUUGGCUGUUAGGCCGAAUAGAAACGCGGUCGAGAAGACUUCGAAGUGAUAUCGUAGGUGUUGAAGGUCUUCGAGAGAAAAAUAGAGUUCGGCUGUAUCAAUGUCCGUGUAUGGAUCGACCUUGAAGCCAGAAACCCUAGCCUCUCGUUUAUGCUGAAAUCUAGCUUUGUUUGCUGGGUCAGUGGUUUUUUGGAUGAUCUAUUCAGUAUCAGGGCAGGUUAGUGCCAAGUCGAGAGCUUAUUGACACACCUUAGGUAGUCCAUACAAAUCGUUGUCGGAAUACUUUUUGUGAAACUUUUUCAUGUAUUCCAAGGAUUCACCGAGGAACAGAGGGUAUAGAUUUCGUCAAACUCUUAUUAGCGGUUCUUUCAGGGGUAACGGGGAAAGUUGGCUUUCGGCCUCUUUCUUAAACUGCUUAAAGUGAACUUUCAUCUUCUCGGGCCGAAUGAGGAGUUUGAUGCGUUUCUUGGACUCUUUGAUGGUAGUUUCGUAGUCACGAUUGGUUUCCUUCUGCCCCUGUAAUUCAGCCAUGAUCGUCGGGGUUGGCUGGUCGUCUCCGCUUCUUACCGUCUCUUUCGGCUACCAUUUAGUGGCCAACAUAGUAUGGGCCGCCUGCCUUCGAACCAUGCAAUCUAUACGCUGACGUCGAUGUUUAUGAGAUUUGGAUAGCACAGCAUACAAGCCGGUGGGAGAAUUGUAACUGUACCAAUGUUGGUCACGUGGUUCAGGCAGUCUAAAGGUUUUUUGAUUUGAUGAUGAGCUUAAGCUAUUGGAAUUACGCGAAUAAUAAUCCUCAUUAUAAAACAAUGCAUCAAAAUCAAGGCGUCGUCCGUCUGUUUUUGGGGGCCGAGCCUAUCGAACACUUUCUGGCGCUGGUCUUCAUUGGGUUCCUUUGGAGGUGCUGUCGUGGCCGUAAACUGUUGUCAUGAUGUUGGAGUUUAAGUAUGAGGUAAUUUCUCCUUGGGUUUGGUUAAUACAAUGUGUGCCCUACAAUUGUUGCACAAAACUAUUGGCCCGUCACUUUCUUCAACACUGGAAUCUGACAUGAAUUUAACUCCAGCCAGUCUCGAAAACCCGGUAGAUGGUUCAUUGGAAAAUAGGUCGAUCUUGAGUCGUGGCUGGGAAUGUUUCUUUGGGACUUGUUGUACUGGGACAAACUCAGCCUCCCCUUUCCCUUUGCUCUUGGGUAAACGGGUGUCUACCAUGCCGACUGUUGCCGAAGGGAAUGGAUCAACGUCGAUCGUCAUCCGUUUUUUCAGAAAACUUUAGCUUGCCUUUGUCAAUCCAGCUUUGGAUAUCAUCACGGAAUACGACAUAAUUGUUUAUGGCAUGCUUGAUCGAAUUAUGAUACUUGCAAUACGUCUUUCCUUUAAGCUCUUCGGCCUUGGGAAUGUUAUGUCCUGGCCGAAGUUUGAUGAUCAUUGCUAAUAACAAUUGAUCGAAAAUUGCCUCUACCUUUGUGAUAUCAAAAGUGUAAACUUUCGAUGUUUUCGUCGUCUUUUCAGUGGCCGAGCGGGUUUUGGCAUCGUUGGAAUUAAGUUGAGUCAAUGCCUUGCAAACAUAUGGUUUAUCUAUUACUAUCUCGGUCGCGUCCACGCUGACGUAUUGGGAAUUUUUGCCUUCGGUCGAUGCGUAGUUGACCAUAGGAUUUUGUAAAUCGUUCCUUAGGAUGAGGAUUUCAAGAUCUUUUCUUCUCGGAGCAAAUAAUCAUAUUGCUCGACAUGCUGGGCUAAUUCAUACAUAUCUCGAAAGUUUGCCCCCAAGAAUUUUUGUUUGUACUCCACGUCGAGCCCAUUCAGACCAAGCCUAACAAAUUCGACUUUGGGAAGAGGUACUCCGCACCAAUUGUUGACUUAUCAGAUGCUUAAGCCAUCCUAGCCAAUGAAGAAACUGACAUUUCCAUCCUCGGCCAAUAAAACUGUUCGUGAAAUUUCUCGACCAACUCCUCCUAACUUUGGAUAGAAUUAGGUGGGAGGUUGAUAUACCAUGUGAACGCUGAGCCUGUCAAUGAAAAGUUGAACAACCGUAGUUUAUGAAAAUCACUAUUGACAUCUUCGCAUUGUGCAGUGAAAUGAGCCACAUGUUCUAACGAGGAUAAGGACGAUUCUUCAGCAAAAAGGUUGAAAUCUGGAAUCUUGAAACCUUUAGGAUAUUUAAAAUUUUCCACAUAAGCUUGAUAUGGGUGGAUGAAUUUCGGGAACUUCGGCCCUUUUUUCAUGGCUGAAUCGAUCAUCCAUUGGAUCUCGGUCACAUCAACGGAUGUUGCUUCCACUACUUCAGCCUGUAGCGGAUUACUUUUAAAUGGAAGCUGUCAAACCUGAUCAACCAGUCAUUCUUCGAAGACUUUGCUAACUAAUAGUUCGAGCAAUUUGGUGUGGGUCUCACCAUUGUUUUGUAUCACUUCGAGCAAACUGUUUAUUUUUUUACCAACUGUCUAUUGAACCUGUCGAGAUUGCUCAUCAAGUCAUCUUCGAAGAAACGACUUUGUCGGAGGGUUAGAGCCUUCACUGCCGUCUUUAUCGCAGUCUUUCACUAUUUCUUCAAUGAAAACGUCUGCGGUUCUGUUGGGUAUUUCUGCGUUUCGAGGUUGGGUACCGAGGCAUACUUCAUUUUCUCGAUGUGUUACACUUGCAGCCUUAUGGGUCACAGCGACAAUAGGAUUUCGAGCAUGUGACACCUUUUGUCCAGGACUCUGAACCAGCAGAUCGAUCGUUGAUUUUCCCAUGGUUGUUUUAUUUUUUACCGAUCGUGUCUUGAUGGUCAUGAACUUCAUAGUUUUAGCACUAGGUCCCAUUAGGCGUGCCAAAAUGUUGACUCUAAAAACUACUAAACCUACGUGGCGCGCAGGCCGAGUAAUUAAUAAGCUAGCUACGUCAUUCGGUUGUAUGAGUGGCGUGCCAACUAGUCAGCUGAGCUUGGUCGAGGAGUAAAAUAUGGUGAUAUUGCGUUGAGCGCGCGGCUAACUUCUUGAUCUUGCGACUGCGGCCGAGGAAGAAACACUCUCAGCCUUCGGGUUUUAGAGCCUGAAGACAAGGUUGCUAGUUCUGCAGUGUUCACAAAUCGUCGGCGCCGGAUUCGAUCACGAUGAUUAUAUUAGUUAAAAUAUAAGCACGCCGAAUCGACACCAAACUAUAUGGGCACAAGUACUCAAAACAUAUGUACGUCUUGAUUGUGAAAGUGGUUCGGCCGUCAGAAUGUCGAACUCUAAAACCUACUUGUGAAUACCUAAUCAUAAACAACUCGACGUUCAAUGUGCUGAGUAUAGUAACUUGUAACACCUCGCUUCACCGAGAAGGCUAACGAGAUGACCUCUGCCAAUAAGGAUAUGAAAAUCCUUCUCGACCGAGACUUGGAUGAAUAACUAGUUGGCUUUGUCGCAGUGCUGUUUAUCCAAACUGAAGGUGCUUCACAGUCGGCUGAUUCUACAACAAUAGUGCUGUUUAUCCAAACUGAAGAUGUUCGUCGGUUGCCUUCACAGUGCUAUUUAUCCAAGCUGAAUAUGUGUCGGUAAAAAAGGAAAACGAAAAUCUCAAGGUUGUUGAGAGGACUCACCCACAUCCCACAGGUUCCUGACGGGAUAUGGCCAGCUUCGACUGCACGGCCCAUGAGCUAGAUAACCCCUAACGACACCUAAACACGGCUUCUGGGCCGAGAAGAAUUCUAAACUCGGCCCAAACCAAUAUUUUUGGGCCCAAACAGCUGCUAGCUCGUCAUUGACUUAACUUCUCCAAAUGGGACUAGAAAGUCCAUUAAGCCUGAGCCUGUAAAACCUGCUGCUCCGAAGGUGACCACAUCAUUGCUGAGAGACUUGCCCAACGGAAGGGUUCGGUGGCUCCCCCGGUGUCCGGGUUUGUAUCGAAGCACUCAUCGAGAACUAAGUCUGGUUCGGCUUCUGAGAGGCUCGCCACUAUGAAGAGCGGGAAAGUGGAUUCUGCUGCUAAGGUAGCGUCUGGGCCGGUUCUUCAUUCUGCCGUGAUUGACUCAUCUGCUGAGAAUGGGAGAUCUGCUCGCACCGACAGUUGUGAGAGAUCCAUCUAGUUUAGGCUAGAGAGUUUCCUGAGGUUUGUGUGCUACUGAAGGCUGACUUGCUUGAGGACAUUGAUGUAUGCACCAAGUUUGUUGACAAUGUUGGGAAAGUUGUCAUCCGCUCAGAAUCUUUUGAGAAGCGUCAUGCCUACUCGAGGAGGUCCUCCCUGGUUGCCACAAUGCAUAAGACUUUGAUCUUGGCAGCUAAGUCUAUGUGUGUUAAUCAAGAUGCUGUCAAGUGUGCUAAAGAGGCCGAAGUGGUGUUGAUGACUCAACUUCGCUCGGCUGCUGAAAAGAUUGAGAAGCUCGAAUUUGAACUCGCCGUUUUGAAGGGGUCUGAUGUUUCUACCCUCAUUUUUUUGCAGCUGAAGAUCGUUAAUUAGGAGGUCUCUCAUUUGAAGGCUAAGCUUAGCACAACUUAGGCGAUGUUGGAAACUGCAAAGAAGGAAGUCGGUCAUGUUUCUCCGAUGGUCGAAAACCUAGAUCGUGUCAAUUCGGAGCUACGAUCUGCUUGUUUUGCCAAGGACGAGGAGCUUAUCUUCAUGCAUGUUGAAGUGUCUCGUCUCAAGGAGGUUGCCAGUAAGCUUGAGUUUAAGGAAAUGGAUUUGCAAGGUGCGCUGUCUGCUAGCGAGAACCUGAGAAAGGAACUGGAUGAGCUGUAUGGUGCUCAUAUUGGGUUUGUUGAAGAGAAUGUGCAGCUGAAGAAUGAGAAAACCAGUGACGAUGAGCUUAUCUUCAUGCAUUUUUAGGGCAUGCCGUCGGAUUAUGAGUUUUUUUAGAAGGGCUUCGAGACUUUCUUCAUUUCUCAUGUUGAUCUGCUUGAUUUCUCGUUUGAGGCUACCUUUGGUGGAGUAGCUGAGGGUCAGGUAAUCCAGGUGGAGGCGGCUAAGGAUGAGCUGAUGAAAGCUUUGGCUGCUAAAGGCAUGGCAGUCAAGGAACUAGUGGUUGCGCAUGCUGCCAAAUAGUAGUCUUUUUGCUUAGACUUAAGAAUUUUCUUGUUUUCCUUUCUGUUAUGCUUUAUUUGAACUUUGUUGGCUUUUGAGCCGGUUUAUCAAUUUGCUAGAAAUUUAAUAAACAGCUUUCCUUGCUUUGCUUCAUCCUUUUAUUUCGCCAUGUUUUUUGCAAAACUUUAUCCUAGGACGGUCGGCUAGGUGAGCUGCCUCCAUGAAUCAAUCGAUCCCACGUCAUCACUUAGGUUUUAGUUUCAUCCUCGAGGCUUGAAAAGCUUUACCUCUAAGAGGAAAAAAUGCGUGAUUUCUAACUUAUUGAGCCAGCAGCCAAACUCGUUGCCUCUGUAGGAAACAGGCAAGUUUGUGUAGCUACUACAGUUAUGAAUGUGGACUUCGUAUGGCUUCACGAGCUUUAACCCUUUCGGGGCGUAUUGUGAAAUUUUUAACCUAUAAAGCCAGCGGCCGGACACAUGUUUCUCAUAGAAAGCAGAUGAGUCUGCUUAGUUAUUAUGGUUGUAUUUCGGCUUUGAGUGGCUUCUUGAUCUCUGAUGGCUUCUUGAGCUAUGGUGGUUUCUUGAGCUAUGGUGGCUUCUUGAGCUAUGGUCAUUCGAAGGCGUGUUACAAGGUUUUUUAACUUAUAAAGCCGUCGGUUGGACUCAUGCUUCUCGUAGAAAGAAGAGAAGGUCGGUGUAGCUGCUAUAGUUGUACCUCGUUUUUGUCCCAGCAAAACUUAAGUCAUAAACUGUUGGCCUGAAGCGUUGUUGUUAAGUAACCAGAUGAGUCUGCGUAGUCAUAGCAGAUAUAAGUCUCAACUUACGGAUUGCCUUGGGUUGCCAGUUGUCAGGUCGUCGGUCGGGCGUCUUACUUACAGAAGCAGACGACCCACUUUACCACUUUAGACGUCAUUCCUAACUUUUGGAGGCGUUUUAGGCGGAAGGUGUAGGCAGAAUCGCGCCUCAAAGACCACAUUCUUUCGAGUUGUAACUUGAUUUCGCAUGUCGCUUAACUAGUAUUGUAACAUUUUAAAACCAAGCUACGUUCAUGAAUACUUGCACGUCGAGUACGGACCAUUUUGUCACGCAAACUCUUUCAUGGGAAGGAAUCCUGCACUUAGCGUCUCUUCUGGUUAGAGACCCGGGAUCCCGCGGAAUUGAAUCCUUCAGUUGACUAAGUCUAUUCCAGGGGAAGGACUAUCUUGACCAAUUCUUGGAGUCGUCCAACUCAAGUAAUUGCUCCAUUUAAGGGGAACUGAGCAGUUGUGCCACCCAUCCACAUCUAGAUAUUCCACCCUCUCUUUAUUGGAGAGCACACGCCAUGUCUAAAAGGCAGAGGGCGUCUUCUGCGUGUCACAGGGUUGGUCAGUCUAUUUAUGCAUUCGGACCAAGCUUGUAAAUAAUUCAUUCAAUCUUCAUUGAGAAUAGAGAAAUUUAUUAACUUUGCUUGUAGGCAGUAAUGGCAUAACAACCGGUAAUCCUUGGCAUGCGAGGUCUUGUUUGUCGAGCUACUUGAGUCUUUGAACUUUUUUAGUCUUGAAAGGGGUCUAAGGAAUGGUAGGAUGUCACAUGUAGUACUUUUUCUGGUUGUAGGCAUUCCAUUGCUUGUCGAUUUCUUUGUCGUUCAUGGUGGAAGGUGUAGCUGCCCCUUUUCGCCUACUCGGUUGAUUUUGUACGAAUCUUCUCAUAUAGGAGCCAACUUUUUAGAGCCUUCCAAUCGGGCAGUGAUGAAGGCUUUUCUGAUGACUAAGUUUCUUGGCUGGAACAGCCAGAUUUUUGCCCUCUUGUUGUAGUCUGAGAAGAGCUCAUUCUUGGGUUAUUUCUUCGCCAGGUCUAAGUUAGUGGCCAUCUCUUUCUUGUUCUGCUCUAAAUUUGGUAGUACAGUGCUAAUGCUUGGCACCAUGACGUUGGAUGAAAUGAUCGCCUUAGAGCCAUACGCCAUGGAGAAUGAAGUUUCACCAGUUACUUAUCUCUUGGUGGUGCGAUAUGCCCAUAGAACAUCGGGGAGCUCGUCUGGCCAUUUACCCUUCUUGUAUGAGAGGGUCUUCUUAAGGCAGUUGAUGAUGGUCUUGUUGGACACCUCGGCCUGCCCAUUGCCCUGUGAAUACCGGGACAUGGACAUGUGCUGCUUGAUGCCAUAUUUUUCGAAGAAACUCACAAAGUCUCUACCCACGAACUGCGGGCCAUUGUCGGUGACGAUAGAGUGAGGGAUGCCGAAGCGGCAGAUGAUGUUCUUCCAUAUGAAGUGCUAUAUGUCUGUCUGGGUAGUUAUAGUCAUGGGUUAGGCUUCGAUCCAUUUGGUGAAGUAGUUGGUUGUUAAGAUUAUCAUGCCUCUGCCCCUAGUGGCAGGGGGUAUUGGUUCUACCAAGUCGAUCGCACACUGCAUGAAUUGCCAAUGGCUUGUUUGCGGGUGGAGUUUGCUGGCAGGUGGUGCGGGUACGAGCUUGAAACACUGUCAACUGUCCUACAUUUGUAUAUACUCUUUGGCGUCUUGAUGCAUGGUUGGCCAAUAAUAACCAGUGCUAAGAGCUUUUUUGCGCCAGAGAGCGGCCUUUAGAGUGGUUUUCACAUACGCCAUCGUGGAUUGAGCUAAGAAUCUUAAGGUUGUCGGGAGGCGAUAAGCAGUUGAGAUGUGGUCUUGAGAAAGAUCUUCGAACCAGCAUGUCGUUCCACAUGUAGUAGCGUUCUGCCUUCAUCUGGAGCUGCUUGGAUUCCAAUCUGUCUGCCAAUAGUGUUCCGUUGACUAAGUAGUCGAUGAUGAGAUCCUGCCAACUCAGAGUUAUGUUGAUCUACACCACCUCAACUGCUGGUUCCUCAUCUAUGCUCGACUUCUCCAAGUACUCAACUGAGAUUAAACACUUGAGCUGAUGGUCUAAGGCAGAGCCUAGGCCUACUAGUGCGUCUGCGUGGGCAUUUUCUGUUCGUGGAACCUGAGUGAGUGUGUAUUCCUGAAACGUCGCUAGCUGUUCUCGUACAUUUUCAAGGUAUCAGGCCAUCCUUGGAUGCUUGGCUACGUACUCUCUUGAAGUUUGGUUGGUGAUUAGCUGGGAAUCAGAAUAGAUCAUAAGCUUCUUCAUCGAUAGGUCUUUCGCCAAUCGGAGACCUGCUAGUAGGGCUUCAUACUCCGCUUCAUUGUUUCAUGCCUUGAAGCUUAGAAUGAUUGCCUGCUCAAGCAUUAAACUGUCUUGGGUAGUAAGAACUAGGCAUACUCCCGAUCCUUGGUAGUUGGAUGAUACGUCAAUGUGCAAGCGCUAGAAAUCUCCUGCAGGUGGGGCCAGUGUGGUUACGGCGUGCUCAGUUGCCCCUAGGGUGUUUCUGGGUUGAGUUGUUAAGUGCAUCGGAACGUCCGCCAAUUUUUGAGCCUUUAACAUCAUGCGUCUGGGUUGUGCAGAAUAUCGCGUCAUGACGAUGACUGAGUACGUCUGAAGGUAUGGCUUGAGCUUCCGAGUUGCAACAGCUAACGUCAAAAUCAAGGUUUUAACUUUCGAGUAUUUGGCUUCCGCAUUGAUGAGAGCUCUUGAAUUGUGAAAUACCAAUGGUCAGGCCCCAAGCUCUUCUCGUAUGAGGGUAUAGCAUAUUACUUCUUCAGAUACCGAUAUAUAGAUGCAUAGGUCAUCCACUGCUUCCGGUUUGGAUAGUAUAAGAGGUGAUGUCAGGUAUUUCUUCAAGUCCUGUAAUGUUUUCUCGCAUUUCAUCGUUCCAUUUGUCUCGCUAUGUGUCAUAAUAGCCUUGAAAAAAGCUUGCAUCGGUCGGUAGGUUGCGAGAGAAAUCGGUUGAGUGUAGUUGCUUGCCAGGUCAGACCUUGGAUCUCUUUUAGAGUAGUGGGGGACUUCAUAUCCAGUAUCACUUAGAUUUUCUUUGGAUAUGCAUUCGGCGUGGUACGACUGCUGCUUAGGGUCAAGGGAGAUAUGCUCGGCGUCUUCUUCGGGUUUCCAUCCUGAUUCAUUUACCUGGGCAUUGUCGACCUUGACGCCAUCUUUUUGACCUGUAUGCUGUAAUUACUAUUUGGCAGAGGUAAAAUUGUAUGUCUACACUUCAGCUGUUACUGUUGGGGCUAAAGACUUCUUCUUUGUCUUCUUAAGAACUUGUACAAUGCAUCUCCGAAACAUGGCCUGGUCGCAUUUGAUCUCUCCGACUACUUCUUCCGGAAUGCGAAAUCGGAUUUUUUGCUACUCGAUCGAGGUCACAGCUCUAAUCUUCAAUAGCCAGGGUCGGCCCAAUAUCCCAUUAUGGAAAAAUGGGUCGCUGACGAUCAUGAAGGUCUACGAUGAGACAAUCGGUGAUCUGGUCAUGUCGAGUGUGAUGGUGCCAAUGGCAGUUGAGGUGAGCUCGUUGAAUCUGGUCAAGACCCCUACUUUGCGUUUGAUCGUGCUUUCCAGGCCCAUCUUCUGAAUGACUAACAGUUGUAGGAUAUUGAUUGAGCUGUCGUUGUCCACCAUAAUUUUGUCAACGAUGGCGUAUGCCAAUUGAACAGAAAUUACUAGGGCGUCGUCGUGGGGAAAGUCUACUCCAUUAACGUCCUUCUCAGUGAAACCGACGAUUGGUCCAAGUAUAUCAUCUACGGCUUGAACCUGAAAGACUGAUCUUGCCUGCUGGAUCUUCCUUUUCUUGGAGUUGUUGGUAGCCCCUAGAUGCUCGAAUUCGGUGAAGAUUCCACUGAUUCAAAUUGUCUUGGUUGAGGGCUCGACAUUAGCGUCUGCUUCUCACCUUGGUCGGGCAGCUGGCCUGUCAACAUACUGGUUGCACUUGCCUUCCUUCACGAGUUGCUCAAUGUAUCUCUUCCACGUGGUGUAGUUGUUGGUUGUGUGCCCGAGGUUUCUGUGGAACACGUAGUACUUGGCCUGGUCCAUCUUGGAGGGGUCCUCCCUCAUAGGUGGCGGCGGCUUGAACCACGGCUUGUCUUUAAGGUCGCGAAGGAUCUGGUUGAUUGGGACCGAGAACUUGGUGUACGUCUUGGGCCUCGUGCCUCCCUUCAUCGAGGAUUGGUCCCUACAUCUGCUCCCUGGCUUGUUUUUGUUGUUAAGCGGUUUAUCGCUCGCCUUCUUCUAAGUUGGCUCUACAUCUUUGCGCGACUGCUCAAACAGCUUAUAGGAUAGCUUUUCCUCAUCCCAAAAGAAGUGUUUUCUGCCAAAGUAUGAGAGUUUGCUAGGGUCAAGUUCUCGCCCAUGAUCAAUUUUUUAAAAAGUAGGUGAUUUGAUGGGAGUUUCUUUCGAAAAGUUGAGCACACGAUGCUGUCAUCGCAUUCGACGAUCUUUGCCUUCUCCGCCUUGAACCUUUUGACGUAUAUGUGGAGUGACUUAUGCGGGUUCUUCUUUAUGUUGAAGAGAUAGUUAGACUUCUUCUUGAUCGAGCGGUAGGACGAAUAUUCCUUAGUAAGUUCGAUGAAGUUCCUGAUUAAACGUGGCGACAGGGUGUGGAACUAGUCUUGCGUCUCGCCUUGGAGCGUCGUGGCAAAGAUUUUUCACAUGAGAGCUUCGUUGUUGGCGUAAAGUGUCAUAGCACUUCGAUAAUGCAUCAGGUGCCUACCUGGAUCUUCAUCUCCUUUGAAAAAGGUAAAAUAUGACAGGCUGAAUUUUUACGGUGGCUCCAUUUGCUCGAUCUCGUCUGUAAAUGGUGACCUGCUCAGGUUGGCCAUGUCUUUAUGGAGGGCAUCAUCAGUAGUAUCAAUGCGCUGGAAUCCGCGCAACUGCUUUGCUACGAGCCUUUGUACUUCUUCCUGGAUUUGCGCCUGGUAGGGCAGUAGAACCUCUAACUGCCUCCAGUGUUAACAUGCUGGUCUAAAUUGCUUUUCGACAUGUCCUGCUCGUUUGUGCCGUAAUCACAGUACACGUGGUUCAUUCUAUGUUGCUCUCUGUCACGCUUGGCGGGGGCUGCCAAUAGAACUUGAACUGGACUGCUCUAGUGCUCUCCUUUGUCCGUCAUGUAGCCGCAUACUCCGAUGCCUCGCAGAAGGAUCUUUUUGUGAGCUUAGCCUCGUGUGGACACUUCUUCUAUAAUGUCCUGAGUGCUUAUCGGAGUAUAGAUCGAACCUUGAAUGCACACUGACUCAUGAGCCGAGUCAGGAAUGAACGCUUCUCAGUGCAUUUAGGCAGGAGAAUACGUUUUCUUGAGGGCCCAAACGAAAGUGCACGCUAUCUAAACGCACGAUUCGUGAUAGGCUGAGUGGCUCUUUGCCGGGACGUCGCUAGAAUAAGUCACGUUUUUCCGCCCUUGUCAUACUUUAGGACACCUCGUCUGGGGUGAGCUGCAUCUCGAUACGCUCGAAGAGCUGGUUCACCAAGAUGGUUUUCUGCGCGAUGUGCUCAUCAAAUUGGCGACCUGUUGGGGCAGAUGGUGCUCGCCAUUUGGAUUAGAAUAGACUGGGAAAUGGGCAUCUCUAUGUGUGAUGAAAGUAUAAUGGACUGCAGGUACAAAACUUGAGCCCAAAGCGGGUAUUCUUGCAGUAAAGUGGGAUGAAAAUAACCCUGAAUCGAUUGCUAAACAGGAUAUGGAUCGCCAAAGAUGGUUUUGGAAUGGAUUGGACCACGGGCUGGGUUGUCGAAGGAGGUCGCGGGGCGAGCCAAGCUGGCUAGGUGGUCGACACGUGUGCAGGGACGCGCUGGGCUCACACGUGUGAAGGCUAGCCUUGGGCCUACACUGUGCGUUAGGCUGGUGCUAUGCCCUGGGUCGCGCCUUGUUCUCACAGGCUUGAGCUUGGUUGACAACUGGAUGGGCCUCUUGGGCUCGGGCUGCUUCUCCAAGGACUUGGGCCUCCUGCCCUUGGGCACUGCGGUGGUGAUGGCGUGGCUCUGCGUCGGUGGAGCUCCUCAUGCCAUCACGUUGAGCCUUGAGAACCUUCGUCGUGGGGCUACGUCCUCAUCUCCACUAUCCGGUCCAAAUCCUUGUACGUACGGGGUUCCGUUCGUCGUGGUUUCUGAAUUUCCUACCAUUGUAUCCUUUGUCCAAGGAUUGAUCAAGAACCUUUUCUAGGAAAAAUUAAUUGAUACGACAUGUGAGAAAUUCAACGUAACAGAAAAUUCAAGAAACCAAAUGGGAAAAGCUUCUUCGAGUAUUUGAAUCAGCUAUCAAUGAAAGCACCAAUUUGUCAAUGCAAAUUUCUACCAUCUUCAAUCUUGACGAAAAUGCACCUGCAAAACAAUUAACACCUUUGAUCAAUGACCUAAGCCUCACGUGCCCACGAGGUGGGGGGGUUAGGCCAAUGGAUCUCCGAUGCCUAAGUCAGUUUCUCUAAGGGAAAUAAAGUGUUCAGGGCUUUUUUAGGGUCGUAAAAGCUUCUGAAAUUUGGUAAAUGAUAGGAGCAUAUUUAUGCGACUUAGUUAGCUUGUUUCUUGGCAUUUAUGUUGUUAGUUCAUAGUUAUUUUAGUAUUUUAAGCUAUUUUCGUGUGUUUGUAGGUCCAAAGGGUUAAUGUGGCAAAGAAGUGCAUUUUGGAGCAUUUUUGGGCAUGGAAUGGAUGACAUAUGCUUGGAGCAAAAGGAAUGGACGAAAUUUGAAGUUUGUGCAUCAUCCUCUCCCUAUAAAUAACCAUUUUAGCACAUUCAUUUCACCCAACACAUCUAUUCACCUACCACUACAUCCACUCAUUUCACCCAACACAUUCACCUACCACUACAUCCACUCAUUUCACCCAACACAUCCAUUCUCCAAACAUCCACCCACUACACCCAUUACAUCCACUUAUUACCAAACAUUACUCAUUACCAAACAUUCAUCCACUACACCCAUUACAUCCACUCAUUACCAAACAUCCACCCACUACACCCAUUACAUCCACUCAUUACCAAACACUCAUCCACUACACCCAUUACCACUACACCCAUUACAUCCACUCAUUACCAAACAUCUAUCCACUACACCCAUUACAUCCACUCAUUACCACAACCCACUACACCCAUUACAUCCACUCAUUGCCAAACAUUCAUCCACUACACCCAUUACAUCCACUCAUUACCAAACAUUCACCCACUACACCCAUUACAUUCACUCAUUACAACUCCAUACACUCCUCUCCUUAGCCUAUAAAUACAUCCACCCUUCACCAUAAUUUGGAUUCCAUCUCCAUCCAAAGACACUACAUUUUCACAUCUCACCAAUCCAUACACUUUCAUCUCUUAGCCGUGCAAAUCCAUUCCAUCCAUAUAUCCAUACACAUCCUAGACACUUGUGCUACAACAAGGUGGUGAAAACAAAGUCCUUGGCGUUUCAAGCUUGGAACUUUGGAGCAUUUUAGGUGUACUUCGUUCUUGCUUUCAAUGUCUACUUUGUUAUUUUCUAAUUUUGUUGCAAUUAUGAGUGGCUAAACCCCUAUUUAGUUAGGGGGAAGUUUGAAGCCAUGAACAUGCUUGAGAUUUGAAUUGAUUUCUUCCAAUUGUGAUUUGAUAAGUUGUGAUUGCAAUUCAAUUAUCUAUUUUAUUCAUAAGUGAUUCUUGUAUGUUUAUUAAGGAUGCAUACUUAGUUUUCAUGCAUGAAUUAGAUGCUAUAAUAUAAAUGAGUUUCACCUAAUCGUUACAAGUUUAUAGUCAUGAGUAGUGAAGGUUGUUUAUCACAAUCGCGUUAAUUGAAUUCUUGGCAAUUGUAUCAUGCAUUCAUAGUUAUAAUUGCCUCGUCAACACUUAUGAUUUUCAUUUAACGUAAUGAUCUCUGAUUGUAUCUCUAUUAUGCAUUCAUAUAGGGGACUUUUAGAGAAUAACUUGGGUUGUCGUAUGCAUUCAUCCAAUUCAAUGAGUAAAGGAAAAUCUGAAGAUUAAUUUGUGCAUCACGGUUAAUCUGGGAUGUUGAGCAUCAUAGUUUAUUGAAAAGCAAUUGGAAAUCGAUUCAUGUACAAGUGUGUCAUGUGUGAAGAACGGACCUCUAACUAAUCCAUCCAUCAUCGUAUUCCUCAAAUUUGUCUUACAAUCUGCCUAGUUUUAUAACUUGUUUGUUUGUUUCAAAUUCAUCAAAACCAAAAUCCCCAUUUUACUUUCUUGUUUCAAAGUGUUAAAUUUCGGUUUUGUUUGUGUAAUUUGAGUGUUUUGAUUCAAACCAAAACACUAAAUUCAUUGAAAAUUGUGUUAAAGUCAAAUCUGCCCAAUUUGUGUUUUUAGGCAGUUUCGAGUUGAUAGAAUCUGUUUUGAGUCCCUUGAGUCUAUUCAAACGUUUUUAACUUUGUUUUUAUGUUUUUGAGUAAGUUUAGAGGUUUUAGCAAGCCCUCCUAAUCCCCGGUUUAGAAUGAUCCCUACUUGCAUUUAUACUACAAUUUGACAACAAGAGGGUUUAAUUUGUGUGUUAAGUUAAUUUUCGCAUCAAUAGAAUAUGACGUAUUUAUAGGGAUAGGGUUGACCAUAGUGUUAGGGUUUUACCCUACACGUGGCAGCAUCCUAUUGACCAAGCGUUUUGUGAAGAAAUAGUCUCUAAAUAUUCUCAAGAUAUUAAAUAGGAAAUAAUAUCUUGAGAUAAUGGAGUAAAUAUCCCUAAUUGAUUUAAAUUGGGAUUACUUACUUGAUUAGAGUCAAUCUUCAAUUGAGAAUGUAUUAAAGAUAGGAUUUGGGUAAUUAAUCCUUAUCUUUAAUUCCUUGCCAAUGGUAGGUGAGCUGUGGACAGUCGCAUUUAGCUGUUGAGACCUUCAGGGGUGCGAGCUACGUGUGGGAGCACCUAAGAAGUCUGCCCAUUUAUUGAGGGCAAUCUUGUCUUUCUUGAGAAAAAGUCUACGUGUCGCCUCUAGAAUUUUUGGAAUUAUUUUAGACUCCACAACUGGAGUAUUGUACUCAAUUGGCAUCUAUGUAUUGUUUGAGAUAAUUAAUGAAAUACCAAUAUAUUGUUGCUUGUCAAACAAAAAUUCCCCUCAAAAUAGUUAAUUAAAAUGGAUAAGUUUCAUUAAUAUUUGAUUAACUUAAUUCCCAAUCCCCUCCAAAUAAAAAAAAUCUAAUAUAACAAGUUGUUUAUUUUAAUUCAAUCCUAGACAUAUAACGAAGCCUAAAUAACAUUACUUGAAAAAGAAACUUCUAUUUUAUCUAUGAGAUAGGAUCAGGGGUUAAUACUUUGACAUUUCUUUAUGAGAUAGGAUCAGGGUGUUAAUACUUUGACAAUUCUUUUGCAUUUUUGAAAUUACAAUCCACAUCAUUAUUCAUUAAAUGACAUGAGCGAUGACAUGAAUUAUAACCAAUAUAAUACAUAAACAAAUAAAGAUUAAAAUUUAAAAUGAAUAAAAUUGGGAAUUUCCUCAAACAGCAGACACUCUAGAAGCCUGUUUGUCUCUUGGGAUUGGCAGCCAAAGUCAAAGUACAUCUAUGGAGACUCCCUUGAAUUCCAACGACGUAAUUAAUUGUACAAUGUUGAACUAUCUGCAAACGUGAACAAGGAGGGAGGAAGCCCUCCAUUGCUUUGGUGAACUAAGUCAUCAUAAUAUGCAUGUAACAUGUUUAUACAUGGAUUUUUGUGACAACAAAACUAACCAUAUAUGCAUGCAUGCAUGCAUGUAAAUGUUUAUCACUUGGAUUUUUUACAACAAACCUACGUAAAAAAUAACCAUGUCAUGGUUGAAUAUUAAUAUUUCACGAGGAAAAGCUAUACUAUUAUAUCUAUAUAUAAAGAGAACACAAAAUAUGACCAGUGAUUUUGGUGUCACCAAGCUUCAACAAAAAAAUUUAGACAAAAAUGCUCCCAAGACAAAAAAACUUCAAAGGCAUCCCAAAAUAAUACAUCAAAUAAGGCAAGGGUAUUUUCGUCAUUUUAACAGUGUUUUGUUAAUGAUUUUUUUUGGUACUGUUUUUUUUUCUUUUUUUUUUAAUAAUAAGUGCCUCACGAUAGGCUAACAAUAAUGUAAUUCAAUUUCUCUAUUUUUAAACACAUUCAAAACAUCUUAAGAGGCAGUGGCGGAGCCAGAAUUCUGAAUGAGGAUGGGCCUUUCACAAAUAUGUAUAUAUAUGAGUGUGUGUAAAAAGUUGAAUUCAUAACAUGUUGACAUAUGCAAUUUGUAUAAUCCUCACAAAACUGAAAAAAAUUCUCUUAAAUUCAAUACUAAGAAGAAAAAAAUGUAAAUACCCAGACAACCAAGUAAGAGGUAGGUUGUGGAAGGCUAAAGAAAAUACAAAGAAGUAGAAAAGAAGGAAAAGGGGGAGAGGUCUGCAAAUAAAGAAGGUGGGUUGCUUUAGAAAAUUAUAGGGUAUAUAUUACUGUUAGGUGAGAGAAUUGAACCAGAAGUGGAGUUGCUUUUUCCAUUUAAAAUUGCGCAUCACUUUUAAAAUUCAUCUGCCAAACUUAUCGUUUCAUUAGACAGCCGAAAAGAUUUAAAAUCAAAACGGUUUAACGACGUCAUUUGCUUCAUCUUCUUCCAUGAGGUUCACACCUCAGAUGAAGUCAGGAUGGGACGGGGACUACCCUAGUCCCUUGGUGGCUCCGCCCCUGUUAAGAGGUGUGCAAUGCUGGUUAUAAAAAAGGUCUUUUGCACGCAAAUAAUAAUGUGAUUAAAUAAGUUGUCAAAUGAUUUUUUUUUAACAAACGAUAUUAUCUACACUAAGGGAGAGGAGGGUGGGCAGCCUCACAAUGGACUAGCAAUAAUGUGAUUCAAUCAAUUGUUUAUUAAAUAUUAUUUUCUUUAUUUUUAAACACAUUCAAAACAUCUUAAGAGGCGUGAAAUGGUGGUUAUAAAAAAGGUCUUUCGCAUGCAGAUAAUAAUGUGAUUAAAUUAAUUGUCAAAUGAAUACUUUUUUUAACAAAUUAUAUUAUCUACACUAAGGGGGAUGGGGUGUGUUUAGCCUCACAAUGGGCUAACAAUAAUGUGAUUCAAUCAAUUGUUUAUUAAAUAUUAUUUUCUCUAUUCUUAAUGUAAAUUCUAUAGAGACCGAUUUUUUUGUGAAUUCAGUUGCUUUAAUUUGUUUAUGAGGGGUUUCUUCUAGCAUGAUCUAUAAUUAUUCAUUUACUUCAAAUAUUUGACUUUCCUUUUGUCAAUUCACGCAUUUAAAUACAUUUAAAACGUGUAAGUUGCACGUAACAUUUCAUGAUUCAAAAAAUGUAUUGCACACGCACGAGCGCGUGCAUGAAGGCUAGUUAUAUAUAAAGCGCGCAGCCCCCAUUUAGGGUCACGGGCUUCACUAAAAAUAUUUGGACAUAAAUGCCCCCUUAAACAAAAAAAAAGUUCAAAAGUAGCUCAAAAUAAUGCAAGGGUAUUUACGUCAUAUAAACGGUGUUUUUUAUAAUUAAUUAUUUUUUUGUACAUUUUUUUAAUUAGGAUAUACUAGGGCUGGAAAUUUUUCUUGAAAAUACCAAACCAAACAAAAAAAAUUCCCAAACCGAUAAUACCGAAAUUUUUGGGAUCCAUACUAAACCACUCCUUAACUUUUCGGUACGGAAUCAGGAUUACAUAAUCAAUGAUUUGGGAAUCUCAAACUGAACCGAAUAUAUAUAUAUAAAUAUAUAUAUAUUUAUUUGGGUGCAUGCAUGUUAAAUAUUGAAUUUAAGUUGUUUGAUAGUAGACUAUAUUAGAAAUAGAAGCAUGAAAGUAAGUAGUUUGAAACUUUGGAACAUCAAUUUGACUUGGUAAGAAUAAAUUGGUUAUUUCAAUUGGUAUGAUGUAAAAAGCCUAAAUUUUAAUUGAUAUGACAUUGGAAAACAAAAUUUUAGGCGAAAAGCCCAAAUUUUAGUCCAUAGCCCAAAAAUUUCAAAUUUCAACCCAAAACCCCGAAGGCCCAAAACCGAAAAUCCAAUUUUGAAAUACCGAAAACAUUUCGAAAAUCUCGAAAAUUGGGAAUACUGGAAUUUCGGUUCGGGAUUGGUCUUCAAAUUCUUGUCCCGAAAAUUUUUGGUUUGGGAUCCCAUACCGAACCACCCCUAAAGGAUAUACUUCUAUACCUAUAUAAAGCGCAUAGCCCCCAUUUGGGGUCACGGGUUUCACCAAAAAGUUUUGGAUAGAAAUACCCCCAAACAAAAAAGUUCAAAAGCAGCCCAAAAUAAUAAUGCAAGGGUAUUUACGUCAUAUAAAUAGUGUUUUUUAUGAUUACUUUUUUUUAUGCAACUUUUUUUUAGUACCCCACAAUAGGCUAGCAAUAAUUGGAUUCAAUCAGUUGUUUAUUAAAUAUUAUUUUCUCUAUUUUUAAACACAUUCAAAACAUCUUAAGAGACGCGUAGUGCCGGUUAUAAAAAAUGUUUUUCGCACGCGCAUAAUAAUGUGAUUCAAUUAGUUGUCAAAUGAUUUUUUUUUUUAACAAACGAUAUUACCUACACUAAAGAGGAGAUGAGUGAGUUUAGUCUCAUAAUGGGUUAGCAAUAAUGUGAUUCAAAAAAUAUGUAGUCAUGCGUAGCACGUCGUGAUUAAAAAAAUGCAUUUUUUUCACGCUCGUAAGCGCGUGUAUGAAGGUUAGUUGUAAUUAAAAGAGGAAGGAAACUCAUAUUUUCAUGGCAGAUAAAAUAAGUUUUUGGAAUAUUGGGAUAUAUUUUUGUUUGGAUUUCCUAUUAGCUCUGGUCAUUCUUUUUCACGCCAGUUCUUUCACGCGCCACCACAACCUAAAUCAAUUCUCAUACGGCACGAUCCCCUACUUGGAAUGUUGUUAAGCAUCUGUCUUUAUUCUUCAUUGAAUUCAUCGGGCCCCUACCUAAAACUUCAACGUGCAAACGUGUGGUUUUUGACACCUAUAAAUCAUGAAUCAUCCCCCGAUCAUCGGCUACCUACCCGAACCAUGCAUCAAAGACAAACGUUAUUCAGGAUCCUAAGUAACUGCCUCAAUAAUCCAAAUUAAAAUCCUAAAAAAAUAAUAAAUAAUUGUAAGGGAUUGAGAUCAAAAGACUCAGCUGGCUAUUCAAACUUUGACCGAGUAUGCUUCUGCCACGUGUCACUAAACCCAUGAGGGAUUUUUUUUCUUUUGAUUUUUUUUUCAAAUUUUUAUAUUUAAUGUGCAUUAAACUCGGGAGCUCAUCAGCCAUACUACAUAUAUGAACAAGUCCACCACUACUCAGACAUACUCUCAAAACUGCAAGUCUGUAACCAUGGCCACAUUUGCUUAUGCCACCACCACCGCCAUUGUCUUCCUCAUCCUCCUCCCGCUGUCUUGCUCUUCCGAAUCAUUUUUGCACCAACAUCACCACGGCGGCUCCUUCUCCGUCCAGAAAUCGGACGUCGAUCUUUUGGAGUUUCCUUUGAAUUUAGAGUAUUUGGAAGCUGAGUUCUUUUUGUAUGGCUCUUUGGGGUAUGGUUUGGAUAAAGUUUAUCCAAGCUUAGCCCAAGGAGGUCCCUCUCCCAUUGGUGCCAAAAAGGCACAUUUGGACGACUUCACUAGGGAUGUCAUCGAGCAAUUUGGAUGGCAAGAAGUUGGACACUUGAGGUUUAAUCUUUUUUUCCUUUCUAAUUUAUGAUUUUCGUCUAACUUUUUCAUUUCUGUACAGACUGUUUCUAGUAUUUAGAUUGAAUGAAUUCGAUCAGCAAAUAGAUUUGCGGAAUUCAUGUCUGAUUUACAAAUGGUACAUAGCUAGAAAGCUUACAAAAUUAUUUAUUUUUUCUUCUAAUUUUUGUGCAGAGCUAUUAAGAAAACUGUGAAGGGUUUCCCAAGGCCAUUGUUGAAUAUAAGUGCAGCAUCAUUUGCUCAUGUGUUUGAUUCUGCAUUUGGGAGUCCCUUAAAUCCACCAUUUGACCCUUAUGCCAAUUCAAUCAACUAUCUCCUUGCAUCCUAUAUCAUUCCUUAUGUUGGUCUCACUGGCUAUGUUGGUGCAAGCCCUAAGCUCCAAGGUGCUACUUCCAAAAGGGUAAGUAUUUUAAAGUAUUCUAUUAGAUUCUUUUUAUGUUUUGCAAAACAGUGAAUCUUGAUCGCAUUUUAUGAUAAGAAUAAACAUGGCUCUAUUGUAUUUGUUUGGUAAACUAGUCUGACAAGAAAAACAUUAACCUGUAACUAAAAUCAAAGUUGUUUAUGUUUAUAUUGGUCUAUGCUUCAAACACAAUUAUUUUGAAGAGUAAAAUUUGGAAAUCAUCCAUGAACUUUCACCAUAAUUUCAACUAAACUAAAAAUCCGUCAAUUAGUGUCUGUGAAUUUAACAGCUCUAACAUCAUUGAUUAUGUGGAUCAUGUUCAGUUAGUUGCAGGUCUUUUGGGUGUGGAAUCAGGCCAAGAUGCAGUGAUUCGAGCAUUGCUAUACCAGCGCGCAGAGUUGAAAGUGGAACCAUAUGGCAUUACAGUGGCUGAGUUCACAAAUCGCAUUUCGGAACUAAGGAAUAAACUAGGACACGAAGGUUUGAAAGAUGAAGGCCUUGUGGUUCCCAAACACUUGGGUGCUGAGGGAAAAGUCAGCGGCAACAUUCUCGCUGGAGACGAGUACUCACUUGCAUAUGGCAGGACUCCAGAGGAGAUACUAAGGAUCGUAUAUGGUAGCGGUAAUGAACGUGUACCUGGCGGUAUCUACCCCAAAGGAGCUGACGGCCGGAUUGCUAAAUCUUAUUUGAAAAAGGAAUAGGAGAGAUUUUUAGUGUGACCGGCACACCACAUGUUAUUAUAUAAAUGGUAGGAUAUGUGUGUUAAAAAAUUAAUAACUUUAAAAAUAAAAUUUCCCACCACUUACAUAAAAACACGUGAUGUACCACCCGUGAUCCCGUCGCAAUUAAAAAUUUCUCAAGGAAUAGGACAUGAACAAAAAUAGGACUAGUUUGGUUGCCAUCUAGUUUACCUUCUUCAUAAUGUUUUUUUUUUCUUUUUUCUUUUUCCUUUUCUAGACAGAAUAAAGCAUGUUCUUAAUUAAUUUGAUGUAAGGAAUCGUUUCACGCUUCAUUUUGUUCGCAUAGAUCCUUCGAGUUUGUUCACAUAAUAUUAUAUUAACAGAGCAGGGAAAAUGCAGUAAGAAAACUCUUAUAAUACGUUGCAAUUUGCAUAUGUUGACAAAAAUUUCUAUUCAGAAUUCAUGAACAUGACACAUAAGUGAGCAAAUCACAUGGAUUACAUUUUUGACCCAAAAAAAAAAAACUAGUGAAAAAAACUUGAAAACUUGGAGUUUUAACGAUAAAGACAAAAUAAAAUGUAAAGUAAAUAGUAUCCGAAUUGACUUUUUAGUGUAAAAAUGUGGUUUUUCGUUAAAAUAAACAAUACCGAAAGCUUUUCGUUAAAGUUCUCAAAAAAAAAAAAACGAACGAAACUAUGUGGGUUACAUACAUAAAAAUUCUUGCACAUUACUACAACAAGAGUGCAAAGCCAGUAUGGCAUAAGAAAAAGAGUUAAAGAUGAGUGUCCUGUUGCAAAUUUCUGGACAACAUGUUGCAUUGGAUUCUAGGCUUCCUCCAGACCGCUACCUCUCCCACCCUUCCUCGGAUGCCGGCUAUCGAUCUGGAGAAAAAGAAGCUGCAGGAAAUAACAAUUUUGAGUGCUGUCAGCUCAUAUAGAUUUUCAUCUGUACCUAGAUUCGCCACUGGCUUCUCACUCGUGGCAAGGCUUUUGAUCGUAAGUAGAAGCAGGGCCGGACGAGGCUAAGGCUAACUUCCCUCCCCCGACCAAUCGGGCAUCUGAGAGAGCGAAGCGUCGUGUAUAUUCAUCCAGAGCCACUAAUCUCCCAGGGCCUCCAAGGGGGUACAAGUGCAUUAACAGCGUGUUUGACUUCUGAAAGCAAGGAAUGAGCGUAAGAGCUUCUCUAGAUAUUCACAGGUAAGAGAGCUUUAUUUUGUAAGCAUCUCUGUAAGCUAGCCCGGUGCAUUUGUCACAUUUUAACAAUAGUUGGGCUAAUCAUAUCAUAAAAUUAGAUGAUUUCUAUAAGAGCAUCGAAUUCACAUUUCCUAGGCUUUGCGAACAAUAUAUCGUCCAAUAUGCAGAUUGGCCCCAACUGAUCUAAACUGCUAAAGAAACACCGCACUAGCGCAUUCCAUGUUCUGAUGUUGGGGCAGAUCCCUUCACUUUUCAUCUUAUGUGGAUAAACCAUGGCCUCAUUUAAACCUACCCUAUUACAAAUCUCCCACACAAUACUGGUAUAAUCUACUACAUCUGAUUACCACUCCUCUUCUGCGCCAACAAUGUCGAAACUCUAGCAGUGCUAAUUGAACCUUGCUUGCAAUUGGCAUAUAUAAUCGUAUUAUAUGUGAUGGUAUCAGGCUUCCUUCUCCUUACCAGCAUCUUUCCAAGAAGCUGCAUAGCCUAAUUGGCAUUCCAGCCUGAAGAAAAACCAUUCAAAGUGGUAUUGUAAGUUUCCAAAUUCAGUCCCAUCCUUAUUUCCUCGAUCUCCCUAACAAUUCCAUAAGCUUCUUCAAAUCUGUUCGCCUUGAAUAGACCGUCCAAAAACUCAUUAAGGCGGCAACCAUGGUUCAUCAUGUUGUACAGAUGGAGGGCAGCCAACAAGGGUACCUGCUUUUGCAAAGCCAUCAAUAAGAGAGCUAUAUGUGGUCUAGGGGAGCCAUUCCUCUCCAUCUCAUAGCAAACAGAUACAGCAUCCCCCAUUUUUCCGUUAGUGCAGAGAUCAUGUAUCCGAGUAGUAUAUGCAACAAUAUUCGGCCUAAAUCCCUCGCAAAUCAUCCGCUUCCUCAAGUCAAGAGAUUCGUGCACUCUCCCUUCCACAAAAGCAACCCUUUAUCAAGAAAGCAUAGGUGUGAACAUUAGGGCUGCAUCCUCUCACGAACAUUUGAGCCAAAACUGCAAGAGCAGACUCAACGUUCCUCGUAUCAUUGAUCGUAUUAUUAAUUUUCGAGUAUGUGAUAACGUUACCGCUUAUUCCCUUAUCCACACCAUUUCAACCAACAACUCCGAAGCCUCCUUAUAAUCUUACACUCUUUGCACACCCCAUUCACCAAUUCAUUAUAAACAAGGACAAUGGGAUCAAUCCUCCAGCAAGCUCCCUAGCUUCCUCCACCUUCCCCCGUCUACACAAUACCAGACACUACAGUCGUAUAGCUCACAGCAUCCGACAAACAGCCCUUCUUCGACAUUUCAACAAGACAGUUGCGAGCACCAUCCACCCCAUCGUUCUUACACAUUGCCUUCAACAGAAUGUUAUAAGCAUACACAUUUGGCUCCAUCCCUAUCCUUCUACAUAUUCCUAUAUAUCGGAUUAAUCAGCUUAUGACAAUGACGAUAUAGAAGACAGGAAACAAGGUAGGGUAGAACAACUAGUGUAGGAAAAACAGGAAGAAUAAGAAAACUUAGGGCAAACAAUAAGUUAAAUUUAAGUAGAUGGUAGCAUAUAAAAGAUUUCGUAAUAGCUCUGCACAAAAACUUAGGGCUCUCAAUGAAAGCACAAACUUAGGGCUCUCAAUGAAAGCACAAAUUUGUCAAUGCAAAUUUCCACCAUGUUCAGUCUUGAAGAAAAUGUACCUGCAAAACAAUUAACAUCUUUAAUCAAUGAUAUAAGCCUCACGCGCCCACGAGGUGAUGGGGGUUAGGCUAAUGGAUCUCCGAUGCCUAAGUCAAUGUCUCUGAGGAGAAUAAAGUGUUUAGGGCUUUUUUAGGGUCGUAAAAGCUUCUGAAAUUUGGUAGAAUAUGAGAUAUUUAUAGGGAUAGGGUCGACCAUAGUGUUAGGGCUUUACCCUACAUGUGGCAGCAUCCUGUUGGUCAUGUUUUGUGAAGAAAUAUUCUCUAAAUAUUUUCAAGAUAUUAAAUAGGAAAUAAGGUCAUCUCCAACCGAAGGGUCCAGAGGGCCAGAGGGCCAAAAAUAGCCCUAAAACCGUCUCCAACCGAGGGCUAGGUCAGAGGGCUUGGGAAUCUGGGAGGGCCCCACGGAAUUUCAAAGGGCCAAAGGGCUGGCUGCUUUCGGCCAGCCAGCCAGCCCCGGGCUGGUUAUUUUUUUUUUUUUAUAGUUUUCCUAUUGCUGUCUGUUAUAAUCGACAGCAUUAAAGAGAAAUUCUUUUUUUAUAUAGUUUUACUAUUAGUGUCGGUUAUAACCGACACUAAUAGUUUGAAUUUUUUUUUAAUAUAACGGCUAGCUGAGUCAGCUAGCCGUUGCAUCUAGCCGUUGGGUUUUUUUUUUAUUUUUUAAUUUUAAACAUUUCUUUUCUUCUAUAAAUAUGGUGAAGUUCUCUCAAUUCUUCACUUCAUUUGCAAUAUUUCCUUCUUCAAUAUUUUUCAAUAUUUCCUUCAAUAUAUUUCUCAAUAUUUCCUUCAAUAUUUCCUUCAAUAUAUUUUCCAAUAUUUCCUUCAUCUAUAAUAUUUGUUUCAAUUUUUCAAUAAUUUCCUUCAAUAUUUCCUUCAUUUUUUUCAAAAAAAAAUGGCCUCAUCUGCAAUGAAAGGUAGGGCUUGGACCCGAAAAGAAGAUGAAGCUCUUUGCAAGGCUUAUAGAUGGGUCUCAGAAGAUAGUAUGAGGGGGAUUUCUCAAACAAGUGAAGGUGUUUGGACUCGUGUGUCCAAAACAUACUUAGAGUUCUACGAAUGCACCAUUCCACCGAAUACCCGAAACCACGAAAGUUGUUCUUCAAGAUGGAAGAAACAUCUUCAUCCAAGUUUGAAUAAAUGGCAUCAAGCACUAUUAGCAGCAGCAAGUAGACAUGAAAGCGGCGCCAAUUACUAUGACGAAGUUAGUGUUUUCACAGUUUAUUUUAAAUGUUUAAUUAUAUUACAUUUAAUUUUUGUAAUUAUAUGUCAUUAUAUUACAUUUAAUUUCAUGAAUUAAUUUCCUAAAUUUUUUGUAAUUAUAUUUUCUAGGUAUGCCAAACGGAGGAAUUGUAUAUGGAGGGCAGCUCAAAACCCUUUCAGUUUCACGGUUGUUGGGAAAUUUGUAAAGGGUGGGUGUUAUUUGAAGAUCCACCUCAACAUAGAGUGGAUCCUUUGGGAGCUGCAUCCCCAUCUGUAGAUAUGAAUGAAGAUGGAUCUCCUACCAUUCAACAAACAAGGGUAGAAAAUCCGACUCCGUCCGAAAGUUCUUUACCUAGGGCUAUGGGACGAAACAAGGCCCGAAGGUUGAGGGAAAAGGGCAAGGCAAAUGCUGAUUACGCCGCUCAACAUGAAGUGGCGGCCUCAUUGCGAUUACUGGCAGAGCAAAAUGCCCUUAAGGCGGAAGAAAGGAAGUGCAGACAUGAAGAACGGGCCAAACAAAUACAAGAAGAGAUGGAUGAUAAGAAUAUGGAAAGGAACACUUUGAAUUACACUCCAAUGAGUAAGGCCUAUUUUGAUAGGAAAAAAAAAGGAAAUUAUGUCUCGGCGGCAAUUGUUUACCUCUGACUAUACUCCUACAAUGGCGGAUGAUGAAGAUGAUGUUGAUUAUGGAUAUUAAAUUUAAGUCGUUGUAAUUUUUAAAUUUAAGUUAAUGUUGUUUUUAAAUUUAAUUUGUAGUUUUUAAAUAUAAGUUGUUGUUUUUAAAUUUAAGUUGUUGUAGUUUUUAAAUUUAAAUAAUAAAUUAUGUUUGGCCCUCGGUUGGAGACGGUUUUUUGUGACAGGGCUAAAACGAGCCAUCUGGCCCUCUGGCCCUCGGUUGGAGACGAAGGCAAAUAUGACCCUGUACUGUUCAUUAAAAUAUUAAUAUCUUGGGGAAUCUUGGAGGGCCAGAGGGCUAAAACGAGCCCUCUGGCCAGCCCUCGGUUAGAGAUGGCCUAAUAUCUUGAGAUAAUGGAGUAAAUAUCCCUAAUUAAUUUAAAUUGGGAUUACUUACUUGAUUGGAGUCAAUCUUCAAUUGGGAAUGUAUUAAAGAUAGGAUUUGGAUAAUUAAUCUUUAUCUUUAAUUCCUUGUCAAGGGCAAGUGAGCUGUGGGCAGUAGCAUUUAGCUGCUGAGACCUUCAGGGGUGCGAGCUGCGCAUGGGAGCACCUGAGAAGCCUGCCCAUUUAGUGAGGGCAAUCUUGUCUUUCUUGAGAAAAAAUCCACAUGUCUCCUCUAGAAUUUUUGAGAUUAUUUUAGCCUCCACAACUGGAGUAUUGUACCCAAUUGGCACCUAUAUAUUGUUUGAGAUAAUUAAUGAAAUACCAAUAUAUCGUUGCUUGUCAAACAAAAAUUCCCCUCAAAAUAGUUAAUUAAAUGGAUAAGUUUCAUUAAUGUCUGAUUAACUUAAUUCCCAAUCCCCUCCAAAUAAAAAAUCUAAUAUAACAAGUUGUUUAUUUUAAUUCAAUCCUAGACACAUAACGAAGCCUAAAUAACAUUACUUGAAAAAGAAACUUCUAUUUUAUCUAUAGGAUCAGGGGGUUAAUACUUUGACAUUUCUUUAUGUGCUAGGAUCAGGGUGUUAAUACUUUGACAUUUCUUUUGCACUUUUGAAAUUACAAUCCACAUCAUCAUUCAUUAAAUGACAUGAGCGAUGACAUGAAUUACAACUAAUAUAAUACAUAAACAAAUAAAGAUUAAAACUUAAAAUGAAUAAAACUGGGAAUUUCCUCAAACAGCAAAAACUCUAGAAGCCUAUUUGUCUCCUGGGAUUGGCAGCCAAAGUCAAAGUACAUCUAUGGAGAUUGGGGGAUGGAGAUUCCCUUGAAUGCCAACGACAUGAUUAAUUGUACAAUGUUGAACCAUCUGCAAACGUGAACAAGGAGGGAGGAAGCCCUCCAUUGCUUUGGUGAACUAAGUCAUCACAAUAUGCAUGUAACAUGUUUAUACAUGGAUUUUUGUGACAACAAAACUAACCAUAUAUUCAUGCAUGCAUGUAAAUGUUUAUCACAUGGAUUUUUACAACAAACCUACAUAAAAAAUAACCAUGUGAUGGUUGAAUAUUAAUAUUUCAUGACGAAAAUCUAUACUAUUAUAUUAUAUUAUAUUACAUUAUAUAUAUAUAACUGGGUUUGCUUUGGAUUUUUUUUUUCUUCUCCUUCUUCUUUCUGGGUUCCCGCCCACGAACCAGGGGGUGGACGAAUUGGGUUGGGGUUUUUUUUCUUCUUCUUCUUCUUCUUCCUCCUUCUUCUUCUUUCUAGGCUGCAGGGGGUUGGGGGGUGAACUGGGUUGGGUUGGAAUUUUUUUUUUCCUCUUCUUCUUCCUGCUUCUCCUUCUUCUUCUUUUUCUUCCCGGGGGAAGGGGGGUUGAUGGGUUUUCAAAUUUUUUUUUUUGGUUGAAGAUUAAGCAGGGAAGAAGAUGAAGAUGGGGAGAGAGCAGGGGGAAGGGACGAACAGAGGGAUUUAUUUAUUUAUUUUACUUUUCUUUAUUAUUUUAAAAAAUAUUAAAUAAUUUUUUUUUUUAGUUUUAAUACUUUUUUAUUAAUUUUUUUUAAUAGAAAGUAGGCCCUGAAUCAAGUCACAUCAGCAUUUAACUGAAAAGUAAACGGCCAAGUAACGGAAUGUAUAACAUUGGACCAAAUUCUAAAGAUGAGGUAUGACAUUGUCAAUUUUAAAAGAUGAGGUAUGAAAGUGUCAUGACACCAAUAGUUGAGGUAGUUUUUUGUACUUUACCAAAAAAAAAAGUUCAAAAGCAACUCAAAAUAAUGCAAGAGUAUUUACAUCAUAUAAAUGGUGUUUUUUUUUAUAAUUAAUUUUUUUGUACAUUUUUUUUAAUUAGGAUAUACUAGGGCUGGAAAUUUUUCUUGAAAAUACCAAACCAAACAAAAAAAUUCUCAAACCAAUAAUACCGAAAUUUUUGGGAUCCAUACCAAACUGAUCCCAAACUUUUCGGUACAAAAUCGAGAUUACAUAUUCAAUGAUUUGGGAAUCUCAAACCGAACCAAAUAUAUAUUUAUUUAUUUUGGUUGCAUGCAUGUUAAAUAUUGAGUUUAAGUAGUUUGAUAAUACACUAUAUUAGAACUAGCAGCAUGAAAGUAAAGUAGUUUGAAACUUUGGAACAUCAAUUUGACUUGGUAAGAAUAAAUUGGUAUGACUUAACAAGCCUAAAUUUUAAUUGAUAUGAAAUUGGAAAACAAACUUUUAGGCGAAAAGCCCAAAUUUUAGUCCAUAGCCCAAAAAUUUCAAAUUUCAACCCAAAAGCCCAAAACCAAAAAUCCAAUUCCAAAAACAUUUCGAGAAUCUCAAAAAUUGGGAAUACCGAAAUUUCGGUUUGGGAUUGGUCUUCAAAUUCCUCUCCUGAAAAUUUUUGGUUUGGGAUUCGAAUCCCAUUUUUAGUUUUGGAUCCCAUACCGAACCACCCAUAUAGGAUAUACUUCUAUACUACUAUAUGGGGUCACGGGUUCACCAAAAAGUUUUGGAUAGAAAUACCCCCCAAACAAAAAAGUUCAAAAGCAGCCCAAAAUAAUGUAAGGGUAUUUACAUCAUAUAAACAGUGUUUUUUAUAAUUACAUUUUUUUUGUGCAGUAGUACCCCACAAUGGGCUAGUAAUAAUUGGAUUUAAUAAGUUAUUUAUUAAAUAUUAUUUUCUCUAUUUUUAUACACGUUCAAAACAUCUUAAGAGGCGCGUAGUGUCGGUUAUAAAAAAUGUUUUUCGCACACACAUAAUAAUGUGAUUCAAUUAGUUGUCAAAUGAUUGUUUUUUUUUAACAAACAAUAUUAUCUACACUAAAAAGGAGAUGAGUGAGUUUAGCCUCAUAAUGGGCUAGUAAUAAUGUGAUUCAAAAAAUGUGUAGUCAUGCAUAGCACAUCGUGAUUAAAAAAAUGCAUUUUUUACACACUAGUAAGUGCGUGUAUAAAGGCUAAUUGUAAUUAAAUGAGGAAGGAAACUCAUAUUUUCAUGGCAGAUAAAAUAAGUUUUUGGAAUAUUGAGAUAUAUUUUUGUUUGGAUUUCCUUUUAGCUCUGGUCUUUCUUUUUCACGCCAGUUCUUUCACGCGCCACCACAAUCUAAAUCAAUUCUCAUACGGCAUGAUUCAUCGGCAAUCCCCUACUUGGAUUGUUGUUAAGCAUCUGUCUUUAUCUUUCAUUGAAUUCAUCGGGCCCCUACCUAAAACUUUCAACGUGCAAACGUGUGGUUGUUGACACUUAAAGAUCAUGAAUCAUCCCCCGUCAUCGGCUACCUACACGAACCAUGCAUCAAAGACAAACGUUAUUCAGGAUCCUAAGUAACUGCCUCGGUAAUCCAAAUUAAAAUCCUGAAAAAAAUAAUAAAUAAUUGUAAGGGAUUGAGAUCAAAAGACUCAGCUGGCUAUUCAAACUUUGACCGACUAUCCUUCUGCCACGUGUCACUAAACCCAUGAGGGAUAUUUGUGAGCUCAUCAGCCAUGCUAUAUAUAUGAACGAGUCCACCACGACUCAGACAUUACUCUCAAAACUGGAAGUCUGUAACCAUGGCCACAUUUGCUUAUGCCACCAUCACCGCCAUUGUCUUCCUCAUCCUCCUCCCGCUAUCUUGCUCUUCCGAAUCAAUUUUGCACCACCAUCACCAUGGCGGAAACUCCUCCGUCCAGAAAUCGGACGUCGAUCUUUUGGAGUUUCCUUUGAAUUUAGAGUAUUUGGAAGCUGAGUUCUUUUUGUAUGGCUCUUUGGGGUAUGGCUUGGAUAAAGUUUAUCCGAGCUUAGCCCAAGGAGGUCCCUCUCCCAUUGGUGCUAAAAAGGCACAUUUGGACCACUUUACUAGGGAUGUCAUCGAGCAAUUUGGAUGGCAAGAAGUUGGACACUUUUGUUAGAGUUUUGAGACUCUUGUCCCACCACAUUGAAGAAAACAAGAUUCUCAAUGACCUUUAUAUAUGUUUUGUCCUCUACAAUAUUAGUUAUGUAUUGGACCACUUGGAAUGGGAAUUGAGGCUUGGGCCACCAUUUUUUGUGUGGAUUGGGCUUGAUGAUUAUACCAUAAUAUAAUAAUAUUAAUAAUAUUAAUAUUAAUUAAUCAAGAAGAUAUUAAAUUGGAAUUUCGAUAUGUAGAUGAUAUGCUUAUAAUGGGAACUAACAAAGAGAAAAUAAAUUGGACCAAGAAGAUAUUGAAAUCAAAUUUCGAUAUGAAAGAUCUUGGACUAGCUGAUGUGAUUCUUGGUGUAAAAAUAAAAAGAAACCAAGAAGGUUAUAUUCUUACUCAGUCCCAUUAUAUAGAAGCUACACUUAGGAAAUAUGGUCAUUUGGAAAGUAAAGAUGCAAUUACUCCUUUUGAUGCCAAUAGCAAACUUAAGAAAAAUAAAGGUGAUGCUAUAUCUCAACGUGAAUACUCAUAAGUUAUUGGAAGCCUUAUGUACAUUAUAAACUGUACAAGGUAGCAUACUCCGUGAGUAGACUGAGUAGAUAUACAUGCAAUCCUGGGCAUGAUCAUUGGGAAGCUUUAAUUUGAGUUUUGAGAUACUUAAAGCAUACAAUGAAUUAUGGAUUGCAUUAUACGAGGUAUCCUCCCGUGCUCGAAGGAUUUAUAGAUGCGAAUUGGAUAUCAGAUAGUACUGAUACGAAAUCCACAAGUGGAUAUGUAUUUACUUUGGGAGGAGCAGCAAUAUCUUGGAAAUCUUCCAAACAAACAUGCAUAGCCCGAUCAACUAUGGAAUCAGAAUUUAUAGCUCUCGAUAUGGCUAGAGGAGAAGCUGAGUGGCUAAGAGAUUUUUUGGAAGAUGUUCCCAUAUGGCCUAAACCUGCAACAGCAAUAUGUAUACACUGUGAUAGUUUAGCUGCACAAUAUCGAGCUAAAAAUAGUGUAUACAAUGGGAAGUCUAGACAAAUUAGACGAAGGCAUAAUACAAUAAAGCAAUGGCUCUCUAGUGGGGUAAUUUCUAUUGACUAUGUCAAGUCAAAAGAUAAUAUUGCAGAUCCGCUUACUAAAGUCUUGUCUAGAGAGCAAGUUAAGCAUACAUCGAGGGGAAUGGGUUUAAAGCCAAUAGAGUAAAAUGAAACUGCUAAACAGAAACUUAACCUUGUUGAUUGGAGAUCUCAUGGUCUAGGUUCAAUAGGCAAACUGGUUUGGCUAGAUUCAAGAAGAAACACACUUACAUACCCAUUCCUAUGAUGGAAGAAGUGUGGUGACUGCUGAUGGUGUAGGAUACAUUAGUUUAAUGAUAUUGGUACUUGUAAAUCAAGUGGAAUAGUAGCAGCCUAUUCAUAAUCAAUAUGACCUAUAUGAGAAUAAAUGUGGGGUCGCAUUUAUGAGAAUUACAUGGCUAUAUUCUCUAAAACUCUCAUGAAUCCAGGAUUUGUUCAGGACCAAAAUGAACACAAACGUAUGAAUUUGAGAUGUGUUGGUGUGGCAUAUGUUUUGCUUAUUGUCAUGGUUACUGCGAAGAUGAACAGUUCAAGAUUUUAUAUUCACUGCGUCAUCUAGUAAAUCCGAUAAGUAUACACCAAGGUAGAUUCAAGUCCAAAAGACACCUCUCCUGAUGUAUGUCACAUCUAUUGUUUACACUCGUGUCUCCAUUUCUCUAGGACCAAAUACUCGUCUCAAAAUGUGGGGUAUUGUUAGAGUUUUGAGACUCUUGUCCCAUAUUGGAGAAAACAAGAUUCCCAAUGACCUUUAUAUAUGUUUUGUCCUCUACAAUAUUAGUUAUGUGUUGGACCACUUGGAAUGGGAAUUGAAGCUUGGGCCACCAUUUUGUGUGGAUUGGGCUUAAGGAUUAUACCAUAAUAUUAAUAUUAAUUAAUCAAGACAAUGGUUUUAAUUUUCGAAUUAAGUUUUAAUUAAAAAUGUUUUGAUUAAUAAACACAACUCUUUGGAAAGAGUUGUAUAGCUUCAGAUACAUCCAAAAGAUAUUUGAAGAGGUAUGAAAGAGCCUAUAUAAUUGGAGUCCUCAGUUCCAUUCCAGAUAUCUUUUCUUCCUCCUUGCUUCUAUACGAAAUUUCCAGAGAGUAAACACACAAAGCAAAUUCGUUAGAAUUCUAUAAUCCAGUGCGGGUUGUAGAAUUAGGUAGUUGAAUCUUGGUCGAGCAGACGUUGUCAAACCACAAGCACAGGAGUGGGACGAAAAUACUGUUCGAAGGACAUAGGUUUUACGUUAGCCUCUACCUUCUAUAAUCAAGUUAGUUGCAUUAAUAUUCUUAUAUUAAUUUUUGUAUUAUUGUGUAAUUUUCGUUUUGCAUAGCAAGUAUAUUUUGGUUAAUAAAAUAUUAAAAUUUCUAUUAUUUUUGUUUAUUUCUUAAUUGUUCUCCAACAAAGGUUUAAUCUUUUUUUUUUCCUUUCUAAUUUAUGAUUUUCGUCUAACUUUUUUAUUUAUGCACGGACUGUUUCUGGUAUUUAGAUUGAAUAAAUUCAAUCAUAAAAUAUAUGUGCGGAAUUCAUGUCUGAUUUACAAAUGGUACAUCGUUAGAAAGCUUACAAAAUUAUAUUUUUUCUUCUACUUUUUGUGUAGAGCUAUUAAGAAAACAGUGAAGGGUUUCCCAAGGCCAUUGUUGAAUAUAAGUGCAGCAUCAUUUGCUCAUGUGUUUGAUUCUGCAUUUGGGAGUCCCUUAAAUCCACCAUUUGACCCUUAUGCCAAUUCAAUCAACUAUCUCCUUGCAUCCUAUAUCAUUCCUUCGUUAACUUAUCUUAUACUUCACAGCCAAGACAUAAUCAGUUAAGCCAUUGAACUACAACCAACAUAAAGUAAUAUAUAACCCCAGUAAACCUUAAAUCGAAUAAAGAAAACAUACUUGCUGUCGAAGACAUCAUGCAUGGAUAUUAGGUUUAGCCUUCUCUUCUCUGGUGUUUGAUACAAUACAACCUUCAAUGGGACUGGUUUUCUUUUUGGAAUCACACUGAGAAAAGAGACCAAGAACCUCUCUUUUAUUUACAUGAAAAAACAAUAACUGCUACCCCCCAUUAGGGUUUCGGUUAUUGCCAGUUACUUAGAGUUGUUAACCAACUCUAAUUCAAACAUUAUAACUUAAUGGUUUUCCCUCCAUUUACCUAUAUGGCCAUAUAAUCUCUUAUCUUGAUGUCGGCAUAUAUAUAAAUACACUAAGGUUUGAUUACACUCACCCUAUAAAAUCUUACAUCCUUAUGUUGGUCUCACUGGCUAUGUUGGUGCAAGCCCUAAGCUCCAAGGUGCUACUUCCAAAAGGGUAAGUAUUUUAAAGUAUUCUAUUAGAUUUUUUUUAUGUUUUGCAGACAGUGAAUCUUGAUCGCAUUUUAUGACAAGAAUAAACAAGGUUCUACUGUAUUUGUUUGGUAUACUAGACUGACAAGAAAACAUUAACCUGUAACUAAAAUCAAACCGUUUAUGUUUAUAUUGGUCUAUGCUUCAAACACAAUUAUUUUGAAGAGUAAAAUUUGGAAAUGAUCCAUGAACUUUCACCAUAAUUUCAACUAAACUAAAAAUCCGUCAAUUAGGGUCUGUGAGUUUAACAGCUCUAACAUCAUUGAUUAUGUGGAUCAUGUUCAGCUAGUUGCAGGUCUUUUGGGUGUGGAAUCAGGCCAAGAUGCAGUGAUUCGAGCAUUGCUAUACCAGCGCGCAGAGUUGAAAGUGGAACCAUAUGGCAUUACAGUGGCUGAGUUCACAAAUCGCAUUUCGGAACUAAGGAAUAAGCUAGGACACAAAGGUUUGAAAGAUGAAGGCCUUGUGGUUCCCAAACACUUGGGUGCUGAGGGAAAAGUUAGCGGCAACAUUCUCGUUGGAGACGAGUACUCACUUGCAUAUGGCAGGACUCCAGAGGAGAUACUAAGGAUCGUAUAUGGUAGCGGUAAUGAACAUGUACCGGGCGGUUUCUACCCUAAAGGAGCUGACGGCCGGAUUGCUAAAUCUUAUUUGAAAAAUGAAUAGGAGAGAUUUUUUAAUGCAACCGGCACACCACGUGUUAUUAUAUAAAUUGUGCGAUAUGUGUGUUAAAAAAUUAAUAACUUAAAAAAUAAAAUUUCCCACUACUUACAUAAAAACACGUGAUGUACACCCGUGUUCCCAUCACAAUUAAAAAUUUCUCAAGGAAUAGGACAUGAACAAAUAGGACUAGUUUGGUUGCCAUCUAGUUUACCUUCUUCAGAAUGUUUUUUUUUUCUUUGUUUUUUCCUUUUCUAGACAGAAUAAAUCAUGUCCUUAAUUAAUUUGAUGUAAGGAAUCGUUUCACGCUUCAUUUUGUUCGCAUAAAUCCUUCGAGUUUGUUCACACAAUAUUAUAUUAACAGAGCAAGAAAAAUGCAGUAAGAAAAACUCUAAUAAUACGUUGUAGUUUGCAUCUGUUGACAAUACGUUGCAGUUUGCAUCUGUUGACAAAAUUUUGUAUUCGGAAUUCAUGAACAUGACACAUAAGUGAGCAAAUCACACGGAUUACAUUUUUUACCUCCAAAAAAAAAAAGGAAAACCAAUGAAAAAUGCUUGAAAACUUUGAGUUUUAACAAUAAGGACAAAAUCAAAGGUAAAGUGAAUAGUAUCAAAAUUGACUUUUUAGUGUAAAAAUAUGAUUUUUCGUUAAAAUGAAUAAUACCGAAAGCUUUUUGUUAAAGUUCCCAAAAAAAAAAACAUGAAACUAUGUGGGUCACAUACAUAAAAAUUCUUGCACAUUACUACGACAGUGCAAAGCCAGUAUGCCAUAAGAAAAAGAGUUAAAGAUGAGUGUCCUGUUGCAAAAUUUCUGGACAGCAUGUUGCAUUGGAUUCUAGGCUUCCUCCAGACCGCUACCUCUCCCACCCCAUCCUCCGAUACCAGCUAUCGAUCUGGAGAAGCUGCAGGAAAUACAAUUUUGAGUGCUGUUAGCUCAUAUAGAUUUUCAUCUGUACCUAGAUUUGCCACUGGCUUCUCCCUUGUGGAAAGGCUUUUGAUCGUAAGUAGAAGCAGGGCCGGACGGGAAAUUUGGAAAUAACCAAAAUUUGGUCCCUGUAUAGAAUUAUAACCACCCUUUUAAAUUGUUGAUAAUUAUAACCAAAAGUUGAAUGAAAGUAGGAAUAUACCCUUAAUUACUAAAAUCCACCUCUUUUGCUCUUUAACGGUUUAAGAACUAGCAGUGCUAGCUUGAGUUUUUCCACAAUCCUUGCAUCCCCAAAUUCCAUCUGUGUUUCUCUUCCCAGCAUACUCACACAACUCAUGUACUAUUUGAUCAAUAUUAAACACUAAUGCAUGAAUACCUUUCCUUAUCUUUUCCUCCCCUGAGAUGAGAUUCUAGAUCUUGCGUCUUCCAAUACAACUUGCUAAAACCAUGCCUUUUGUAUUCUUCAAUUCGUAAAAAAAAAUUGCCAGAUCCAUACCUUUUACAUUCUUGGUCCAUAAAAGGAACAAAUUAAUUAACCGGCAAUUCAUACAAUUAAAUAAAAUCACAACAAUACAUCCGUUUAUUUUUUUCUUAGAAAAACACCAAAUAAGCUUUAGAUGUAAUCACUACUACAAUAUAAGCUAUCACCGUCAAACUAAAAACUGACAAGAAGUCCAAUUUCUGUCGGAAAUUUGUCACAAAUCCGACAUAAAACAAUGUAAUGUCGGAUUGGAAUAGUGACACCAAUGCUAGCGUCACGAAAGGGCUUCAGUGUGGGCUUGUUCUCUUAAUCCGCACUACUCAGCGUCGGUUAAAAGCGACACUGAUGUUGACGUCGGAUUAAAGCGACGUAUACUUCAACAUUAGGUCGGUUUAAAGCGAUGUGUACUAGCAAUUUAACUAUAAAAUAUCCAACCUACUGUCGGUUUUAACCGACAUCAUGAUAAAAUUAAACAAAUAAAAUAUCCCUUAACCGACGUUAGAUAACAAUUAAAUAAAUAAAACAUACAAACUAGUAAUGGUCUUAACCGACACCACCUUUGUUAAUAAUAAUUAAAAAAAUGUGAAAAUAUGUCUCUGCAUUUGUUUUCAAUUAAUUGUAACGAAAAAACAUUAUAUAACCUUCUCCGAAAAAAGAAAAAAAACAAACGUUAUAUAACAUAACAUACAAAUGGGGUCUUUGGGUGUAGAAUUUCUUGUUAAAUGUAUUCUAUUUCAUAUAAAUAAGGAAGUACAAAUAAAACAUAUAUAGGAGUUAUUAGAGAACCGAUUACAAGAUGAAGAUAAAAAAACUAACAAUUACAUAUAAUACUAAUCAGAGUUCUAUGCUUGCAUUUAAUACUAGCAGAUGCCAUGAUGCUUUUCCAUGCUUGCCUUUGUCAAAGACCACAGAUUUUGUAGCUCCAUGCUUUCUAGUGUCCUUACUCUGCAGAUCCAAAAUGAACAUGCAUAAAUUUUUAUAUGGAUUUUCGAACUACUGAUCUUACUAAACAAGAACAUAAAAGAGGAGCUCAUUGGAGAUUAUACCUUUAAAUGACGGAUCUAGAAUGGAGACAACUUUGUGGUGGUUUUUCCUUAAGAUGUGGUUUGGGGCUAUACCAGUGGUUGCAUCAUGUUUUUUUAUUUUUUUUAUUUUUUAUUUUUUACAAAUCUCAGGUCCCUGCAAAAGAAACAACACAAGCAUGAGGAGUUGAAGAUUUUUUUUCUUGUAUGAUAUAUUUCAAUCGGCAAACCUGAGUGCAUGAAUCGUCAAGGGAAGGUGAGAAGUUUACCUAUUAGUGUGUCGGCACCAAGAUCGGUGCUACUACCCUUCUGGUGAUGCAGUAAAUCCAUGGCUUCGAGGUCUUAUGGGUUGAUGAUGGAAGAUUAAGGUUUGGCUUGCAGAAAUGGAGGUUUGUGUUUGAGAAAAUGUGCAGAGAUGAGCUACAAUUUUAAGGUGUGAUUGGAAGAAGGGAGAGAUAAAUGAUGGAGGUUAGCUUAUGGGGUUGAGGUGAAGCCUCUUAAAAUGAACCAGUGAACUUUCUGACACUUUUUAUUGGAAAUCACAAUGUCAGUUUAAAUUAAUGUUGGUGUCGGUCACACUUUUUGAAAUUCACGUAGCGUCGGUUUAAUGAAACUCGCGUCGAAUUAAAAGACUAGAGCGUCUGUUAAAACCGACACCAACUUCUGACGUACUUUUUGAAAUUCACGUAGCGUCAGUUUAAUGAAACUCGUGUCGAAUUAAAAGAUGAUAGCAUCGAUUCAAACCGACACGAACUUUUGACACACUUUUGAAAUUUACGUAGCGUUGGUUUAAUGAAACUCGCGUCGAAUUAAAAGAUGAUAGCGUCUGUUAAAACUGACACUAAGUCUUUCCAUCCAUUUCCUCGUGCAGAACAAGCGGGAAAUUUCUCGCCUAAUAUUUCAAAUUAUCAUACCAAUGUUGUUGGCUAAAAGCGACAACAUACUAGUUUUAAAAACAAAAAAUGUUUAUCCCAAAGAAAACAAAUAACCAGCUCUUUUUUUAUUUUUUGUUAUCUCAUAUAACAAUUUAAGAUUUUAAUAAAUAAAAUACGUAAUAAAAAACAGAAAUAUAAUUUUAUUAUAAAAUAUCAUCACAUUCUAAUUGAAACAUAGUCUAAUUAAUACUUAAAAUACAUAAAAUAAUUAAUAUAUUUUUACUCUGAUUUUGAUUAUUUUUUUAUAACUACACUCCUUGAUCCUAUAUAAAUACAAUGAAUGAAUUUGAUCUUCAAUUUAAAAUAUUUACACUAGUGGAUGCCACAAAAUCUUAUGUUAUACUUAAUGAAAGUAUAAAUAAACUCUAAGUGCUAGUGAAUCUAUUAUUUUGAUGGGAUACGCAUCCUACAAAACUAAUUUCAACGAUCCAACUGUCAAACUUGUUUGUAUAUGCAUCAAGAUCGCAUAAGCCAAAAAUCGGAAAAAAUAACAUUCAGAGAUCAAGUAACGGGACAAAACUUUUCGAAGGUUAUAAACGAAAAAUCACAGUUUAACGGUUAUUUUAACUCCAAUUUUGAUGAUUUUUUACAGCUACACUCCUUGACCCUAUAUGAAUACAAUGAAUGAAUUUGAUCUUCAAUUUAAAAUAUUUACACUAGUGGAUACCACAAAAUCUUAUGUUAUACUUAAUGCAAGUAUAAAUAAACUCUAAGUGUUAAUGAAUCUAUCGUUUUGAUGGGAUACACAUCCUACGAAACUAAUUUCAACAAUCAAACUGUCAAACUUGUUUGUAUAUGUUUCAAGAUCACAUACGCCAAAAAUAACAAAAAACAAAGAUUCAGAGAUCAGGUAACAGUACAAAACUUUUCGACGGUUAUCAACAAAAAAUCACAAUUUAACGGUUAUUUUAACUCUAAUUUUGAUGAUUUUUUACAGCUACACUCCUUGACCCUAUAUCAAUACAAUGAAUGAAUUUAAUCUUCAAUUUAAAAUAUUUACACUAGUGGAUACCACAAAAUCUUAUGUUAUACUUAAUGAAAGUAUAAAUAAACUCUAAGUGUUAGUGAAUUUAUCGUUUUAAUGGGAUACACAUUCUACGAAACUAAUUUCAUCGAUCCAACCAUCAUACUUGUUUAUAUAUGCUUCGAGAUCGCAUAUGCCAAAAAUCGCAAAAAACAAACAUUCAGAGAUCAAGUAACGGGACAAAACUUUUCGACGGUUAUCAAUAAAAAAUCACGAUUUAACGAUGAUUUUAACUCUGAUUUUGAUGAUUUUUUACAGCUACACUCUUGGGCCCUAUAUGAAUACAAUGAAUAAGCUUGAUCUUCAAUUUAAAAUAUUUACACUAGUGGAUACCACAAAAUCUUAUGUUAUACUUAAUGAAAGUAUGAAUAAACUCUUAGGUGCUAGUGAAUCUAUUGUUUUGAUGGGAUACGCAUUCUACUAUACUAGUUUCAACAAUCCAACCGUCAAACAUGUUUAUAUAUACUUCGAGAUCGCAUGUGCCAAAAAUCGCAAAAAAUAAACAUUUAAAGAUCAAGUAACAAGACAAAACUUUUCGAUGAUUAUAAAUGAAAAUGCACGAUUUAAUGGUUAAUUUAACUCUGAUUUUGAUGAUUUUUUUACAACUACACUCCUUGAUCCUAUAUGAAUACAAUGAACUAAUUUGAUCGUCAAUUUAAAAUAUUUACAGAAGUGGAUAUCACAAAAUCUUAUGUCAUGAUGAUUGAUGAAAAUUGAGGAUUUUGUAAAAGGAAUAACAUGCAAGCUUUGAGUUCCAUUGGCAAGGUUUAAACUUUUGAGAAAGGCUUCACAACCUUGAAAACAAAAACUCUUUCAUUUUGCAUAUCCUUGCACAUUUAACAUUUUGUAAUAGACUAGUAGUGUAUGAAUGUUUGUUUAUUAGGCUCUUAUUUUCAAGUGUAGAUAUAGUACUUAAACGACAAAUUUAUUUUAAUGUUUUGAAGUAAUAUUUAUGUGGCAAUGUGUGGUAUGUGCAAAUUUAAGAAAAAAAAUAUUUUUCUUAACGGGUGUUACACAAAAACAACAGACACGACUCGUUUGCCAGGCCUAGUUGCGUGCCACCUCAUAAACUCAUCCUUAAGAAAGAUGCAAGAGAUGAAGAAGAAAACACGGGGGAGAGUACCAUCGAUCUGUCGCUUACAACCGACACCGGGUUUCAAAAUAUUAAAAUAAAACUAAAAUCUGUGUCGCUCAGAACCGACGCAGGCUUUAAAAUAUUUAAAAACAAUAAUUAGUGUCGGCUAGAAGCAACACUAAUACUUUAUGUUGCUUAAAAACGACAC
rnacentral:lncRNA from 1 species